rnacentral:lncRNA from 1 species
AUGCAGUCGAGUGACAAGAACUUCUGUGCGUUUGAGAUGACGACAUCGAUCUCAGGGAUUUAAAACUAGAAUGAUAAAGAAGGAGAAGGAAAUAAGAGAUUCAGAUCUGAUCGUAACUAUGAGAAAGAUGAAAUAAGAUAUUCAGAUCGACGAUAACACUGAAAUUAGAGGAGGAUAACCACAAGAGAAUUUGACGGAAUCGACUGCGAACUUGAACCACGAGUUUAGCAAACAAAAGAAAGUACGAAAAAUUUUGGUGUCUUUUUUUUGACAAAACAAAUCGAAUUACUUUAUUGGUAGAAGAUUUGAAAUAUUACAAUAUUGUGCAGGUUGAAAUUGGGAGGUGCUUCCACAUAAUGGAUAGCAAAAGAAAAACAUGUAAUGUACAGUUUACAUCCUUCGCAUCCUUAAAUUUCUCAAAACCAUGUAUUAAACAUUUGUGAUCGACUCGAUUAGGUCCUCUAUUAACAGACAUGAUGUACCUACUACCAAAAAAAUGAACGAAAACACCUAAGCUAGACUCAAGACUUUACAGCAACUGGCCAAUUGCAACCUGAACGAAAACAAUCAAAGGAAACAAACGAACUAAGACACGAGUAUGACAGGGCCAGGGGUAGCCGACGAGUUUGAAACAUUGAUGAAGCCGUCCGAAACUCCAUCUGUUGCCGAAGUAUUACAUGGCAGGGCGGGUCGCUCUUGGUUUGGUGGAAUGUGGGUGCUUUGAUGGUGUUGUGCUUCAACAUUGAAGCCAAGCUCAAGCAAUCCUACGAUGAGGAUGAAGAUGUCUGACCGAUAAGUCGGCGGAAUCCUAAAAAUGGGAGGAGGAGCAAACCCUAGCGGGGAGCAGCAGGCAUCUCACUGUUAAUCUAAUGAAAGAUGUUGGUGUUAAUACUGAAUACUUAAAAUUAUAUUUCUGUGAAACGAAAUACGAAGGUAGAGUGCAUUAUUCAUUUAUUUGCUCGUUGUCACGAUAACAACCUCUUAUUUACGACACAUCAAAGUUGUUAAGUUAAACAUGUUUAUUGCGGAUUUAAAUACUUCUGAAAUUUUUGAUUUUAAUUUUGUACCGUUACAAUACCAUAUUCGUGCUCUGAAUUCAUUAGUUUAACACAAAAUCAGCAAACCAGAUCUCAAAAUAUUUCGACAGGUUGGUUGUUGGAUGGCCAAGAAAAAGAUGGCAGAAACAAGAAAAAUCAAGCAACUUUUAUUAGUGGGGUAAGAAAAAUCAAGAAUAUUAGGCUCACCUUCCUCCUCCAAUCCAAACCCAGAAAGGAAAAUCAAAACUGUGGUUGGUGGUGAAAGCAAGACCCGCCCCAAGUACUAGUGAUUAUCCCUCUUUGGUCUCAAGUUAGCACAAGUAUAUGUCUGUAUUAGAGUGCUUGAGAGCACAUUCGAGUGUAACGGAACUUAAGAUCAUUUGAGGCCACUGUAGAACCUUUACGGAGGCGCUCUAUGCGUCAGAAACAGACCAUGAAUUAGUACUAUCGUCUGCGAAUUACGAUGAUGAAUAAAGCCUUCUCAUGGAGGUCCCAGUGAACAAAAAACACCAAUCAAGCAAUGUGCUCUCUACUGGUUGUAGUUGGGAAUUAUUAUUUGAUUCCAGAAACAGGCAAAAUUAACAGAGACAUAUAAAACUCUGUAACAGGGGGAAUCAGACAUAUGUCGGAUCUAACAACCAGAACUUGAUGAUCAUACGUUGAAUUUAAGUACCAACCUUCUUAAUAAUGAGAUUCCUACCUACAACAACAAACCGCAGUUUUUUCGGUUCGGUUAUUUUUUUUCGAAAUCGUAAUGGUGCAGUGAUUUCCACCGGAGUCUACGAUAGAAACUUCGAUGGUUAUGGUGAUUCGAUAUUAUACAACUUUUAUAUAUAUUUUAUAUGCAGCUUAGUAUAUUUUAAAUGAUAUAUACAGUUUGAUUCAUUACAUUGUUUUAUUUGAAAUCUAUGGUUGAGCCAAGGAACAAAACACCCAUUUGACUACCUUUCCCCUACCAACUCCAGUGCAAAUAAUGGGGUUGGUUGGUAUGUUAAAUUUCGUAGGAAAACAACAAAUUGAACAUCUCAAUGACAAUAAAAUUAGAGCAAGCUAGAAGGUAAGCAUAGAAAUAGUGGUAGUGGAAAGUGAUGGUGGAAAGUGAAAGUAGGAAAGUAAAAUGAUGUUACGUGACAUUGUGAUAUGUGAAAAUAUGAACAUAAUAGUGACACAACAACGAUUUAAUAUGUUUAUAUAAUAAUUAUAUUUAUGUGAUUUUUUUUUCAUUUUUUUGUUCCGAACCUACCCCAUUCAAGUUAAUUUGUUUGAUUUAAUUUCCAACCGUCACAAUAUGUCGGAUCUGCUCUCGGAGCCGCGUUGGUGGAUCUGACUAUGCACUCAAUUUGUUAGGUAAGAGUAACAUUUUCUUUUAAUAUUUUGGUUGGGUGUGUGUAUUGUUUUCGAAUGACUGUUGGGUGUUAUUUUUAUUUAUUAGUGUUGAAGUACGUCUUCAUUGUCAAUCACAUGAGUAGAAGUAUUUAAUGAAGCAAUGUUAUACGCACCUAAUAGUAUCUCGUGCUUUUUUUAUAAAUAUGAAGAAAUUUAAUUUUACACAUUUUUUUAUCAGCUCUUCGAAACUGCAUGCGUAACCAUAAUAGAAUAUCGGCGAUAAUGCUAUUAAUAUUCGUCCUUCUCUUUACAUAAUACGCCAAUUACACAUCAAAAGUCGAGUUCAACCUGUAGACUUUACGACCCCUCCUCCAAACCAUAUUAAGACUUACGAUAACAACAACCCUCAACUAUAUCUAGAUGAUUGAAUACAUCAAUACAACCAAUUUGAUCAUGUCUUUACCAAGCACUUCCCUUUCCUAACAAGUUGCAAACAAUAUGGAUGAAUUGUUCAACACAUUUGUUGUUAGCUAAAUGGAUAAGAAAACUCAUACAAAAAGAGGACUAAUGGAUAAAGAAGUAGUACCCAAUGGUAUUGUUUGCUAUAUAGACCAUGUUGGUGUGAUUUAUUUUUGGAUUCUUUUUCGAAAGGCUUCAUAUUAUUAAUAUGGCAGAAUUGAGGCCGGAUAAAUUCAAGCCACCACCCUAAGUCUCUCACUAGUCAAUCUCUCUGAAUUCAUAUGUACAACUAGCAAGCUUUCGAAUCUUGCCUAGUGUGUCACCGAAUCUCGCCUAUAGUGUAUCUCCAAACUAACUCAUUGUUGAACCAUUAUUUAAAAUCUAGUCAUUAUAUAUGGCUAUUUUAAUAAGAGAGAGUCCUAGUUCUGGUCUCGAGUACUAAAAUAUAUGUAUGUAAAGUUUUGAUGAUUUCGUAAGUAGGCUAAUGAUAUUUAAAGUUCUAGUCUUCUACUUAUUUUAUUAGACUAAAUAAUCAAUCAAAGUAAAACUUAUAACCAACCUAUUAAUAAAUAAUACUCAUAAAUUUAGCUAAAACACUAAAUGUAUGGAAAAAAUCACCGACAACACAUACAAUUUUAUUUUAACUAAAAACAGUACAAUUGCGUUUAGAAAAUAUAUUAGUUGCUAGCAAUUGAAAGAAAGCAAAUGUAUUCGCGAACGACCUAUCUAAUACACAUUUGAUUUUUUUUUUGAAUUGUUAAUAAAAACGUUGACACAGUUGAUUUUUAAACUUAAAAUUCCGUCCAGUUUGUUUUAUCAUCCUGGUCCCGCCAUCGAGUAUGUAUAAGUGAACUGUUUGAAGUUAAAGUAAAUUCGGGUCUAUCGUCAUGGUACUUGUAUCGUUCUUAUGCAAUGCAUCUCCAUGUCUGCUACCAUUUGUUAAUUAAGACCAAACUCAAAAGCAUUAUUUAUUCAUGUAAGUCCAGCCUGGUGGUUCACAGAUCGGAUCAUCAUCCUCUCGUUGUUGUGCCGGCGACUAUCUCACCAAACACUUGAUUAGUACAUAUAAUAUAUGUAUUACAUAAAUAAAACCAAACCUAAAAUAUCAACGCAACACGACACAAACCCAAAAGCAAAAUUAUUCUCACCAACCCCCAUCCAUCAUCUCCAGCCAUCCACUUCCUCCCUCUCAUUGGCUCUUUCUUCCCCUAUUCAUAUAUUUUUAUAAUGGUGGAUCCCACCCAAGACACCAUGUCAAGGCCGUCGUUGGUUGGUGGAGUCACUAGUACACCGAGAUUUUGAGUUCGCAUCCUAAUUUCUAACGGUGAAAAAGAGGAUGUUUAAUUCAGGAUUAACGGUAAUGGGUUUUGAUAAGAGGACGACAAGCGUACGUCAUGCUCGAACUACUGUAUUAUAGAUUCUGAUGACUUAAGUUCUAAUGUCGAGUAACUCGUCCAAAACACAAGAGUUCGGUAGGCCCUGAACGGAUUUUUUCAACAUGUUGAUAUGCUUGGCUAACGAGUUGUCUUUGUCAACUUUAUCGGUUUCAAUAGAAGCGGAGGGUUGAUCACCGCAUUAUAAUAUGUCGAUCAUCAAAAUAUAGUAGAAAAACUUGUUGUUUGGACCGAAAUAUGGGUAUUAGACUACUACGUAUUAGGAGAAGUCGAAUAUUUUAUCUUAUAAUAAUAUAACUAUAACAACAUCUUCAUCCCAAUUUUUUAGCAAUUGUCACAUGAGGGGAGAGUGAACGAGGUUGUGACACUCCACUUAAAACCUAUUAAGGACAUAAAGGAGCUAGUUUUUUUCUUGAUGAAGUGGCAUAUCCAUAAUUUCACCAAAUCUUUAACGAAGCACACAUACAACGUAUUGGUGGUAAACCGGGAAGUGCAACCCAAUGGGUUACAAAGGACGUUGCAAUGAUACGAGAUCAUAUGCACCACGUCCAAAUUAUGCUCAAUACCAAAGUCAAACACUCUAAACUCAUAUGGCAACUACUAACUGUGAUUGAAGGGCAAAAUAAUAAACGCCUACCCUGUAGAUCACGAUUCUACACCAAAAGAAAACGAGUGCUCAAAAUAUGAUACAAACCAAACAAGACAGAUUUUUUUAUUUAAAAAGAAAUUAUUAUUUUUAUUAACAGUACCACAUGAAUACAAUGUACCCAUUUUAUAAAAAAAACAUUUAUGCUAGGAAGGUCAUGUAAAUACAUUAGACUUAUUUUCUAAAAAAUUUACCUUUUCUUUUUUUGAAAUGAUUCUCCCUAGAAUAAAGUCCUCAAAAUAUGCAUAUUGUAUCCCUACAUCAAUACAAAUCACCAAUAGUCUAAAGUAAAAUAAAAUAUUAAUGUAAUUGUCAUAUCUUAUUAGAAAUUACUAAACAAUUUUUCGAAAUAAAAAUCAGCUAACAACGAGAGCGGACCUCUACCACAUGUUGACCUACUUCCACGUGGCAUCAAACCCAGCCGUCCAAUAUAACCAGGAUCCAACGACUGUGAUCACUUCUCAACUAACCCAUUCUUGCCUAACCCCACCAACACCCAACCUUCAUCUCCCCCUCUAUUUAAAGCUCCCAAAUUUGGUUCAACAAACCUCAGGAAUCAUUUCUGGGUUACCUAACAGAAAAGUUUCCUUUGCAAAAUUAACAUUUACUCAAUUACCCAUUUCCAAAAACCAAAAACACAAAACAAACAAUGGAGCUCUGCAGCAACAACGAGAACAACAACAAUGGCGGUGGGUUUUCCCUCGCUGAUCCGUUGAACUGGGGAAUGGCCGCAGAGUCAAUGAAAGGGAGCCACUUGGAGGAGGUGAAGCGUAUGGUUGCAGAGUCGAGAUCCCCUGUCGUGAAGCUUGCCGGGCAGACUCUGUCCAUUGCCCAAGUCGUCGCAAUUUCCCGCUCUGACGCGGCUGCCGAGCUGGACGAGGAGGCCCGGCCGAGGGUGAAGGCCAGCAGCGACUGGGUCAUGGAGAGCAUGAACAAAGGCACGGACAGUUACGGUGUCACGACUGGGUUCGGAGCCACGUCUCAUCGUAGGACUAAGCAGGGUGGAGCCCUUCAGAGGGAGCUGAUCAGGUACCGAUUUCGAGAAUUUUUCAUAAAUUUUUUUACGAGAUCUUAAACAAUAGUCUAAGUUGGUCAACUCAUAAUUCGGCUAAUUGUUUACAAUACAGUUUAACUUAAGGGUGUAGGUUCAUGAUUAGUGUCUAAAUUAAUUAGGUGAAUGGUUUGAAAUUUAGUUGCUCGUUAACCAGAAUCAAUAUUUUUCUUUGUUUCUAAAUUUAAUUCGAGCAUUCAUUGGUGUUAUUUUAUUUCAUUUAAAAUUUGUUAUUUACGUAAAAUUAUUUUUAAAACUCGUUGUAUAUGAUCGAGUUUGUGACAAUAACUCAACGCAUCCAAUCCAGUUCAGUCUACAUCGAGUGAUUAGAUCCAUCUCCUAGAUCUUGUGUAUCUAUGACACUCUAUUGUGUUGCAUUAUUUUUGAGAAAUUUAUCUUGUUAAACAAAUUAAUACAUUAUAUUAAAUUAUUAAGCACUAUAUAGUUUUUUAAAUUGAAUAUGAAAAUGUCUGUAUAAAAAGUGAAGUGAACUUUCUUCUGCUGAAAAGUUGGUGGAAUAAGUUUAAUUAAGGCUGAGGUGACUUUGAAGAUUAUGAAUAAGUUGGUGAACAAUUAUUCCUUAUGAUGACUACGACAAGUUUCCAACUAACUAGUUAAACAGUGGUUGAAACAAAGUAGAUACAUAGUUAGACAGUGGUUGAAACGUGUUGAGAUUCGUUGAAUUGUGUGCUAAUCGUGGAUCUUUGGAUACGCACCAGGUUCUUGAACGCUGGCAUAUUCGGCAACGGUACGGAGUCAACCCACACGCUGCCAUACUCCGCAACCAGGGCAGCCAUGCUGGUCAGGAUCAACACCUUGCUCCAGGGCUAUUCAGGAAUCCGGUUCGAAAUUCUCGAAGCCAUCACCAAGCUCCUCAAUAACAAUGUCACCCCAUGUCUACCUCUCAGGGGCACCAUCACCGCCUCUGGUGACUUGGUCCCUCUAUCCUACAUUGCAGGCCUCUUAACCGGCCGCCCCAACUCCAAAGCAGUCGGCCCCAAAGGCGAGUCCCUGAACGCGACACAAGCCUUUGAAGCUGCUGGGAUCACCGGUGGAUUCUUCGAGUUGCAGCCAAAGGAAGGUCUGGCAAUGGUGAACGGUACUGCAGUUGGUUCGGGCAUGGCCUCGAUGGUCCUUUUCGACGCCAACAUUUUGGCGGUGAUGUCCGAGGUUUUGUCAGCGAUUUUCGCUGAAGUCAUGCAAGGGAAACCCGAGUUCACAGACCACUUGACGCAUAAGCUGAAGCAUCAUCCGGGCCAGAUUGAAGCUGCAGCAAUCAUGGAACAUAUCCUGAAGGGCAGCUCUUACGUCAAGGAAGCUGAGAAAUUGCACGAAAUUGAUCCGUUACAGAAGCCGAAACAGGACAGGUACGCUCUCAGGACAUCUCCUCAAUGGCUCGGCCCCCUGAUCGAAGUGAUCAGGUCAUCGACCAAAAUGAUUGAAAGGGAGAUCAACUCGGUCAACGACAACCCGUUGAUCGAUGUCUCGAGAGGGAAGGCAAUCCACGGAGGGAACUUCCAGGGAACACCGAUCGGUGUCUCGAUGGACAACACUCGUUUGGCAGUUGCUUCAAUUGGGAAGCUCAUGUUUGCGCAGUUCUCCGAACUUGUCAACGACUUUUACAACAACGGUCUGCCAUCGAACUUAACAGGUGGACGAAACCCCAGCUUGGACUACGGGUUCAAGGGGGCUGAAAUCGCAAUGGCAUCCUACUGCUCCGAGCUUCAGUUCCUGGCAAAUCCAGUUACAAACCACGUACAGAGCGCUGAACAACACAACCAAGAUGUCAACUCAUUGGGACUGAUUUCGGCUAGGAAGACUGCCGAAGCUGUGGACAUAUUAAAGCUGAUGUCGACAACUUACUUGGUCGCUCUAUGCCAAGCGGUCGACUUAAGGUAUAUCGAGGAGAAUCUGAAGCAGACAGUUAAGAACACGAUCAGCCAAGUAGCGAAGAAAGUACUCCUAACCAACGGGGAGGUGCUCCACCCAUCGAGAUUCUGCGAGAAGGAGCUGUUGAAUGUCGCGGAGAGGGAGUACUUGUUUGCAUAUGCUGACGAUCCUUGCAGCGCAACCUACCCUCUGAUGCAGAAGCUGAGAGGGGUGCUGGUGGAGCACGCGUUGCUGAACGGUGAGAGCGAGAAGGACUCGAGCACUUCCAUCUUCCACAAGAUUGCAGCUUUUGAGGCGGAGCUGAAGGCUAUCCUGCCGAAAGAAGUCGAGAAUGCGAGGAGCGAGCUAGAGAAUGGGAACCCGGCUAUUCCGAACAGGAUUAAAGAGUGCAGGUCGUAUCCGUUGUACAAGUUUGUGAGGGAGGAAGUUGGUACCGGUUUGCUGACGGGUGAGAAGGUUAAGUCACCUGGUGAGGAAUUUGACAAGGUGUUCACUGCUAUGUGUGAAGGGAAGUUGAUUGAUCCUUUGUUGGAGUGCCUCAAAGAAUGGAAUGGUGCUCCUCUUCCUAUCUGCUAGAACAAGACUUAUAAGCAUGCAUUGCUCUGAUGUAAUCUUUUGUAUUUUCCUGCAAACAAACUAUUAUUAUCUGAUGUAAAAGUGAAGUGGUUUUUGGUUCUUGUUUCCUUUCUUUACCCAUUAAUGUGUAAGCUAUCAAUCAGUGUAUCUUCUCUAAUUUUUAUUGGGAAUCCUUUUCUGUGUACUGGUUUCAAGACAAACGGAUGAAAUCUGUAUACGGAAGGAAAUAAUUAAUUCUCCUUGUUGCUUGAGUCAGAUUGAAGUUUCUGAGCAUGUACUGUAGAUUGAUGAACUGGAGCUCAGAAUUGCAGCUGGAAAACAUUAAGUAACCAGCUCGAUUCUGAGAGGAGGCCUUGAAUAUUCUAUAUAGAGCGGUUAAUUGAAAUCUGAGUGCGAUCGGAGAACAGAGAAGGGACGAACCCUAAUUCCCAAUUUUAAUUAUCGAUGUUUAAUCAAACAUGGGUAUCACCGUAUCAGUACAACAAAGGAAAACGACACCGGAUUGUUAUCUGUAUCAGGAAAGUUGUCGCCGACAAAUUUUGUAAGGUUAAAUGCAUAACGGUUACUUAAAUUUAGGGCAGAUAACAUUUUGAUCAUUGAAAUUUCUUGACUCUAAAUUUGUGGAUGGCGGGAAAAAUGAGACGUGAAUGACGGAUUUAAUAAACUAAUCAUUUCACAUCGCAAUUCAAUUUUCAGAUAUUUGAUUAACCGAUGAUCCAAUUUGUUUUUUGCUUAGAUAGCUCUCUGUAAGGAGAUUUGUGAUAGGCCUGCAAAUAAUGAGCCGAACUCAAGACCUCGUCGAUCAGACUUUUACGUACGACGGACCAAUCUUCGUUUCGCAUGACAAGUAGGAAUCGGCCCAAGAUGCUUGCAGUAGAAUAGGUUUGAAUUUGUUGAAUUGGUCAAUUAGUGUUACAGGUUAUAUCUCCUGAGUUGCAGGUUAUAUCUCCUUGAACAAAGGAACUCCCACCUUAUGUGGAAGUAAGUAGCGAGUAAUGGGAAGUAGUUUGGAUACAGAAUCUCAGUAGUUGUAUUUAAGCUUUCGGUCAAUGGAAUAAUAGCAGGCAAUCUUUUAUCAAAUAACUCUCUGAUAGUUUUUGUCAAGAAAUUAGAACACGAUGUUUUUCUACCAAAAAAACAAAUAUUGAUUUCAAUUUUAUUAAUAUGAAGAUAGAAAGUAGUAAAACUUAAGCAUCAACUUAUGAAAUGAGGACUAACACUCAACCGCCAAUUCAAGUGAACAAACUGAAACAAGCCGAACCACGUCUUACCUCUUUCCCAACCCAAAAUCCACCGCUCCGCCAUCAACACUAUCGAACUCUCUGUUUAUGAUCCCCGAUGAGUUUUGAAACAUCGAGAUACAUUCCGAGCAUAUUGAAAAGUCAGUCUACUAGGCCGAACAAACUCCCUAUCGUUUUUUCAUAUAUUGAAUCAUAUUGUUCUAUCGGAAUCAACGGACAUGAUUAAUAGUUUAUUUGGAUAGGUUCGUUCAUGGGAAUGGAGAGCAGUUUGAAAUCUAGGCAAAAAUGUUCCAGUAUUUCUCAUCAUAGGGGUAUUUUCGGUAUUUUCAAAAUAUUUUUUUUAUUUUUUACUUUCAAAUUUUCAACAUUUUCAUAAUGUUUAAUAACCUAAAUGUAAAAUUCAAAAUUUAAAAUUUAAAAUUUAAAAUUUAAAACCCAAUACUUUAGACUCUAAAUUUAAAAAUCUAAAUUCAAAAUCUAAAAUCCAAAAUUGAAAACAUAAUACUUUAGAUAACCUAAAAUCCAAUCCUAAAAUUCAAAACUAAAAUUUAAAAUUUUAAAACUCUUUUUCGUCGGAUUCCAAACCGUCUUUAGUUGUCGAGUUUUGACUGCUGCGCCAACAGUAGCAAUAGCAAUUUUCGGUUUGAUCCAAGGCUUAGCCAAGCGGAGUUGGUGACUAAAGCGACAUACUAACCACACCAAACUCCAAACUUUUAUUUCCCACACUAACCCCAUCAUCACCACAAGGUUGGUAGCUCCGGAGGUACCUUAUGUUUUCCCUAUGUACAAAUUCAGCACUCUUCCUUCAGAAAAUAAUGUCCGGCCCGGUACCAUUCUUUUGCUCAAAAUGAAAAUUCCACUUAUUCUUACGGUUAAUUCAAUCGUAUAAAUUAUUCUUUUCAUAUCACUUAAACUUGAAUCAACAUUUUCAGUGUUUAAGUUUUAGAUAAUCUUCUCUCAAAAUAGAAAAAAUCGAACGAUCAUCAUUUUUCUCUUUACAAUAUUUCUAAAUCACUUUUCAACUUCGUAACCCUUUAUACUAUUUCAAUCUUUAUAAAUCCUUAUUGUUCGAAGAUUUCAAGCAAAAGUAAUUAUACACUUCAUUCUUACAUCUUUUACAUAGUAACAAUCUAGAAUCCGACAACCUUUUCUUUAUCGUUCUUUUAACAACUUUAUAAACCCUUCAAAAAUUUCAAAAACAACAUUUAAAACGUCCACCUAAACUCCAAUAAUAUAGAAAGGGCUUCUUAGGGUGGCGAUGACAUGUAGUGAUGAGGUAAGGGAAAAAGAUAGAUGUAUUUGUUUUGUAAUGAAUAAAUACAUGUAUUUUAAUUUUGAACAUAUCCUUAAAAAUAUAUCAUAUACCAAAAAUAGCUUUUUAAAAAAGAGUGUACUUGAAAGACAACUAGUUCUCCUAAAAACCCUUGAGCUGAAAAUGCCGUCGCUGUUAUAGUUGCCGCCGCUAUUCUAUAGUCUAUAUCAUUAUCGCUACUGUUUUAGUUGUUGCUUUCCUAUGAAAGUUUGUUGUACUCUUUCAGAGAGUUUUGUUCCAAAAAUUUUAGCCGUUACUCAUCUUUCAUCAAUCCGUCAAUCAUGAAUUAUCAUUAAGGAUUACGAUCUGAACCUGCAAUAUCACCGAUGGCUCCUUGCGAAUUUUCAUCACAAGCGGAAAUCACCACCUCGAAAUCGGAUACUACCCCUUUAAAAAAAGAGUAUGCUUAUUUGGUCAUGGGAUAAAUAUUAGGUACCCAACACCACCGCCACCCACCAACCAAAGGUUAAAAAUGGAAAAGAAAAUAUCGCAAAUGAGUAAUUUAGCCAUUUAAUGAUUUGAUUAAGGAAAAAUUAGGACUUCCACGUAAAUUGAUAAAAUACCCAAUUACCUACUGCUACCACUGACUCGCUACGCCUAUAUAACUCUCUUAACCAACCCUCACCUGUUUUCCGCUUCCUCACUUGCUUCCAUACUCUGCUGCAGCUCCCUGUUCUUCAUCAGCUCCAUCGCAUUUGGAUCUCAUCAACACUCUAGAUUUACAAAAUGGCGUCCGAAGGUAUCUUGUUGGGCAUGGGAAACCCGCUCCUCGACAUCUCUGCUGUUGUCGACGACGGCUUCUUGUCCAAGUAUGUCAUCCUAAUCGAUAUCUGAUUCCAUCUCUCUUUCACACUUCUCCGCUGAUCAUUAUGCUGAGAAGUCAGAUCUAGGAAAUGGGUCCGAAUCAUAAUUGAUGUAUUAUGGGAUGUAUUGUACUGUUGUUCGUUUUAUGGUACUGGAUCUGUGUUCCUUUUUGAAGCGUUUUUAAGUGAUGGGGUUUUUUCUUGAUUUAGGAGAGAUUGGAUCUCAUCUUUGUGUCCCUUAAGCUGAUUUACGACUAAUGGAUUUGAAUUGACGAAUCCAUGUUCUCUUCGGAUUGGGGAUUUGCACUUUCUAUUUCGAAUCUGGGGAAUGAUCAGCUUUCACUGUCUGUCUAAUUGCGGAAAAUUUGUUAUGAUGUUUAGUUUUUUUGGGUGAACUAAUGUGGUGGAACUUAGCUAAGAUUGACCUGAUGCUUUCACUGUUUGAUCUCGAGCUAACUCUGAGCUGAUUCAUUACAUAGGUAUGGCGUCACGCUGAACAAUGCUAUUCUUGCCGAGGACAAGCACUUGCCCAUGUAAGUUUCUUAUUUCUGUGUUCAAGACUAUCCUUUUUUCUUGACCUUUGUACAAUCUUGAACUGAUUCAGCUUGUGAAGUUAUAUGACUUGAUUUACGCUUGGAUUUUGAAGGUAUGAUGAAAUGAGCAGCAAAUAUUCUGUCGAGUACAUCGCUGGAGGUAACAUUGAGAUCCUGCAAGUACUUUCAUGACAAAGCACUUGUUCUUUCGAAAAGGUUCUGCAUAUUAAUCCUUUUAUUCGCUCAUUAAAAUUAUAGGUGCCACUCAGAACUCCAUCAGAGUUGCUCAGGUAUGAUGAAUGUCACAUGGCAGUUUUUUAUGUCUUCCAGGAUAGCACCUAUGUUUGUACUGUUGCUGAUUUUCUUUCGACGAUUUUCUGUAUAUUUUGCAGUGGAUGCUCCAAAAACCUGGUGUAACUAGCUACAUGGGUUGCAUUGGGAAAGACAAGUAUGGUGAGGAGAUGAAGAAAAACGCCACGGACGCUGGCUUGAAUGUAUGUAACGCUUAAUCUCCAGUUUACUCUCUGGCUGGUUUCUCUUCAUCUCACUGUUGAAAUCAUUUUUCAUUUGCCAUGAUAAGGUCCAUUAUUAUGAAGAUGAAGCUGCUCCUACUGGGACAUGUGCUGUCUGUGUUGUUGGUGGUGAGAGGUUAGUUGGUUUCGAUCUUAAGGCUGUCUAAUAUGUAACUUGCAUUUCAAAUACAUUGGUGAAUCCUUGUACUCAUUUUUGCCUAUAAUGUUGCAAAAUUAACUACUCUUAGGUUUCAUGUGAUUCCUAUUGUUCCGAAACAAUAAUCAACUUUGAUAUCGUUGACUGAUGGUCUUCUGAUUAUUCUAAUCGAUACAUCCAACUAUCCAAGUGAUUCUGGAGAGUGAUAAAUCAUGAUGCAGUAGACAUCAUCGGUUUUAAAUGUUUCCUCAGAUUUAUUUCAGGGAAUUGCUUUCAUCUAUGUGUUUGCAUCAGUUAUACGAUUUAGCUGUAAGAAUUUCUAUUAUAUAUAAAGUAGAACAAUGAACUCCUUGUUAAUAAUUCUACAGGUCACUUAUUGCAAAUUUGUCUGCUGCAAACUGUUACAAAAUUGACCAUUUGAAGCAAGCUGAGAACUGGUCUUUAGGUAUGUCUUGCACUUCAGACCUCUAAUGUUCUACUUUGUUCUUGAAUGCAUUGUCGUAUCCCUUAUUGUGUUUGGUUUUUUAUUUUGGUUGUAGUUGAGAAGGCCAAAUACUACUACAUUGCCGGAUUUUUCUUGACCGUAUCUCCCGAAUCUAUCCUUCUUGUGGCUGAGCAUGCAGCUGCCAAGAACAAGGUAUGCAUUAUCAGGUGGUACGUUGUAGUUAUUGCUUUUAAUGUUCAUAAUCUAAGUCUAUUGCUGUUCGCAGAUCUUCUCAACCAACCUUUCUGCUCCAUUUAUCUGCGAGUUCUUCAAGGACGCCCAAAUGAAAGUUCUACCGUAAGCGUUUACACCAAAAUUUGCGUUCAUAGCAUCAAGUUCUUUUCAUGCUCUAGCUUAGGCUCUGACAUAAUCUUGUUUUUUAGUUAUGCGGACUACGUGUUUGGCAAUGAGACUGAAGCUAGAACAUUCUCUAAGGUCCAUGGAUGGGAGGUAAUUGCUUAUCGACAUUGCUGGAUUGCCAACUUUGUCUGUUUUUAACACUAAAACUUGCACUGAAAUCCGAAACCUUUGUAAACACUUUUUUUUUUCUUUCUCAGACUGAGAAUGUAGAGGAGAUUGCUGUUAAGAUCUCCGAGUUGCCCAAGGCUUCAGAUGCACGCAAGAGGAUUACUGUUAUCACCCAGGGAGCUGACCCAGUUGUCGUUGCACAAGACGGGAAGGUGAAGACUUUCCCAGUCACCUUGUUGCCUAAGGAAAAGCUCGUGGACACCAAUGGAGCUGGUAAGUACCCUUUCAAAUACAACUUUCUGGUUCAUUGAGGAUCUGGGUAGACCUUAUAACGCCAUCGCCUAUUCUCCAUGACCAGGGGACGCCUUUGUCGGAGGGUUCUUGUCGCAGCUGGUGCAGGAGAAGCCAAUUGAAGACUGUGUUAGAGCUGGAAUCUACGCGGCCAAUGUGAUCAUCCAGAGGUCAGGAUGCACAUACCCAGAGAAGCCAGAGUUUAACUAGAUCCAGAUCAUCAAUGGAAGCCCUCCACAAGCACAGCAAUUAUAGUAAUGAAUUUUACGUCAAGUUCUCUAUUCCGCUGAAACAUUGAUCUGAUUGUUGCGGCAUUUAAAUUAUAUUAUUGAAAACUCCAGGAAACUAGAGGUUUUUGUUUUCGUAUGCUGUGCCAUUGAUAUAUUGGAGUUAGUUGGUAUUGCAGUUUGUGCUUACCUGGAAGGUUUGGGGAUGGUUUAAGGUAUGCGAUGGGAAAAAUAAGAUGGAAGUGUGCUGGGUUAAGUCAAGAAAUAGAGUUGUUUCGGUUGAGUUGAGUUUUACCCAAUUUGAGCUCGGCUAUUUGCAAGGCUUAGCGAUCUUGAGCCCGGCUGGUUGCAAGUUUCAAUGAACUCGAGCUCGAACCGUUCACAAGGCUAACGAGCUUGAACUUGAGGGUCACUCAUUCCCAAGAAUAGUAGAAUUAAGGCAUCACAUUUUCAUACUAUUCUUAAAUUGACUCGACCACUAAAAUUUUAUCAAGUAAUUAGUUGUUGAGAAAUAUUUAUUCAUCAUGAAAUUCUUGAUUUUUCUAGAUGGAUCUUGAGCCUAUUCACGAGUUUAUAAUCAAACCAGUAAUCGAGUCGUUUGUAAGCUUUCAAUUCCCCAGCUUGCCAACUACAUAAAUCGAGUCAUCACGCGAAUUAUAAGCGAGCUGGCUCACAAACUUAGUCCGCGAGAUAGACAAGACAAGUCGGGAUUAACUAUUGUUUACCUUGUUUAUUGAGCCAAAUCGUUUCACACCAAACCGAACUCCGAAAUGCUGGCUUCGUCAACAACCCUAGUCAAGAAAUAAGGUGGUUUCGAAUUUCGAUAUCCUAGUCGCAUCAGUACCAUAUUACCAUAUUACCCCUCCCACCAGUGUGAUAUUCAUAUUACCCAUCCAGCUGCCAUGUGUCAAUCCAUAGUCCGACCACCCCUGCAAAAAGCUCCCACCGACUUCCUUGACAUUGUUGCCAAAUAUCAGAUUCCCCCCCCACUACUUAUCCCACCAUCCCAUCCUCCCCCGUAUUUUCUCCAAAAGCCAACAACUUUCGAUUCCCAUUUUCCUCAUCCAGAAACCCCGACACUCUUUCACUUCACUGUAUCACCAAUGGCCGCUGCAGCACCACCGCCGCCACCGUCCCCGACUCCCAACCCACCAACGGGAUUACCAAACUCCGAUACCAACGCCCCAGUCGGCUACCCACUCUUCUCCCGCAUCCGCCUCGCCACCCCAACCGACGUCCCCCACAUCCACAAGCUAAUCCACCAAAUGGCCGUCUUCGAGAAGCUCACCCAUCUUUUCUCCGCCACCGAAUCAAACCUCUCCUCCUCCCUCUUCACCUCCCCUCCUUUCCAAUCAUUCACCGUCUUCCUCUUAGAAAUCUCCCGCUCCCCUUUUCCCAACGCCCCAACUCCUUCGCCUGUUUCCACCACCCACCGCAUCGUUAACCUCGACCUUCCCGUCAUCGACCCGGAGGCUGAGACCUUCAAGACCGGCGAUGAUGUUGUGGUUGCUGGAUUCGUGCUGUUCUUCCCCAAUUACUCCAGCUUCUUGGCCAAGCCUGGGUUUUAUGUUGAAGAUCUGUUCGUGAGAGAGUGUUAUAGGAGGAAAGGGUUUGGCAAGAUGCUGCUUUCGGCUGUGGCGAGUCAGGCUGUGAAGAUGGGGUAUGGGAGGGUUGAGUGGGUUGUGCUUGAUUGGAAUGUGAAUGCCAUCAAUUUUUAUGAAGGGAUGGGUGCGAAAGUGUUGCCUGAGUGGCGCAUUUGCAGGCUGACUGGCUCUGAACUUGAAGCCUAUGGCGAUUCUGCUCCUGCUCUGUAGAAGGCUGCUAUUUAGUUAGUGCUGAGUGGUUCUUACUUUCUAGGGAUCUUUGAUCGCCUUGUAUGGGUUUUUAUGCAAACUAUGUGCUGCUAAUUAUUGAAAUGAAACUUUCUGAUGCUUUUCGAGUUCUUAUUCUCUGUAUAUUGGAUGCUUUAUGAAAUUCAGUUCUGCUGCAUUUUAGCAUAUUUUCAAAUGGAGUGAAUGAUUGAACUGUCGUUAGUUGGUUUUUCAAAUUCCUCUUUCACUUGUUACUUAUAUGACAAUGUACCAGGGAAAACAAGUUAUAAAAACCUGCUGUUAAGUUAUGAAGUUACUGUUCUGCUGCAGUUUAGCUUAUUUUUGCAAAUGGAGUGAAUAAUGAAGCCUUCAUUCGUUUGAUACUUCAAUUUAUUCUUUCACCCGUUAUUUAUGUGACAAUGUACCAGGGCAAACAAGUUACAAGUUACAAAAACCUGUUAUUUAGUUGGAUACAUACUAAUACUGAUAAGCUGGUAUUCUGAUGUGUGUAUAUCAGAGUUCUUUUGCUAGCUCCAACUAGUAUGGAGCUGUGGUCCAUGGCCUUAUUGGGUUUCUAGUGAACCCGAAGAGAAGGUACAUAAAACAGUAGAGUUCAGCUCUCUUUUACUGUGAUAAAGGAGGCUGCAAGUGGUUGCCGGUACAAAGAUCAUGAUGUUUGUCUGUGACUGAGGUUCUAGCAAAUGAUAUGAUCAGACAUGGUUCUUAAUGGCCUUACUGUAUCCACUUUGCUCAUCAUAGUACUUUGACCACAACAUGACGCCACCGUACUUCUUAGAUUUCUUGAUUGUAGGCAAUACCUUGUUGAUCGGAUCAUGAGCAGGGAUAAAACCACUGCCUGCUGCACCUUCUGCAGCAGGGAGCCCCAAGAAGACCUUUUUAGUGGGAAUGGAGGAAGUCCAUCGAUGCCAAGCAUCUUCGAGUCCAUCGAUGCUCCCAUCGGAGUAUUGGCAAGGAGGGUUGUUGUACAAUUGCACCCAAAGGUAGUCGAAAAGGCCUGUGGUGAGUGCGCUUCCAACCCAUGCAUCAGGGAAUAUACACUGGGGAGCUGCAGUUACAUACACUUGCUUAUUCCCCCCAUUGUUGUGAUGUUUCAGGAACCUUGCGAGAUCGCUCCAGUGCUCGGGAGUCCCUCCUUCAAUGUCAAAAUCAAUCCCGUCCAGAACUGCCUCACCGAGUGGCCUUGAUGAGGAAUGCCCUCCCAGAAAGUUGUCCCACAGGUAAGUUGCGACUUUUCUUGCGUCGUCUGUACUUGUGAGAUAGUAACUGCCAACUCCACCUCCAAUGGAGAGCAAGACCUUAACACCUUUCUCUUGACACGACUUUAUCUCGGAGCUUAGUCCUUCACAGCCUCCGGAUGUCAGAUUGCAAUGCCCGGCGAGGUUGAUCGUCGGCGUUUGGCUGUUGCCAAAUGUUGGCAGGAAAGCUAUUAUCACAUAUCUGUAGUCUCCAGUUGCACAAGUCUCUUCCAGGCUCGCUUCAUUUCCGUUUUGUCCCCAGUAGAUCGCUAUGCUUCCAGCUUCUAAACUCUUGAGCAUUGACAAUAAGCGCCACAUUAGUGAGGUUGCUGCCCUGGAAAAAGCUGACAUCUUGCUCGAAAGAAAUGCUCGCUUUCUAUUGUAUGAUUUCUAUCUCUCUCCUUUAUAUGUACUGUUGCCUGUUGCUGAGACAUUCCUUUUAUACCGUAGUUUUUACUGCAACUUAGGAGUGGGACGAUUUAAUGAUCAAAGUUGCAUUCUUUUCAUAUAUAAAACUAUAUUCUAGAGGAUGAAAGGUUGUGGGAACUUGUUUUGAUCUUUUGUCGCAGGUCUAAUUAUUCUGUUGCAUGUGAUGUCCAUAAGGAAUGAUAGAGUCAGAAGAAACACGUGUGUGAAUCAGAGUUGAUAAAACUUCCUUGGUAAAGUCGACCAAUUUGUUCCUUCUGGUUUUAUUUGUGUGUCCAUUUAGAUGAAAAAAUCUAAUCCUUGGAGUCUUUCCUUUGAAAUGAGUCUUAAGAGUGUUGUUAUUGCCAACUUCUUACGCUUCUUUGGUGAUUAAUUUAUGUCACUUGGUUGAAACCAUACGACUCAAAAGCUGAGAUUUUUUGUCGUUAAAUAUAGUUCUGUUCAUCAGCAAGUCUCUUUUGCAGGUUUUGAUUUGUGGUUUGAUACUUCAGUUGUAAUCUGAUUGGAUAUCGGUAUGGAAAUUAGGCAGAGCAAGGGAUCAUCAUAUAACAGUAAAAGAGCUUUUUUGUACAUAAGGUGCAUUCAGGCAAGUGCAUUCUCACAAACGAUUCACAUACAAAUAUAGAAAAGGGAGUGCAUAUUUGUGGCCUGAUGCCACAUAAUUUUAGACCGAGUUCUUGAUGGCUUUGCUGUAUCCAGUUUCGUCAUCGUAAAACUUCGACCACAGCAUAACACCACCGUAUUUAUCACUGUCCUUGAUUGCAGGGAGGAUCUCAGAUUCAAGAUCAGACGCAGGGAUGAAACCGCUCCCAGCUGCAUUCGGUGCAGCAGGCAGCCCGAGGAAGAUCUUCUUAGCUGGAAUUCCAUUCCAUUGCUUCCACGCAUCUUCGAGGUUGCUGAUGCUUCCGGAAGAGUACUGGCAAGGAGGAUUGUUGUAGAACUGAACCCAAACAUAGUCAAAGAGUCCCGUCUGAAGCGCAUUCCCUAUCCAUGCAUCGGGAAACGGGCACUGAGGAGCCGCACUCAGUAAAAUCUUCUCGCCGCGAGAUUUUAGAGACCUGGCUAGAUCGUCCCAGUACAUGUUCGUUCCUCCUUCGAUGUCGAAGUCAAUCCCGUCAAGCACAGCAGGACCGAGUGGCCUCGACGAAGAGUGUCCGCCCAAGAAGUUGUCCCAAAGGUAAGUUGCAACGUUUUCCGCGUCUUGGGUGGAUGCAAGAUCGUAGCCUCCAGCUCCUCCACCGAUCGAAAGCAGCACCUUGAUCCCCUUAGCUUGACACGCCUUGAUGUCGGAGCUCAGACCGGCACAACCGCUGUUAGUUGGAUCACAGUGGCCUGCUAGGUUGAUUUGUGGCGGCUGUCCAUUGCCAAAUGAUGACAGGAAAGCUAUGUUCACAUAGUGAUAGUUCCUUGUGGCGCAAGUUUCGGCUAGGGUGCCUUCUUGCCCGUUCUGUCCCCAGUAGAUUGAUAUUCCGCCAGCUUCAGAACCAGCCAUCAGCGCUGCCAGAAGGAUUGAUGACACGAGGAUUGACAUUGCCAUGGCUGCCCUGAAUGCCAUUCUAGUCACUUUGUUUUCCUGAGGUUUUUUGCCUUUUGUUUGGGGAUGCUUCUGGGUUGCAAGGUUCGUUUCUGUGUUCCUUUUUAUAGGCAGCAGAGCUUGAAAGCUCCCUUGUGAGUUCAUCUGUUGGAUGAUUCUCAUUACUGCGUGGAGUAGCAGUAACUUUGUUUAUAGAUGGAUGAAUGAAUGAAUGAAUGGAAUUGAAUCAACGUUGCUGCUGUUGCUGCUAACUAAUAAGAUAAGGGUCAUGGAUGAGCUCAAAGAAUUUCAACGAAAGGGAACAGAUAAAAAUUGAGAUGAUAACUUUACUGGUUUCGCAUUAUGAUCUCAAAUACUUUUUUAUGUAACAAUUUGGUGAUUGUGAAAUAUAUCUUCUCAGUUCUCACAGCUUGGUUUGUUUUUUAGACGAAUAGGCAAUAGCUUCAUUAAUCUUAUCAAUGCUGCAAAAAAGUAUCACAUGGUUCAAUAUUAACUGGAUUUAUACCUGACUUUUGAUUUGUUUACUUUUAACUAUUUUGAUUAACACACAAUGAUUUAAAUUGAUAUUAUCAAUUUUCAAUUUACAAAAGAAUAAAUAUUAAUUAUUUAUAAAAGUCAAUUUAAAAAUGAUCCCAAAGAUUAUAAUUUUAAAAAUAAUAUUAAAGUAAAAAUACUAAAAUCUAAAAGGAGAUGCAGAAAUAGAUACAGAAAAAAAAAGAGUUAGAUGUGGAAGAGAAGGCUUAAUAUGAAGAGUACUUUUAUUAGGGUUCUUGCUCCCAUUUCAUCCAUCUACAUCGUGCAUAAAUACACCCCUUCCUUUACGAAAUCAAAAAUAUUAACCGAACAAUAACGAUAACUGAAAUAAUAGCCGAAAUAAUAAAAAAAUCUAACCGAAAUGAUAAUAGCUAACCAAAAUAAUAAUAAUAGUAAAAGUGAAAUAAUAAUACCAAAACACCCAUAAUUAACCCAAAUGUAUUGACGCGGCCCGGCCCGUCACACAACCAUUCGAGUGGCGGUCAAAUGUGAAGUUAAAAAUGCAAUUUCCGUAUGACGGUUUAUUGGGUAUUAAUGGUUUUUUAUUUAAAUUGAUUGAUUUUUAAUAUGUGUUGGUAAUGGAUAGAAAUUCAAGUUGCAUUAUGUCAANNNNNNNNNNNNNNNNNNNNNNNNNNNNNNNNNNNNNNNNNNNNNNNNNNNNNNNNNNNNNNNNNNNNNNNNNNNNNNNNNNNNNNNNNNNNNNNNNNNNNNNNNNNNNNNNNNNNNNNNNNNNNNNNNNNNNNNNNNNNNNNNNNNNNNNNNNNNNNNNNNNNNNNNNNNNNNNNNNNNNNNNNNNNNNNNNNNNNNNNNNNNNNNNNNNNNNNNNNNNNNNNNNNNNNNNNNNNNNNNNNNNNNNNNNNNNNNNNNNNNNNNNNNNNNNNNNNNNNNNNNNNNNNNNNNNNNNNNNNNNUUUUAUAUACAAGUUUGGAAAGGUUUUUGUAAAACAUAAUGGUUGGUUUUUACGGUCAAUGAGAUAGAAAAAAUAAUGUAACGUGGCCAUGGGAUCUCUAUUGAUGAAUGAUGAUGCUGAUGUUGAUGAUGGCAUGAUUUAUGAAGAUGAAGAUGGUGCUAAAGAAUUGAAACUUAAGAAACAUAAAAAUAACAAUAAUUAAUGAUUUGGUUCAUUUUUUUAUAAACUUUAAACCCUUAACUAAAAUCUUAAAUAAUAAUUUAAACAAAUUCAACCAUUAAAUAAAUAAUAAAAAAUUUCGGUAUUUCUGACUUAUUGAUAUUUCCGAUAAAAUAAAAUUUAUCAUAAACAGGUAUUAAAGUAACCAGUUGUUAAGAAUAAAUCUCGAUCGUUCCUUCUUUAUUUUAAAAAUUAUAUUAAUUCAAAAAAUAAUUAACUUAAUGAUUACUUAACUUAAUUAUAAUAAUUAUUAAACCUAUAUAUAUAUGUUUUUAUCUUCCCGUGUUGGUAUGGCGUCCAAUCGCUCAUCCCCAUGAGCUAAAAUAAUAUGAUAUACAUCUUUUUACAUAAUUAUUUUAAUUUCGAAAAAAAUUGCACCGACGAACCCUGACUGUUGAUCACUUCCAAAACCUCCUCCGUCGUCACCUCCUCCGUCGUCAUAGGUCAUUCUCUUCCUUCUCCUUGUCGAUUAGGCUGGGUUGGCUCGGGUGUGGUGGAUUAAAGCAGAACUAACUAUAUAUAAUUGGAGAUUGGAAAUUGAUUGGUGUGUGAAGAUACAAUGGCCAGCUUCCCUUUCUUCUUCUCUAAUAUUGAUGUCGACCACCGGCUCCUCACACGCCGACCAUUCCUCGUCCCUCCCAUGUUAGCUUUCGUUGAUCUUGGAAAAUCUCAUUAUCCUAGCUCCCAUGUUGUAUGGACCUUGCAAGAUCUCUCUCAUGUGGUAUGUGGCAACUCGAACUUUGGCAGUGCCAUGGAUGGUGUAUGGUAACCAGUAAGCACUUCUCAAACUGUUUUUACACAAAGAUUAUUCCCACCCUAAGAAGCUUUGACACGGCUGAAUCGAUUCAACAAAAUGAAAGAUUGCGGAGAAGAAGAAAUCACUUGGGAGGAGGAGCUACAGCCGGCUCGUAGCUGUCGCCGGACGGCGGGGGAUGAACCAGAAAAGAUGGGAGACUGAAAGAAAAUCGCUAAUGGCAAAAGGUUAAAAAAUAUUUGAACUGCUUGCAACAGAUAUAAUUUUGACAAAUUCCCCAUACAAACGCUUAGAAAACUGGAAAUAGUUCAUUCAUUCAUUGGGCCAAACCCGGUUAGUGUGGAUACCGAAGAGUCUCAAGCUUCGCAUGGAAACAAACAAUGCCCUCUGGAUGGAGUGUCCCGGCUGACUUUAGCAUUACUCUUGUCGACCAACAUGGUGGCACUUGUUCCGUGAAAAAGUGUAACUAUCCCACUGGAAACUCGGGUCUUUUUCCAGCUACUCAUCGAUUCUUCUGUUGUAUAGUUAUGUGAGUAGACUGUUGUUCCUGCAUGUACCAUGCACAAUUUCCAUGCGAACGAGGGUGAUUGGGGGUUUAUCUCGUUUGUUCCCAUCGAUCUUGCUCAGAAACACUACAUUGUCGAUGAUUCCCUUGUUGUUGAAGCUGAAAUUUCUACCGUUAAAUAACUCUUUUAGGAUUUGUGUAAUGGUCCUUUUUUUGCUGAUCACCUCUCAAAUGUUGACAAUGUCUUGUUUAAUUGCAGGAUGCAAUAGUAUCAAGCUGCUACUGCUGAUGAACCUAAAGUAGUUGAGGAUGAUCAAUCUCACCAGUCUACCGAAGAAUCAUUGUCCCAGCCCCUUCAACCAGAGCUGCAGUCAAUCAACUCUCUUAGCUAAUUAGAAUUCACCUGCUCACGUUUGACCAUUUCGUUUCUUGUCUGCGAGCUCUUUAGCUUGUUCAGGUUGAUAAUCCUGUUAAGGCAAAUGAAAACUCCAGCAGUUCUUUCUCACCAUCAACUGUGUAGUCAACCACUCAGCAAAUUGAUUUCGGAACUUUCAACCAUGACUAGCAGUCACAACUUAUCACCUGACUCGAAUCAAGGCCAUGGUUCGGACUUGCAGCAACAGAAAAACGAUAAACAUUGGCUUGUUCGAUAUGUCACUUGAGUCCCUCUGCCAAACCAAAUCUCUUGAAGAAGUAGAGAACGUUGCUCACGAGAUUCUUGUGCUGGCAGCUGAUCGCUCUCGCCAGAAGGCUGUUCUGGAAGACCUUAUCUCGCACCUGGCAGAGUUUAAGGAGACUGCUCCUCUCUGUCUGUCAACUCUCGAAACUUGCCUUGUUAUCGAAACUUCUAAAGGCAAAUAUGAGCAAGGAUUUGGAGGGGAGGCUGGCUUACAGGAAAGGGAAACUGUCAACUUUGCAGGCAGAGGUUUCUAAACUUGUGGAAGAAGGCUUGAAGCUGGAUGUCGAAAUUCAACAAUUAACUGCUCGGAGGGCCAAAAUUCUUGAACCCGUGAAUUCUACUUCGGUGGAACUGGAGAAGGCUAACCAAGAGGCUUCCAAGGAACUGGAUGAACUGAAGAAGGAAAGUAACGAGAUUAAUCAAGCAGGCAAAAAGCGGAUGAGAGCCAUGGAGGACCUUGCUCAGGCUAAUGCAAGUUGGAAACUUUUCAAGAAUUUAGGAUGGAAAUAGUAUUAGUAGUAGGUUUAAGUCUUUGAUGGGUCCAUCGUUGAAGUUGUAACUAACUUCUGAACUCUCUGCGAUCAGAGUUUAUGGUAUGAGCUUUUGGAUACAGCAAUAGCAGAAUGGAAUAUCUGCGUUUAUUUCUGCUGACAGGCUUCGCACUAAGGCUGAACCCAAAAGUUUUAAGCUUUUCCUCUUCGAUCGAGCUCCGACUUAUACAAUACAUCUGGCUUACACCGCAGUUCAAACGUCUCUCUAGUUCCCUACCCACAGUUACUGAAACCGAACAGCCGAAGCUGCAAAAUAUUAACAUACUUUUGUUACAUGCUAACAUGUUCCAAUCCCAACUGAUAGCUCACUCAUGCAGAAGAGACUACUAAUUAACUUAAACUAAUGGCCUUCACGGAGAUUCCUUUUCAGAUCCUUAUUCUCCUCAUUGAGAUGAUCGAUCCUCGACUGGAGAAUGUUGGCCAUGGCAUUAGCCCUCAUCAGUUCCAGCUUCAGAGUCUCUCUAUCGACAGAGACUUUGUGGACCUCGCUCUGCAGGUCAUUGAUGAGCUUCAUGCACCCAGAAGGGACCAGAGACUCGAGGCUAGCGGAACUACUAGAUGUGGGUUUCUUCGGGGAAGGCGUACGUUCCUUAGGCUCCAUCAGAGAGAACUCCAGCAGUGCAGAGAUGGCUGUGGUUGGGGGAGGCGGGGGGGGGGGGCGACGGUGCGAUCGUGUCUGUUGUGGUUGUGGUGGAUGAGCAGAGGUCCUGGGGUGUCCGUGUUGUUGACUUCUCAGAGCCGUUGGAAUCGUAAUCAUGGCCGUGCUUUCUUCUUUUGUAUUGGAUCAGCGGGAAUUGAGCUUCUGUGUUGAGAACGCACAUCGGAGCAUCCAGCUCCUCCAUCUCUUCCACGGUUUCGUUCUUGCACAGGGAUAAGAGAUCUCGGGUCACCUUCGGAACUUCGUUCACGUCGAAUGGUUCUUUGCUAAUUGAAAGCUUGUCCUGCACAGCAAAACCCAAUCAUUCUUUGAUAGCCAACUUAGAAAAAGAUCAGUUCUUUUUCCAAUUGCCACUUACCAGUCUUAACAAAUUCUCCAUUGCACUCGAAACAAAAUAAGAAGAUUCAUUCAUCAUGCCUACAGAUUUAUCAUAAAAGCAAGAAGUUUGACGAACCUGCUCAACUCGGUUCAUCUCAGCAUAAGCUUCACUGCAAGCUACACGUUCAUCUGCCACAUCUUCUCCAGGGACAAGGACUGGCUUAUUAUCAUCAUCCCACUCUUCCUCCAUAAAAGGAGCAUAUCGGUUUCCAUUUGGGGGUCCGAUAUUGUUCUUGUGAAACACUCUACAUAGCACAAAUGAAUCUCCCUACACCCACAGCCACAACAAAAGAUUCGAUCUUGUCAAAAAAUGGCCAAAAUGAAACCCACGUUUUGGAUUGCUAAGCACUUCUCAAAAUCUCACCUGAAGAUUGCCGAUUCUCUCCAACUCCUCGUCAACUAAGCGGUACUCAUGCAUGACCCAAUUGGUACGAUGGCCCCCGGGGGCUCGUCCAUUGUGGAACACAAGGGUCUUCUUCAUUGCAAUGAGUUGGUUGUCUCGACGAAUUCCCCGGUCUUUCCCGGUGGCUUUCCAGUAGCCAGUGCCAGUGGCUCUGUUCAUUCUUCCACCAUUUCCGUACUUCCUAUCCAAUGCACCAUAGAAGUACCACUCUUGGUCUCUGGUUUUCAACCUUGACUUGUCUGAAACUCCGCACAAGAUUCAACCCAGAGUUACAAACAGUAAGCAAAAGCAUACACAGAAUCAAGCAAUCCAGACACAUUUUAACCAAAACAAUGAACAUAAUUUGGAAAAACAUAGAAAUCCACAUCAAGAUUGGAACUUGAGAGCACGUAAUUGCGUACCCAAAUCAAAUUAUCCAAACAAUAAAAAUCCAAGACAAACUAACUACCAAGAGAAAUGAAAAAAAAACGGACCGGCGAGUUCCCAGGGCUCGUUUCGGUAGAUAUCAACUUCAGCGAUGGCGUUGAAGCGGACGGGCUUGCUCCCAACCUUACGCCUCAAGUAAUAGCUAACCAGCUCUUCAUCAGUUGGAUGGAAUCGGAAACCAGGGGCCAAAGCAGUAGUACUGGAAGCCGCUGGCUGCGUCUUACGAGGCGGCGCAGCCGGAGCUAACGCAAAAGUGGCAGUGCUAGCCGCCGCCGCCGCCGGAGGUAACGGGAGCGCGUUGGGGAUUUCUGAUUGUGGAGCCAUGGAGGGGAUAAGUGACGGCGAAGGAAAGGGAUUCAUUUAGGGUUUGGAAGUGGCGUGGGCGAGAGGGGUAAAUGGAGGGAGGAUUGGAUUGGGGAGGAAGAUUAGGUACCUUCGAUUGCAAGCAAUUAAUUCGGUUUGCUUCGCUGGGUUUGGAAUAGUCGAAGUGGGAGGAGAAAAGGAAAGGGAAAGUUGCGACUGUGAGAGUGUUGUUGUUGUUUACAGUCAUCAACGACACGGAGUCAGAGACGAUAAUCUACUAAGUAUUCAUUUAUUUAUUUAUUUUCUCUCAUUUCAGUUUUGGGCCUUCUGGGCCUUAUGGGCUUUUGGGUUGAUUAUUUCUCAUUUUGGUUUGCUUUUACAUGCACAAUAGGUACAAAAUAACUCCUCUUCCAUGAAGGUAAUCAACAGGAUUGUCUUCACGAUCAUGGCAGCAACCGCUUAUUUCAAUUUCUCUUCUUUAUCUCCUCCAUCAACUCCUUCUUCCAGAGGCCCCACCUCCCACAAUUACUCCUUCAAGAUUCUCAUGGUCGGAGAUCCGCCGUCGGCGCAGGAGCAGUAUUCUCCUCAGAUUCAUUUCCGAUUCCGAUCACCACCCUUCCCCCACUAUCGGUAUCAUAUUAUCACUCCUCUUUCCCAUUCAAUAUCUGCUUUCUGAUUUGGAAACAUUUUUUGUCCUGAAUUUGGAUUUGAAUCUCGUAGAUCACAUUCGUGCAUGCCGAUUGUUUGAUGAAUUUCCUCACUGGACAAUGACAGAAAGUAUAUUGGCAAAGUUAAAUAGCAUUGCUUGCAUGUAGUUGGUUUCAAACUGUCCGACUCUUUCUUUCCGAUUAAUGCAGGUGUGGACUUUAAGAUGAAGACAGUCAUGGUCAAUGACAAAAGAUUGAAGCUUACGAUUUGGGAUACAGGUAAUUAAUUCAUUCUGUGCUACUUGUUCAUCUUUAAAUCACAAACUACUUCGAGUAUAGUUUAAUUACGAAUUCUCUGCAUAUAUACUCAUUGACCCCCUUUUGUUAACAAACUUGUUUUGUGAUUGUAGCUGGACAGGAGAGGUUUGGAGCGUUAACAACAUCUUAUUACAGAGGACCACAUGGCAUCAUACUAGGUAACCCAUUACUAUCGUGGAGCACUUGCUUUUUUAGUUGUCUGUUACUUUCAGUUAUCUACCAAUGCGACGUUUUGCCUAUCUAAUGUAGUUUGCUUAAGGAUUUUUUUCAUGGUUUUUGCAUUAAACUUGAGGGAAAUAGUAGGAAACUCAUUAAUGGUAGGGAUUUUUAGUAGCUUCGUCGGUGGACUACCUGCUUUUAUUGUUCUCUUCCCGGAAUAUCAGUCUAGCAACAUAUAUGCAUUCAUUGUCUGUACUUUACGGUAUCAAGGAUAACAUAACUAGAGAUUUUGCAUAUCAUGUUUUGUUUUCAGUUAUAUGAGAAGUUGGAUGUGAACUAAAUGAGUGAUCAGACUGUUCUUUUGAUUCUCAUCUCAGUCUACGACUUUACAAAGAGAGAGACAUUCACCAGUUUGUCAGAAUUAUGGGCAAGAGAUGUGGAGCUUUAUUCUACCAAUCAUGACUGUGCCAAGCUUAGGAGAUAAUUGCACCGUCAGGCCUUAACAUGUAUCAUCAUCGACUUAGGAGAUAAUUGCAGUACAAACAUUCUUCGAUAAUCUUGAAUUAAUUAUGUAAAACUUUCAGGUAAGUGAACGUGCUGUAAGCAGAGAAGACGGUAUGGCUCUAGCAGAGAAGAUCACGCCUAAACUAUGAUUUCAGUAGAAAAAAAUUGGGAAAAUUCGGUACUAGCAAACCUUGCUUCAGUUUCUUGUUCCAUUUGAUGCUAGUGCAGCAACAAUGAAAUCAUUAGUCUGCUAGUUUAGCAAAAUGACAUACUUCGUUGAAGACUAAUAAUUCGUGGUAAUUCGACAGAUAUAUGAAGUACCUACUCUACUGGAAAAGGGUUCCGGAGUCGUCAAGGCACCAACCAUCCGGGCAGACAGACAAGCGUCCCAGCAAGCCGGCAGAAAUCGUUGCUCUUGACGACAGCAUCCUUCGUGGAAACUGGAAACAUACAUGCACGGUAGAAUCAUCCAGCAGUAGUUUCACCCUGACAGGUGCUAAGUGAAAAGAAGAAGAGAAACAACUCCAUUGUACAUUCUUGAUGCACCAAAUUGAAGUCUUCAUGGUUUUACAUAUCCAACAAAAAACAGAAAAUUGCAGCCUCAAAAGUCUCAAAAAGUCCGACUGCAUUAUUCUAAGGCCACUAAUGAUCAGCCACAAGAUCGGAACAUGGGGGAUCAGGCGGAAUCGCAGAUGUUAGUUGUUGCCAUAGUUUACAAAGGAAGGCACUGUUGCACGCCAUAGCUUCAUGUGAAUCUCUACAAUUAAAGUGAUGAUGUUGUUUCUAAACUCUGUCUGUUCAUGAAGUGUAUUGCUAUGAGAUUCAUUCUGAUUUCACUUUUCUCGAAAUGUCGGAUCAAAUUCUACUGGUAGAGUAACACCUUUUACUCGCUCUCAGGAUUCCCCUGUUACAGAAAGUGAUUAUAACCUGACAACCUGUAAUCCGUACUGUUUCUGGAAAUCCCAGGGAAACUAAUACUACUUGAUUACUGAAGAAUGAUCGAAGGGAUACACAAGCAUAAAAAAAUCACAAAGUUCAAACAAUCCCUAGCGAAUCCCUCUAAUUUCUCAAGUCCUUCUGAUACUUUGUCGCCGCACCGCCGAAAGGGUUACCACUUCUCCGAUACCUCUUCACCCGGCGGCGGAUGCCGUUGCUGCAACCAGCAGAGCCACAGGGCGAAGUAUCGAAAUCAGCGAAGUGAUGGGGGAAGAAGUCGAGUUGCGGGAACAGAUUAGGGAAAUCGCACUCGGUGGCGUCCGACGAAGGCUGCAGGGGAGGAGGGAGGGAGAUGUUGCCGCGGAAGUUCUGGUAGAAGCCGACUAAGUAGAAGCCGGUGCAUAGGGCGGCGGUGAGGAUGAGUCGAAAAAGACUGCGAGUGGCGAUCGCCAUCGUCUUAACUGUAGAAAAAUGUCGGGAGAGUAAUUAAGACGGAGAGGAGAAGAGACUUAGGAAAAUAAUGGAAUGAAAUAGGUGGAGUGAGAGAAGGAAAACGCCAUGGCCGAUCCGUGAAGUUCGAUGGAGGAGGUGGGGAAUAACAGUUGGCCGGAGAAGGUGACAGGAAUUCAAAAUUGGAGGGUCUCUCGAUUUCUCCGAUGGGGGGAAUUUGGAAAGGAAAUUGAAAUUGUCGUCCAAGACGAAGUUGGGGGGUUCAACGUCAAUUGUAACCUGCAGGCUGAUCUUAAUAUCCACGGGGUAAUUAAUGGUGAUGGAUGGAAAUUAAUCCGCCUAAUUAAAGUGAAUUCAUGGCAAUUACUUAAUCUGUGAAUUAAUGGUGAUUAGUCAAAUUUAUAUUCUGCUUGAGUUUACUGUUUGACCAAAAUGUUGACUCUACAGAUGUCAUCAUCCUACACUGCUAUUGAUCAUCGCCAUUUUCUCAUUUAACCUUGUUCCUUCUGUCAACAGACAAUCAUCCAACGUUGUUGAUUCCUAGUUAAAUAUUAGAAACUAACAACAGCAUAAUGAUGAUUAACAAGAAACACAAAGACAAAAAAAACUGACAAAUUAAAAGCUUGCCAUGAACGAUCAUCUGUCAGCAGCAUAUCCCUUCUUUCUGAGUCACCAAUGCGAGUAAUGGAACUCUGAAACAACUGUUGAAAGCACCUGCCAAAUUUCUCCUCUCGUCUUUCUUCCUAUAUAGGGUUUCUCAGUAUUUGGCAGUCUGGGUCGAUUUGGAUGAUUAUGAUAACAGUCAUUAGUCACUAAUUACCAAUUCAAAUUGUAUCAGCAGAGACAGUGGGAAAUGGUGUUCUCUGGAGCUGCUGCUCUUCUUCUUCUCCUGAUCAGUACGGCGCUGAUAAUCGUCAAUGGCGAGGAGAUCUUCCUCGAAUGGCACUUGGCGCUCGACUCGAGCAUCAGACCUGCCUCCGUCGACCAACCCGUGAGUAAAACUCGAUACGAGUCAAACCCACUAAUUAAACAGUUUCACACACUACAAGAAACUUACAGUCUAACAACUAUUCUCAACAUUCUUAAAAAAAUUCCUCUGUUUUGGACCCUGUCUCUAAAUUAAAGCUUGUUGGUUUAAAACAGGUCAUUACAAUCAACGGUAAAUUCCCAGGACCGCUGAUCAACGCCACCACCAACGACAACAUCCACGUCAAUGUGUUCAACAUCAUCGACGAGCCUGUCCUCUUCACCUGGUAUAUACGAAUUUCGAAACUUUUCGAAAUUCAACUUCUUAGGAAAUUGACGUUGGAUUUUUCUCAGGAAUGGGAUUCAGCAGAGGCUGAACUCGUGGCAGGACGGAGUGUCAGGAACAAACUGUGGGAUCCAGUCGGGGAAGAACUGGACAUUUGUGUUUCAGGUGAAGGACCAGAUCGGAUCCUUCUUCUACUUCCCGUCCUUGAACUUCCAGAAGGCUGCCGGAGGGUUUGGUCCGAUUCGUGUCAACAAUCGAGUUGUUAUCGCUGUUCCUUUUCCUCAACCUGACGAUGAUUUCGACCUUCUCAUCGGUGACUGGUAUACUUCCAGCUACAAGGUAACGUAAUGUUAAGAAAUCUUUUGUAUUAUAAACAAAUUCUGAACUUCUCUGAUGUCAGUAUAUCACGUUUGGGUCGAAUUUUGUUUCGAAACAUAGGAGGUCAGGAGGAUGCUUACCAACGGCACAACGGAAUCACAUCAAAAUAUGGCAAUGCUUAUGAAUGGGAAAGGUUCAUAUCUGAAUUCGUCUACACAAGCAUAUGAAUCUUUCACCGUCGCUAAAGGUAAAAAAACCUUAUGCUUAUUAGUGGUGGAAUUCAAGCCCAACUUGGCUCGAACUCCACCGCUAGGAACUCAAUCUUAGAGUGACGACACUAAUUUUGUAGUUUUCUUUGCACGCAGGGAAGACUUACAGGUUCAGGGUGUCAAACGUGGGGAUGUCAAGUAGUUUCAACUUCAGAAUCCAAAAUCACAGGAUGGUAGUGGUCGAAACAGAAGGAUCUUACACAGAUCAGACAUCGGUGGACUCUUUAGAUGUGCAUGUAGGACAAUCUUACUCCGUUCUCGUCACAGCGGAUCAAGCAGUGGCCGAUUAUUACAUCGUGGCUUCCCCUAAGUUGGCCGCCGAAACUGGACUUAUGGGCGUCGGAGUCCUGCAUUACGACGGAUCAUCAACUAAUGCUACAGGACCGAUCCCCGGUGGCCCUGACCCUUUCGAUCUUCAGUUCUCUGUUGAUCAGGCCAAAUCUAUCAAGUACAUUACGACCAUUAAUCUUCACGAUGUAGUCAAAAUCCCGAUUUAGAUUUUACAAUCUUACGGUUUGAUUUUUUCUGAAGGUGGAAUUUAACAGCAGGGGCAGCGAGGCCGAACCCACAAGGGAGCUUCAACGUCUCAAAUGUGACAAUAUCACAGACAUUUAUGCUUAGGGGAUCUAAGUCGUCGUCACAAGAAACGAAAAACGGUGUCGUUUACUACACAGUUAACGAUGUCUCCUACACAACUCCGGACACUCCAUUGAAACUCGCCGAUCUCUACAGUAAUGGCUCCGGCGUAUACACCCUCGACCAGUUCUCGACCAACUCUUCUUCUGACGGCAGCAGUGAUUUCCAACGGGGAGUAUUUGUCGCCUCCGGGGAACACAGAGGGUGGCUAGAGCUAGUGCUCAUCAAUACCUUUGUCGGUAUAGAUUCCUGGCACUUGGAUGGCUAUGGCUUCUUUGUUGUUGGGUAAGCAUUUCAACAUGUUAGGUAAUAGGCAACAAAACUAUUAACUCGAGUUGUUGGAAGAGAGUUCAAUACUGAUUUUAUACCGUUCAUCAGUAUGCGAUCUUUUAAAUGAAAAAAAGUUCAUGAAAGAGUCUAGAGUACUCUCUGAAGCUGACAAGAAAUCUGACAUUUAUGUGAAUCAAAGACUAUAAUUAUAAUGUAUGAAUCAUUCUGCCACAAUAAUUCGAGUUAUUGGGAAAAAGUUCAUUAACUGAUUUUCGAACUAUUUUCUGCUAAUUAUAGGUACGGAUUCGGGAACUGGACUCCAUCGUCUCGUGCAUCUUAUAACAUUUAUGAUCCGGUUGUUCGAUCAACCGUUCAGGUACAUGUAUUUUAAAUUCUUAAUCAUGCUAGAGUUUACUAAUUUGGCUGUUAAUUAAACGACAAAGAUCUGGGUUUUUUUAAUGAUGAUCAGGUGUACCCAAAAGGAUGGACAGCAGUGUAUGCAUACUUGGACAACCCAGGAAUGUGGAACCUAAGAUCUCAGAAACUAAGGAAUUGGUACUUGGGACAAGAGCUCUAUCUAAGAGUCUAUGAUCCAGAUCCCAACCCUGCCAAAGAAUUUCCUCAACCAUCCAACCUUCUUCUUUGUGGUAUACAUGAUUUAAACCUAAUAUUUUUUACAGUCGAACAUACCUUAUUUGUUCUCACUGUGAGAAUACAUUUUGACUGCGUCAAAUAACAGUUAGAACUUAUUCUCACGGUGAUCGGAACAAAUAAGGUUAGGAUUAUUAUCAAUAUCUUGAUAUAAUUGUGUAUAUUGUUAAUUAACUGCAGGAAUUUACAGCAAUUCAACUGCACCACCACCUCCUAGUUCCCCUAACUCAGCUCCUCCCCCAUCUCCUUCUCAUGCAUCUUUUCAUCACUUCCCAUGGUAAGUUACUGUUUACUACUUUUACUUUCACUAACUUCCAAUUCAGUCAAAUAAUUUAAAACCCUUCUGUUUGUUUUGUUUUAUUUUAAGGUUCCAAAGCUGUAUGGUGACCAUGAUGGCAACCUUGUACAUGAUCUACCAAUGGCAAUACUAAUGUGGAGAUCACUUUGACUUAAUUAUCAUAUGCAUACAAGUCCAAGUUACUCUCAAUUUCUUCCAUUGAUUUUUUUUUAUAUAUACACAAUUGGGACCAAAUAAUCGAAAUUGUUGUAGAGGAUUCAAUACUAAAUUUUAAUAAUUCAUUAACAUAUAACAUAUGCAUGUUAGUAUGUGUGACACUUAAUGCAUAUACACUUUUAUUGCAUUGUAAUACCUUAGAUUAAUACACUAUUUGACUCGCAUAUUUUAUCGAUUUAGGAUGCUUGUGAUUAAUUAUAUAUAACAAUUUUAACUUUUUGAAUGAAUCAUGUAUUAGGUCCGUUGAUGGUGUCAAUGAGCUAUAUAUGAUUGAAUGUGCUUUGUAAAUUUAUUAAAGUACAGAUAUAGCCCGUGUUUUGCCGCAGAUCAUCACACAAAUUACAAAAUUUAUGAGACCAGUUUAACAUGAAGGGCAAAGAAUGAAGCAAAGAGAUUGAUGUUUGGCAUGCACUCAGACUAUCUAUGUUGUAAUUUUUUCAUAUACGAACACUUGGCUUAUAUUAAGACAACAAAUAUUUAACAAUGGUCGUGAGGUUUUGUUAUCUACGGUUUGUGUAUGCAUCUCUUGCGGAACCUCAUCUGAUGCCGUUUCCAGUGUCAAAUCAGAUUCGAAUAGUGUCCCGUCUACAUCAAAUCCACCCUUCUCAAAUCCAGAAAAAAAACUGAAAAUCUGAUAGCACUGGCAAUGCUUGUAGACUCCUCCUCACUCCUGCACCAUUUUCAUAUUGCAAGAAAUUGGAAGAAGCAAACUUAAAAAUUGGAAAGAGAGAAAGUGUCCAUGCUACUGAUUCAUUUAGUGGCUAAAAUAAGAGAAACCAAGAUCAUUAAACCUGCUUACUUUACUUGUCUGUCUCCAAUAGGUAGUCGUACAGUUCAGCCUUUCUGGAUGCAACUUGAUGGAUUUUCUCAGGAAAAUGAUUCAUCUCUCCUUGAGGCUGGAUAUGUUUGCCCCACACAAAAGAAAACAGUUACUUUAGGCUUGCCAAGUCUCAGUCAAAAUCCCUUCAGCCCCAGGAAAUGAAACAACAGGUUGCAGUAACUUGGCAUGUUGGCUACCUCCCUUUGUCAAGAACAAGAGAAGAGUUGUGUUAAAAUCAAGAGAUGGAGCCAACAUUCGAUUAACUUAAUACAAAGGAAAGGCAUUAGUUAUAAUCAAAUUAGUAAAUUGUUGGUUAAUUAGUAAAUUGAAAUACUAGAAUCCUUUGAAUACUAAAUUGAUAAGUUGGUUUAAAAUUUAUAAAGUUAGUGAAUUAUAUGACCCCAUGCUUAGAGCGGGGGAGGAAUCUAGUAAUCAGAAAUCCUUGAAAAAAUCACAGAAUAUACAUGAUAAUAAUAUCACACAAGCAAGAAAGCUUGGUGCUUAAAUUCAUUGAAGAAUGAUAAUCAGAAAUCCUUGAAAACCUUUAGGAGCUUGAUGUCGAUGAAUGCAUAAAGCAAGUCAAUAGCAGCAGCUGCAACCAAAUGAGAUGCGGCGGCAUACCCAUGUCUUCAAUUUGGCGAUGGAGACAGAAAAUUGGGGAAAAGGCCGUGUGUAUUGGAGAGAAUACGACUGCAGAAAAGCACAGACCUCUUGAAGAGAAUUUUGACCGCCAAACAUUUAAGGGGAGAGUAUGAACAACGGUAGGUGUGUGGGUGAGGUAACUUUGUUGUGGAGAUGGCGUAAAGCAAAGGGGUUAGAUAUUGAGUUGGUUUUGGAGGCAUGGGGUGACUGACAGAAGAGAAGGAGCAGUACAGAGAGAGAGAGAGAGAGAGAGAGAGAGAGAGAGAGAGAGAGAGAGAGAGAGAGAGAGAGAGAGAGAGAGAGAGAGAGAGAGAGAGAGAGAGAGAGAGAGAGAGAGAGAGAGAGAGAGAGAGAGAGAGAGAGAGAGAGAGAGAGAGAGAGAGAGAGAGAGAGAGAGAGAGAGAGAGAGAGAGAGAGAGAGAGAGAGAGAGAGAGAGAGAGAGAGAGAGAGAGAGAGAGAGAGAGAGAGAGAGAGAGAGAGAGAGAGAGAGAGAGAGAGAGAGAGAGAGAGAGAGAGAGAGAGAGAGAGAGAGAGAGAGAGAGAGAGAGAGAGAGAGAGAGAGAGAGAGAGAGAGAGAGAGAGAGAGAGAGAGAGAGAGAGAGAGAGAGAGAGAGAGAGAGAGAGAGAGAGAGAGAGAGAGAGAGAGAGAGAGAGAGAGAGAGAGAGAGAGAGAGAGAGAGAGAGAGAGAGAGAGAGAGAGAGAGAGAGAGGGUAACAGUGGACUGAUCUGAUGCCACCAUUCACAAUUGGAGACAUGGGUAUAUAUGCUGCCGGACUGAACCCAUCCCACAUCAGAUACAUCAAAUCCCUCCGCAAUGAAGCUUGGCAUGCAGGCUUACCAUAAGCUCAGGUAGAGGAAAUUCCUACCCCUGGAUGCAAUAGUAAAGAAUUUGUUAUAUUUUUAUAAUAAAUUUUAUAAGGAUUUGAGAUUUUGAAUGAACUUUAUAUUAGGUUUUUAUGUUGUCCCCUAAUAAUAUAAUUGAAUAUGUUUGAAAAAGUUUAGUGUGUUGUGUAUGUAUAAGUAUUGUUUAUCGAUUUAGUUAAUUAAAGAAGACGGUAGUUUAUAUGAAGAUGAAAUAAAGAAGACAAAUACAUUUGUAUAUUUCUCCGAAUCACACAUACAAUGGUUACACUAUAUAUAUUCUGGGUGACAAAAACCAAAGACAACGAAAGAUCAAACAAAAAGUUUAAUAAAAACCAGUAUACCAAUUUAAUAUAUGUGUGUUUGAUGAGCGAUCAAAAAUUAAAGAAGCAACUGUAUGUGCAUGAAACUUAACAAUGAAUCCACAUUAAAACUACAAGAAAAACGAACCCUUCAAAAGAAUUUCAACUCCACAAUAUCAGUAAUGGCAACCCACCAAAGCUUGACUGGGAAACACCGUUGUUGGUUUGUUGUUCGCCGGCGGUAAGUUUGUGAUCGGCUGCUUUUCCUCCGGUGCCGGAAGCUGGUUGAGAUCCAAGUCCAACGACGUUGUCCUCAGGCUCCUCCCUCUCUUCCCCAAUACUAGUCUCUCCUCGCCAGAAGUUCCCCCAACUUUAUUAUUAUUAGCGGCCGUAUUUUUGUAGCUACUGAGACCGCCGUUGUUACUUGUUAACAACGACAGGUUUGUUGCGAUGGUUGUCGGAGGAGCUCGGUGCCUCCUCAUGUGGCCUCUCAAUGCUUGCCCUGAGUUGAAUUCCGCCCCGCAUUGUCCGCACUCGUGCACCCGAUUGUAGUUACUAUUGUUCCCCUUGUGAUUACUAGCGGUGAGGCCUCCGCCACUGUUCAGUUGGAGGAAGUUGGUUUCCUCAUUGUACGAAGGGGCUGUCGCUAACAAUGUAUUAUUAGUGACCAGGAGGUUCUUGGGCUUCUUGUGGCUCGCACGAUGUCCACCUAAUGCUUGAAACGAAGGGAAUGUCCUGUUGCAUGUCCUGCACUCGUAUACAUAGUACCCUACUUUCCCUCCGCCCUCGACUCCGCUGCCUGUCUCCAUGAAUUUCCUGCUCGUGAAUUUUCCGCUGGCGAUAUUGUUGUUGUUAACGGCUGAGGAAAUUGCGGCAUUAACGUGAUUAUUUGUGACGAAGGAAGAACUCCCCUGCGCAAGUAGGAUCAAACAAUUUGCCAUGUCCUCUUCUUCCUCGGUGCUCCCACCGAGGAGAACAGUAAGCACCACUGGUGGUGGCAGCACAGGCAACGGCUUUGCCAUGAUCACCCCGUCUUCUUCCUCAUCAUCGUCUUCGCCGUUGUAAUUGUAAUCAGCAUCAUCAUGAUCAUCUCUUCCACCGUCGUCGACAUCUUCAUCGCCAUUAGAGAAAUUGCUACUAGCAGCAGGGGCCACAAAACUAUUAAGAACAGGAGGAUGAACCCGUUGCCUUUUGGUUCUCUUCCCUUUAGGGAUCUUAACAAUUGGGACGGUCAGAGUUGUGUCAUUGUUGGCAUCGUCGCCUUUAUUACGAGCCGCCUCCUCAUUCUCCUCCUCCUCCUCCUCCUCCUUCUCCUCCUUUGCUAGUGUCUUCUUCGUAACCACCUCCUCAUUCUCCUCCUCUUCUCCUGGUGUGUUAUUCUUCUUCGUCUCCAUCUCCACCUCCACUUUCAUUGGGAGUUCCUCCAUUACAGCGGUUGUGAGAAGUACAUCCUCGACGCCUGUCGCCUCCAUUUCUUUGUCCUUCGAACAAAUAUUUCGCAAAUUAUUAAAAGAAAAAAUUACCUUUCUUUAUGUUUCUCUCUGUUUUCCUCGUGAAGAAAGUCUGUUUCUUUUUUGUUCCUGUGUUUUCUUUUCUCUCUUGUUUUACUUGUGGCUAAUUAGAAUAAACUUGUGAUGAGUAUAUAAGGUAGUAAUGUGUUGCACUAAAUUGUAACAAAAAAUGUGUCUUAAAUUGGUAAACUUGCUACAGCCUCUCCCCCUAUAUCUUCUGAGCGUGUGAUAAAUACGAUGUGCAAAAUCUAACGUUAUACGAUGCUAACAUUAGGAGGAAAAACACUUAGACGCAGCACCACUAACUUCGUUGAUCAUUUUUGUCGUGUGUUUAACCCGUCUGACACUCCCUUUUUCACACUUUGUGAUAUCACCCGAUCGAUUAAUUAAACUUUGACCGUUGUUUAAUUAGUUUUUUUCGCUUAUUAGUGUUAGCUGCUUGCAAUUCGCUUCUCCUCUAGAUUUCGGGUUUAGCUCCACAGACAGAGUUUGUUAAUAAUGGCUUCAUCUUUGGAUUUGACCCAAUUCAAUCUGCUUCCUGAAUUGCAAAUUGUAUUCCUAGUAUAUAGGAAACCCAAACUGAAUUCUAUUCCUAGUAUAUAGCAAAUGUGCUUCAAUUUUAUUUCGAAAAUUUAAAUAAUUAUCGGCCGGACGGUGACUCAUUUCUUUUUUGGUGACCGUUAAAUUCAUGUAUGUAUUUCAAAUUCGGCUUAAUACUAUACGAUUUUGGCUCAGCCAACUUAGUAAUCAGUACAUUUUGGCUCAGUCAAUUCACAAAUACCCCAUAAAUCAAAGGAAUUAGAUAGAACAUGAACUGUAAUUGUCUCUACCAUGAAGAAAGAUUGACACUACAAUGGAAGACACAUUUCCGACCGAACACACGGAUCUAAGCAGGCAGCGAUGGAUCCAGGAUGUCUCCGCUGAACAGAACCGUUCCCGUGGUGUCUUCUUUAAUGAAGAAGAGGACCGGAUGAUCCGCUACAAAGUAGUGUUUAUAAAUUUCCCCAUAUCCACCCAGACUCGACAUAUCCAUCAUAGUAACAGAAGCAGCUCCAGCUUCCGUACCUUCUCCGUUCACUUCCACAGAAGAUUUGUGGAAUACCUCGGAGAAAGUCACAUCGUCGGAAGAUUCCUCCACCAUCUCUGUAAAGUCUGCUUCGUUAGAGAAAGGCAAGACCAACCCCAAUUCCUUCGUUAAGGAAACAUACUGGUCCUCUUCGCUGGUCAUAAACGGUACACGGACCGAUCCAUCAUUCAGUAGGUGAAAAUCAUAGCGUUUAGUUGCCGAUGCAUCGAAAUUCUGGUUCCAAACUCCUUCGAAGAAGAGCGCAUUAGCGUAAAUUAGCGGUGUUAAGUUGUUAACUGCCCCUCGAGGAACAAUUUCCUCUACGAUUCCGUUCGUCCGUCUAUUGGCCCAAUCAUUCACUUCAACAACUACUUCAGCUGCCUGUAUAAAAAUGAAUCUACCUGAAUAACUUACGAGUAGAAAAGAAAAAGUAGCAUAUAAGCCUAAUUACAGUGUGAAAUACCUUGGAUUGGAAAUCGACUUUACGAGAAGCAGCCAGGCAGGAUCCGUUCGAGCUUGGCCGUUUAAGUUCGAGACGAGAUUCAAUCGAACUUUUUUCGAGCCGAAUACCUGCAUGUAUAUGUUUCUUUGUUUCUCUGCAUCUAUUAAUGAACGUUGGCACAGACCUUACCUUGGGCUUUUUGUCCAUCAUUCACAAUAUUGGGCUGUGUUAUCCUUGGGCCUACUUUCGUUGCUGGUUAGGCCCAAAUGAUGGUCCAUGCAAGUUGUUCUUUUUUAAAAGGAAAUUGAUGUGUAUGAAGUAUGAACGUGGUAGUAGUAGAACUGUAGUAGCAUACAAAAAUUGAAAAAUACUUUCUGCAACCCUUUCCGCAAAGAAUCACCAAGUCAUAAAGGCAAAACAAAAUCUAAGUAUUUGGCGUAAUUAUUUUCCACGUAUUUAAUAUUUUUGUGAUUGUUGUACCAGAAUAAUUGAGUUCCAAGAUACUACUAAUAAGGCUUAGCUCAGUUCUUCUUCUUUGCCUCUUCCCAUGGAGAUAUGGAUUAUCCCUUUCACAGCCAUAAUUAUUAUGCACAAAAUUCCUCUUCCAUUCUCUUUAUUCUUCCUUUCUUCUCCUUCAAAUAAACCCUAAUUUUCCCAUCCUUCCAUUUCUACGUAUAAUUCAUUAUCCUAAUCUUUCUUCAUCUUUUUGUUUUUUCAUAGAUUUAUAUAUAAAGUAAUAAAACCAACCAGCCAGCCAACCAUCAUAGUCAUAUUCAUAUUCUCCCCCAAAUUCAGCAGAGCAGAGAGCUCUGUUUUUUCCCUCCCUUCAUUUCCAUGGCUGCUGCUUCUUCAAGAAUGCUUCCUAUUAGCUUCUGCAUUCUCUUCCUCUCUUCUAUCCUCAACUCAGUUGCCGAUUCUAAGUUCAUCAACCUCACUCUCCCUCACCAGCACCCUUACCCAGAUGAUGUUGCUAACGAUGUUCACAGGUAACCUCUCCGUUUCUUCUUUUCAUGGCGCAUUGCUCACUUCUCCUGUACGUUGCCGAAACUCCGGUUUGAAUUUCACUCCAAACUAGAGUUUUAAUGGGUUUAGAAAACAGCCGAAAAGUUUGCUCUUCAAAAUCAGUUCCUUCAAAUUUCGUUCAACUUCUCCAACGGCCAAACUAAGCUGCAUUCUAUCCAAUUUCUAGGGAUUCAGUUAUCAAAAAAUGAAAAUAUUCCCUCCAAUUCCCAAAUUCCCGUCUGGGUUCUGCUCAGCCGCUCCUUAACUCACAUGGGUCCAUCUCCUUUUUCAUAUGAUUUCCCCAAAACUUGGACUUUUUAGUUUCAGAUUUUUCUCAGCAGCCAAAACUGUCCAUUUUCUCACCAUAUAUAGCUGUUUCCCACCUUCAAAAAAAACUGCAACUUGCACACUCUUUGCUUAGUUCUUGCUGAUUGGGCCGUAAAUUGAUUGGGUUAUCGGUCGAUUUAACGAUGCAAAAUCAAUAUAGUUUGAAGUUUUAUAGACUUUUAGGUUGUAUAAAUUAUCGAGUUGCAUAAAAACCGAGCCGGAACGGAUCAGUUUGCUCUAAUUGAGUAAAUUGCAACUUGCAAACUUACCCUUUGAGAUUCUUACUUUCCUUGUUUGCAUCCCUACAAAAAUCCUUUAUACGUCUCCCUCAUGCAAUUUUCUCCCUUUUUCAUAUUUAUUUAUUUAAUCAAUUAUUUUCGGUUGGUUAACUUUGCAGACGGGUCAACCAGUCCCUAUCCCGAAGGCUACUUCAGGCGGGGUCCACUUGCCAAACGGGCAACCCGAUCGACGACUGCUGGCGGUGCGACCCCAACUGGCUCAACAACCGCCAACACCUCGCCGAUUGCUCCAUCGGAUUCGGCCACGGUGCGUUGGGCGGACGCGGCGGUCAAAUCUACGUCGUCACUGACUCCUCCGACCACGACCCGUCAUCCCCGACACCGGGAACCCUCCGCUACGGCGUGAUCCAAGACGUCCCGCUCUGGAUCAUCUUUGCCGCCGACAUGACCAUCUCCUUAAAACACGAGCUCAUCUUCAACAGCUACAAGACCGUCGACGGCCGAGGAGCCAAUGUCCACAUCACGGGGAACGGAUGCCUGACUUUACAGUACGGAUGCCUCACUUUACAGUACGUCAACCAUGUGAUCAUCCACAACGUCAGAAUCUAUGACUGCAAGCCGUCCGGGAACACCAACGUCGCCUCGUCGCCUACCCACGUCGGAUUCAGGGGAAGAUCCGACGGCGACGGGAUCUCCCUAUUCGGAGCCCACAAUGUGUGGAUUGACCAUUGUACCCUUUCGUCAUGUACGGAUGGAUUGAUCGAUGCGAUUAUGGGGUCAACCGGGAUUACGAUUUCGAACAAUUUCUUCUCCCGGCAUAACGAAGUUAUGCUGAUGGGACACGACGAUCGGUUCGUAUUGGAUCGAGGGAUGCAGGUCAGUGACCGGGGAGCCUCCCUCGAGCUUGUGAUAUUGCAUAAUUUUUUUUAUAUUUAAGAUAAAUUAGUUUUUUUCGGAUGCGGAGUAUAUUUCAUAUUUAUACAUUUCUAUAUAAUGCACUCAAUCAUUUUGAAAUCGUCGCUAAUGCAGGUGACGAUUGCGUUCAAUAGGUUCGGGGAAGAGCUAGUGCAGAGGAUGCCGAGGUGUAGGCAUGGCUAUAUACAUGUGGUGAACAAUGAUUUCACUUACUGGAAAAUGUAUGCCAUCGGCGGUAGCGCUAGUCCGACAAUUAAUAGCCAGGGGAAUCGGUAUGUUGCCCCGGUCGAUCCCGAUGCUAAAGAGGUAUGUAUUUUUACAAAACUUGUUUGUGAUUCGGCCCUAUAGUAAACAACACGAGUUUGAGCUUGUUGAGUCGACUACUAAUUUAUGGUUCGUCAAUCAACUUGAUGAGUGACCGAUGAGCCUACAGGAUUCGAUUAUGAGCUCUAAUACCAUAGUAGCGUAUUUACUAGAAGCUUGUUUUAAUCGGAGUUCAAACUCAAACCCUAGUCAAACAAGUUAGUCUUUUUUCAUUUUGAGCUUGAGCUAGCCAAGCUGAUUACAAUGGUUAUUGAGUUGACCUCGUUAAGCUAGUAAAUAAAUGGUAAUUUUGAGUAGCGUAUAUUAAGGUACAUAUUUUCUAUAAGAUUUCGUUUAAAUUUGAUUCGAUAUAUCUUUCCAUUCUAAUUAGGUGACGAAAAGGGUAGAGACAGACGAAAAAGAGUGGGAGAGGUGGAAUUGGAGGACGGACGGGGACAUAAUGGUAAAUGGGGCAUUUUUCGUACCGUCGGGAGCCGGGGUGAGUGCCAUGUAUGAAAGGGCAACCAGCUUGAAUGCCAUGUCAGCCGCUCUUGUCGAACAGCUCACCUCGAACGCCGGCGUCCUAGGUGGCACCAGGUACACUUUUACGGUUUUACCCCUGCCCUCCUUAUAUCUUAAUUACAACUUGGUAGCUAAGUAUAAACCUAGUUUUCUCAAUACGACAGAUUGAUUAAUGAGAAAUAGAAAAGGAAUUCUGAGGUGAGCUCAGCUAAGCCAAACCAGUGGUUAGCAAGUAGUUAUCCUAGCAAGCUUUAGUGGGGUAGUAUCGUCAUCAUCCCUUUUUUUGUCCCAAAUUUGCAUGUGGAUUAUGUGGGCACCUUGUCAUAGUUGAGUACUUUGUGACUUAAAUCAUGGAAAGUUUAAGAUAAGGUUCCAAAAGUCACGACGGAAAAAGAAAGGAAUGGAACUGUACAUGCAAAACAGUUUCAUACUCUCCCUAACUCUUCUUGGUAUUUGGUUAAACACUUGAUUAGAAGUUGACAUUGAUGUCUAUAACCCUAAUUUAAACCUUUAAUGUUUCGAGAUAGUGAAUUUGUUUCAAUUUUUUAGCAUGUCAACUUCCAUCUUAGAUCAAACCAAAUACGAAAGCAUUAGUCACAAAUCACAAUAAUAAAAGAAGUAUUCUCACACGAAAACUUAUUACGAAUAAUACUUGAAUUUGAGGUCAUUAUAAAAAUCUUAGCUUUCCUUUAGUUGAAUUAAGAACCAAAAGAGAGCAGGGAAAAGACCCCACACCAUCAUCCAUAUAGGUUUUCUUUGUGGCAUGUUGGGAAGCUGACUCAUCUCAUGAUAUUCCUUCACCAAUUAAAGUUCAUGUGGGGGGUUGAUGGGCGUUGAUUUCUGAAUUCAAACCACACUAUCAUCAUCUUCAUCAUCAUUUCUUAAACUUGUAGCAAGAUGUUUAAAAAAAGAUGAAACCUUUUCAUGUCUGCAUUUCUGGUUUAGUUUUGAUUCCAUAUCCUCCUUUCCAAUGAAACCUUUUAUCAGUUUUAAUCCGUUUCCGCAAAAGAUUAGGAUCAAUCUAAUAACUUAUUUAUUUAUAGUUGGUUCCUUAUUGCAAUCUAUAUCAUCACAAUCCACAUACAUAGUAGUCGAUAUUAAUGUCUUGGCACAAUCCAGUUAUAAAGAGGAAUUGGGUUGAUUCUCGACAUUAGUUCCGAAUCUUUGCAAUUGAAAAGGUUUAAUCUUUACUCGAUUCUCUCCAAUCUGAACUCGAGUUGUCUGGAGACCCUUUAGUUACGGAGUGAAACUAGCUUGAUUGGAGAUUUGAUUUUGGGAGAGUAUCCCUUUGUUUUUUUAAUUCGUCUAUAGCAUUCAUCAUUUUCACAAUCAUCGCAGCAUGAAACAAUGGCUAAUAAAUCAACUCUGUUUUGUCCCUUUCUUAGAUAUUAUUAUUAUAUAUAAUUAGUUUUUAACAAAUUAAGUCGAUGGUGAUGUGGGAAUAAUUACAGGGACACAGGGGGGAUGCCAUCGAACCCUGGAUUCAACGGAGGUGGGGCCGGCGGGACGACCUACACCGGCAGCUAUGGGUCCCCCGGUGGUGACGGCAGCAGCGGCGGGGACGGUAAUGUGUUUGGGAUGAUAUUUGGGAGCGGGGCGGCGGAUGCGGCGGCGGUGCCCACAUCGUCGGUGGUUUUGUCCCUUUCAAUUGUUAUUAUUAUGAUUUUGUAUUGUAAUACCAUUAACGAUGAUGGGACUUCGUUGUUCUUGUUCCCAUUGUGUUUAGUAUUGUUAUACAGUGGGAAAUUGAAUACUGGGCAAACAAUUAAUAUACAAAUGUAAGUAAGAAAAGAAAAAUACAAAAAGAAAAGAUGAAUAUUAAAGAAGAAAGAAGACGGAUUAUUCAUCACGGUGAGAGUUGAGGUGUCUUUUCAAAAUUGUCGUUAUCAUCUUUUUGCUGGAGAUGUAGAGCAGUUAAACAGACGGGUUGCGAGAAUUUAAUAGAUUGCUGUGUUGGUGGGUUCAUUAGAGAUGGUUGUGGAGUGGGUUUCGGAUUGGUUUGUCGAUCCAUUCGAGUAUGGAUAUGACUUAUGAGGAUGGAGAUGAUGCACUUAAACCAAUCCCUAACACAUGUUUAUACGUUUCUUUGCGGAUAUUCGUCGCAUUGGUUUCAUAAACUCGAUAUAUAUGAAUGUUCCACACAUUGACCAAACCUUGAGAAUCAGACAUCCAUAAAUACCGAUUUGGUUAUCGAGUUUUGAAGUGGACCGGACGAGUUCAAUGAUCUGGAUCAAAUUUUUGGCAAAAUAAAUGGACAUUUGACAGGGUGGGAGAUAGUGUUGGCAUGAGUGGGGCUCUGAAAGGCCUAUUAUGCUAAGGGGAGCAAGCAAACCCACGUUAGUCUCGGCCGGAUUCAGAAUUAUGCGAGGAUAGAUUGAAUUUGGGUGGAUUAGGGUUUUGGAUUGUACUUUUUCUACCUUUCUUUUUCAACUCAAGUUAUUGUAUAUACUGAAAUACCAAGUUUGUGACAGCAGAACUAGUUAUAAGUUUCAUUAGUAGAUAUCUCCGGCAAUAAGCACCUGGAUAGUUCAAAGAGAUAGGGCAAGCAGCUUACAUUACCCAGAGCUUGUUCCGAGAUAGCGAGGGACAAAGUCCAUCUCCUUGUUGUAUCAACCCGGGGUAAACAGAGCUAAACGUUGCUUGACAAACCUACUCACCUGCAAACGUUGCUUCACUUCAUACAUGACGAGCAUCAACAACAAACAAGAAUGAACAGGAAAAAUAUCACAUUCAAGGGAAACAAAAUCUCUGAUCAGUCAUACCUUACACAUCCUGAAUGAAGCAUAUUUAACUAACACAAGUUAUAAAAAUUCAACAAAAGGAAUGAAAUUGACAACAAUUUAUCUGCAACAGAUGUUCCAAAUUAAGCAACAGAUGAUGAUCCACUGACGCCUUGGAGUCUCUCUCUCUCUCUCACUAGUCAUUUCUCCACCCUGCAUCCUCCUCACUACCUAAUAGUAACAAACUUAUUGGUACCAUGCUUAGCCCAGUGAGUCCUCAAAUCAAUCGGGUUACUGAAGUUAUACCCUUCAGCUGCAAGUUUCUCCAGCACCUUCUUGAACGCACCCUGGCUCAUCUUCCUUCCCGCUAUCCUCGCACCUCGCCUCUUGGUGCUCAUCGGCAAAGGAUACAUUGAUACAUUGGUAGUACAACAAGCAGACUGCCAUCCACCACACCCCCAUCGAUAACACUGCUGAGGAGUUCCCGUGCAAGAGCAGACCGGGAUAGGGAUUCCCGAUAUGUCCAUAUCAAUCCCAUUUAUCACCAUCUCCAUACUCUUCUUUGGCGGCUUUGCUGCUCGCUGGACCGGAUUGCUGUUCGGGUCCUUUGGCUUCCUCGGUUUCUUCGCCUUGGGUGCUUUCGCCACACCACUUCCCUGCCUUUUUUUCGUUGGUUGAUGUUCCGGUUCUUUAUCAAACACUUGCUCUUCGACUUUACACAUUUUUCCAUCAUCUCUCGAUCCUCCAACCAUGGAAGUAUCGAGAGCAGGCAACACCUGCAGAGGGUGAGCUCCUGAUGUUUCCGGGAAAACAUGAGCGUAGUUAUGAUUCGGAGCCAACAGAUUCGGAUACUUAUUGCUAUCCCUCUGGUUGAUCCAACUGUCCCUCAUGUAGUUGAUGGGGACAUGCGAUUCGGAGAGCAUGAAAUCGCGAGGAUGGAAUCCUCCACCACCGGCAUUGACAUCAAGCAUAAUGUUAUUCGCAUUUCGGCCCGGCAGAAAAUGCUUGGUGUCUCGAUCCGUCAUGUUCGAAGUCAGCUGCAGACUUAGAUGCCCUCUGAAUGACGGCUCAUAGUACCCUCCCCAAUUGCGCAUAUUCAACGCAUCAUCGUCCAUUAUUCAGAGAUUCUGCCACCCACACAGUUGCCAAGCACAAAUCAGAAAGACAGUAACUGUAAAAAUCCGCAAAAUCUGCAAAAUUUCAAAGAUACAGAACAUCCAAUAUUCCAAUCCAACCCACAUUACGCACAAUUCAAGGACAGAUCUCGUCGAUUCAAGCAUAUCAGAAGCAGCAUCACGAAAUGCGAAAUCACAAACUACCCAGAUGCUAGAUCCAUUUAUAAACAUCCAGCAUUCCCACCCCGAAACCCUAAUCAACCAGAUCUACAUCAGAUGGGCACAAAAUCUACGCAUUCAAGAGAUCUAGAUCUAGAUCUAGGAGGGGAAGAAAAGGGAAAUUCGAGGGUUCCCAUUGGAAUCAGAUGACAAGCAACAAACGAACGACAACAGAAGGUGCGGAGUAUAAAAGGAAGGUGGUUUCAAUAGUAGUACACACAGCACAGGACCCUCCAUAAUAUUCAAAUUUAAGAAAACAGAAAGAGAAAGACGGAAAGAGAAAGAGGGUGAGGGAGAGAGAAAACUUACUUGGAUGGGUGCAAAUUGAAAAAGGGCUCUUUAGGGUUUUUUUUUUUCGCUUUCUGGAGAGAGAAGGAGGAGAGAGGAGAGAGGGGAUGAAGCUCUCUGCGGAGAAGGGAAAAAAAUAAGAGAGAGAGAGAUAGAGAUAGCGGAAAGAGAAAGGAUAGAGACGGCCGGCCCUGUAUCUCUGUGUGUAUCCAUUACAGGGGCGGAAAAAGUGUUUAUAUAUAUUCUUUUUUAAACGGUUUUAUUAUUUAUUUUUUAAAUUUUGGUCUAUUAAUAAUCGGUUUGAAACUUUUCGAAAAGAGUUAAUUAUGGAAACCGAAUCUAAGGAGAAGCUCAGAAACGGCAAACAUUACACGGAAUGGGUUCCCUAAUUUUGGACUCUGUUACCACACUUUUAAAUGUCACGUACCCAUUUUGAAAUUUAUUAUAAUUUUAGAAUCUAGUCGUACUCCACAAUAAAUAUUCAUAUAAUAUUUAAUUAUGAGUGAAUCUUUAGUAAUUGUGUUGUUUUGGGGUCUUCCAUAUUAGCCUUUAUGUUUGUUAUUUUGUAUUUCUCAUAUAGCCUUGUCUCGAUCAACAUGGUUCAUUAUAGCCAUGUUUGUUCUCCAAAAUAUUUAUUUGAAGCUUUCAGUGAGGAUUUGAUGGGUGGAUAUUGAAGAGAUGAGAAGUUGAUGCUUUACAGGCUACUAUGAACACCCAAUACAUGUUAGGUAGCACACGUUAUCGUUGAAGUCUUGGAUAUUCUAGCGGCUUGUCUUAGUUUGCAUUUGUUGAUAAUAGAUGUUCAUUAAGUAACGGGAAAUGCUCUUUUAUAUCGCAUAGACCGUGUUGAGACCGAUUUUUCGAUUUCUCCAAUUAUAAAAAUAGUAAGAAAAAUAAAGGUGCAACUAAACAUGCAAACGACUCAACCAUAGGAGGGUGGCAUCAGACAUCGAAAUUCUUCAGAGGUCACCAAUUUUAGUGAAACAAUCAAAUCAAAUGGUUGAUAUUCAGCCGUCAAUGUACUUAAGCAUAUAUAUAUUAUUGAUAAUAAUAAUUAAUCCUCUACAAAUAUUCAUAUAAAAUAAUAAAUAAUUAAUCAUAAAAAUAUACUCCAUUUUUAUUAAUAAUGAUCAAUCUAUUAACCUUAUAGGUAAAGAAUAAAGUGAGCAAUCAAACAAUAACGUUAAUAUUAAAAUAAAUAAAUAUAUAUAUAUAGUAUAAUUAAAAUAUUUAUUAUGGACAAUAAUAACCGAUCCUUUCACAGCGAGUGCCCACGCAAUAUUCAGCAAUGUAUGUUUCUUUAUUUCACUUCCUCUGCAUCUAUUAUUUAUUAAUCAACGUUGGCGCAGGCCUAACAUUGGGCUGUUUGCCCAUCAUUUAUAAUAUUGGGCUGGGCUGUUUGUCCGUAUUUUCCAUUGGACCCAGGUAGCCCAUUUGUCACAAAUUCUUUGAAACAUACAUUGCUGAAUAUUGACUAGUAAGACUUGACUGGAGAGCAUCUGGGCAGUAGUUUACUUUGAUAUCGCAUGGAGGAUUCCUUCCAGGUUAUCAAUAGAAAGCACAAGUACAAUCUACAGCUACAUUUCGAUGCAUGAAAUCUUUCCUCACUUUCCAAUUUGAGCAGUGCAGCAAUUCUAGCAGAUGGGUACGAAAAUGGUAUAUGAUGGGUGCAUCCUACCCAGUAUGUCAUUUGCAUCUACGCCUAAGUACUGUUGUCAAAUGUCAUCCUGCAUAUGCGACCUUGGCAUUAUUACCAUAAAUGCUUCAGUAGCCUUCCUGUGUGAAGGUGAAGAUGAUAGAUAUCUCCUCAUCAUUGUCAUUCUUGCUAGGCAUAAGCUUUGUCAUCCCACUCCUGUACUGGUAUAGAAAAAAGGCUCGUACAUACCUCAAACCAGCAAUCUUUACAGACCAAUUAUGUACUGAAUGAUAACACAUAAUAUAACAGCUGAAUAUUUUAAUUAGUGGCUAUAUGUUGAUUUGGAUAAUGUAUUCAUUUAUCAGCAGAAAACACCAAAUAUAUAAUUUUGGUUGAAUAUAAAAAUUCAGAAGAUAUUUCAUCAUUUUCUCCUCUCUUUUUGAAAAGAUGGGAUCUCUUCUUGAAUAUCCCAGAAGAUUCCUUAAAUGUCAUUCUCUGCCUACGUAAGUAAACCUUUUCCCCCAUUUCAUUUUCCUUUGUUUAUAUUUGACAACAACAUUCUCAGAGGAUCGAAGGGUAUUUUCGUCCUUAAAUUUUAGCAAUUAUUAAAAUAAGGUGGAGAGUGAUGUGUCAUUUUUUUAGUAUAUUUUCUAAAUUAGUAAUUUUGAUAAUUUAGAAAGUCAAUCACACGUUGANNNNNNNNNNNNNNNNNNNNNNNNNNNNNNNNNNNNNNNNNNNNNNNNNNNNNNNNNNNNNNNNNNNNNNNNNNNNNNNNNNNNNNNNNNNNNNNNNNNNNNNNNNNNNNNNNNNNNNNNNNNNNNNNNNNNNNNNNNNNNNNNNNNNNNNNNNNNNNNNNNNNNNNNNNNNNNNNNNNNNNNNNNNNNNNNNNNNNNNNNNNNNNNNNNNNNNNNNNNNNNNNNNNNNNNNNNNNNNNNNNNNNNNNNNNNNNNNNNNNNNNNNNNNNNNNNNNNNNNNNNNNNNNNNNNNNNNNNNNNNNNNNNNNNNNNNNNNNNNNNNNNNNNNNNNNNNNNNNNNNNNNNNNNNNNNNNNNNNNNNNNNNNNNNNNNNNNNNNNNNNNNNNNNNNNNNNNNNNNNNNNNNNNNNNNNNNNNNNNNNNNNNNNNNNNNNNNNNNNNNNNNNNNNNNNNNNNNNNNNNNNNNNNNNNNNNNNNNNNNNNNNNNNNNNNNNNNNNNNNNNNNNNNNNNNNNNNNNNNNNNNNNNNNNNNNNNNNNNNNNNNNNNNNNNNNNNNNNNNNNNNNNNNNNNNNNNNNNNNNNNNNNNNNNNNNNNNNNNNNNNNNNNNNNNNNNNNNNNNNNNNNNNNNNNNNNNNNNNNNNNNNNNNNNNNNNNNNNNNNNNNNNNNNNNNNNNNNNNNNNNNNNNNNNNNNNNNNNNNNNNNNNNNNNNNNNNNNNNNNNNNNNNNNNNNNNNNNNNNNNNNNNNNNNNNNNNNNNNNNNNNNNNNNNNNNNNNNNNNNNNNNNNNNNNNNNNNNNNNNNNNNNNNNNNNNNNNNNNNNNNNNNNNNNNNNNNNNNNNNNNNNNNNNNNNNNNNNNNNNNNNNNNNNNNNNNNNNNNNNNNNNNNNNNNNNNNNNNNNNNNNNNNNNNNNNNNNNNNNNNNNNNNNNNNNNNNNNNNNNNNNNNNNNNNNNNNNNNNNNNNNNNNNNNNNNNNNNNNNNNNNNNNNNNNNNNNNNNNNNNNNNNNNNNNNNNNNNNNNNNNNNNNNNNNNNNNNNNNNNNNNNNNNNNNNNNNNNNNNNNNNNNNNNNNNNNNNNNNNNNNNNNNNNNNNNNNNNNNNNNNNNNNNNNNNNNNNNNNNNNNNNNNNNNNNNNNNNNNNNNNNNNNNNNNNNNNNNNNNNNNNNNNNNNNNNNNNNNNNNNNNNNNNNNNNNNNNNNNNNNNNNNNNNNNNNACUAAAGACGUUAUUUAGUGAGGUAAAAAAUUGAUUAACUGGCCACUAAAAUUUAAAAAGAUGGCAGAUUUUGUCUUUUAACGAUGCUUUGCUUCGUAGUUCAUUUUUUAUUUUUAUUUUUUGUCAUUAAUGUGGAAUAAAAAAAAUAACGGCACGAACUAGGACAAGUGUACGGUUGUGAGAGACUACGAAAAUAAAAUAAUUUAAAUUCUAGAAUGAUAGAAGGUAGGACCGUCUCCACUCUCCAUGUGAAGAAAAUAACGUGGAAACCGGUGUGUUUGAUUUUUUUUGUUAAACGGGAUUCAAAUUCGAGAUAAUCGAAGAAGAGUUGAAUAUGAUAUUAAUAAUAUCCAUCCUGAAUUAAUCGUCAAUGUAAAAUUGUUUUAGUAGUAUAGUCUGUGUCCGGUUACCUGAAANNNNNNNNNNNNNNNNNNNNNNNNNNNNNNNNNNNNNNNNNNNNNNNNNNNNNNNNNNNNNNNNNNNNNNNNNNNNNNNNNNNNNNNNNNNNNNNNNNNNNNNNNNNNNNNNNNNNNNNNNNNNNNNNNNNNNNNNNNNNNNNNNNNNAUUUUAACAAGUAAAUAUUAAAACUUGGGUGAAAAAUAAAGGAAAAUUUUGGUACCAUGAUCAUUAAACGUUAAGCUACUAAUAUUAUGAUAACUUAUUAUAAAAAUAACUAUUAUGAUCACCAAUGUCAUUGGUCAACCAAUUGAGUGAUGAUGCAUGUGCAUAUGGAAAUAUUCUCAUAGUGGAACAUGUGUGUAAUUAUUAAUAAAAGNNNNNNNNNNNNNNNNNNNNNNNNNNNNNNNNNNNNNNNNNNNNNNNNNNNNNNNNNNNNNNNNNNNNNNNNNNNNNNNNNNNNNNNNNNNNNNNNNNNNNNNNNNNNNNNNNNNNNNNNNNNNNNNNNNNNNNNNNNNNNNNNNNNNNNNNNNNNNNNNNNNNNNNNNNNNNNNNNNNNNNNNNNNNNNNNNNNNNNNNNNNNNNNNNNNNNNNNNNNNNNNNNNNNNNNNNNNNNNNNNNNNNNNNNNNNNNNNNNNNNNNNNNNNNNNNNNNNNNNNNNNNNNNNNNNNNNNNNNNNNNNNNNNNNNNNNNNNNNNNNNNNNNNNNNNNNNNNNNNNNNNNNNNNNNNNNNNNNNNNNNNNNNNNNNNNNNNNNNNNNNNNNNNNNNNNNNNNNNNNNNNNNNNNNNNNNNNNNNNNNNNNNNNNNNNNNNNNNNNNNNNNNNNNNNNNNNNNNNNNNNNNNNNNNNNNNNNNNNNNNNNNNNNNNNNNNNNNNNNNNNNNNNNNNNNNNNNNNNNNNNNNNNNNNNNNNNNNNNNNNNNNNNNNNNNNNNNNNNNNNNNNNNNNNNNNNNNNNNNNNNNNNNNNNNNNNNNNNNNNNNNNNNNNNNNNNNNNNNNNNNNNNNNNNNNNNNNNNNNNNNNNNNNNNNNNNNNNNNNNNNNNNNNNNNNNNNNNNNNNNNNNNNNNNNNNNNNNNNNNNNNNNNNNNNNNNNNNNNNNNNNNNNNNNNNNNNNNNNNNNNNNNNNNNNNNNNNNNNNNNNNNNNNNNNNNNNNNNNNNNNNNNNNNNNNNNNNNNNNNNNNNNNNNNNNNNNNNNNNNNNNNNNNNNNNNNNNNNNNNNNNNNNNNNNNNNNNNNNNNNNNNNNNNNNNNNNNNNNNNNNNNNNNNNNNNNNNNNNNNNNNNNNNNNNNNNNNNNNNNNNNNNNNNNCCGAGUUCACCGGACUCCAAAAGCAGCCGCCGUGAUGCUCCGCCAUCAUUCCAGCCAUGUCAUACUCAUACCCAAACCCUCCUCCACCGCCGCAGCCGCCGACUGCAUCAGCGGCCGGGGUGAGUAACUGGAGGAUCUCGUUGAGGGAAUCGAGGCGGUGGCCGAGCUCGCCUACCUGAGCCCUGAGUACCGAAUUGUCUGCGUCGAGGGACAGGAAAUGCUGGGUGGUGACGCUGAUGCUGGCGACGAUCUGGCCGUUCUCUUUCCUGAGCUGAUCAACCUGGGCCGUCAGAUCGUCGAGGUGUUUCUGCUUUCUCAUCCUCGACCUCCUCGCCGACUCCCUGUUCGACACCAUCCUCUUCCUCUUCCUCUCGUCCAUCAAAGCCUGGAGGUCCGAGUCCGACCCGGCUGAGUUGUUGCUCACCGGCGACGACGUCGCCGACGAUGUGCCGCUCGAAGACGUCAUUACAGAUUUUUUUUCGAAACCGAACAAAUUUAAAAAAGAGAAGCUAAUUAAUUAAAUAAAAAGUUGAUUACUUUAUAAGGGGAUGGCAAAAGGGAAAUUAAAGGUCGUUAUGAAACAUAGUAGAGGAAGUAAAGGAAGACGACUGAGAAAGAUUGAACGAGAUGAGUCCUUCGCCGGAAAGUGGAAUUUAUCAUACAACGGAGAAGGAACAGUUCACUAAGAAUUGAAGACAUGAAUCUCUAGACUAUGCAUCAAGCUUAGCCGUCCUUUUCAACUCCUUUUUUUUUUCUCACAAUGAAACCCACAGUCAAGAUUCCGUCGAUCGGAGAAAUCGAAACGGAGGAUCUGAAAAACAGAGCAAGGGGAAAGUGAACCCAAAUCGUAGAAAUUGGCUUAAGAAAUGAAGAGGGUUGGUGAUUUAAGAAACGGAGAUGGGAGAAAUCGAAACAGAGAGGGGUGAAAACAGAGGGAAGGGAAGGGGGAGGGGAAGAAGAGGGGGAGAAAUGAAGAGGGGUUGAGGGGUGAAUUUAUAGAAGGGGGAGAUUGCUGGACUGGUUUAAAGAAUUAUUAUGAAGGGAGGAGGAAAAAAUCUGGAAAAGGAAUUGAGAAAGUAAAGUGGUGGGGAGAGAGAAAGGUGAUGGAGACAUGUGGGGUGGUGAAGAAGGAGAGAGAAGAAGAGUCCAGAGAAUACAGCUGGGAACCAACAGUAGAGGGAGGAGGAGGAGGAGGAGGAGGAGGAAGAAGGAAUUGUUUUUUUUUUUUGCAUUGCAUCGCAUCAUUUUGUUUGAUUGUUUUUGUUGUUGUUGGUGGUGGUGGUGGUGGGGGAAGGGUCUUUUGAUGUUGGUGUUGUUGUGUUGUGUGAUGAUUUGCUCACUCAAAAUCUGGUGUUGGUUGUAUUUGGAUGCAAUCAUGGUGGUAUUAUAUGGCUUUUGUUGUUCAUGAUCAUGGGUGAAAGGUACAAGUUGGGGGAUUCUGUUUGUGGUUGAUGGGUUCUUUCAAGAAGGAUGAUCGAGUAGUGUGACUCAUAUGUGUUGUUUUUCGUGUAGUGUAUUAAUAGUUGCUUGUUAAGUUCUAAACUAGCUUUUAUAAUUAGUUGAGCAUAGCAUUGAAACUGAUGGAUAAUUUCAAUAAAGACGAUAGAGUAGUAUGAAUCCUAUGUAUUGUGUUCCGUUCUGAUGUCUCGGUAGUAGUUUGUUAGGUUGUUACUGGUUUUCUAAACUACGUUUGUAAUUCAUCGUCUUGGUCGAGCAUCAUUGCUGUAAUUCGAUUCCUAACAUUGUUAUACAUGGCAUAAUAACCGGCUAAUUCUAGAAGAGAAUCUACAAUUUAACAGCAAGUUGUAUAUUUAUUUACCACAUAUAAUAAAUCUACAAAAGGUACAUAAUCUUGUUUGUUAAUGAAAAAAAUAAAAUCACACAUCGCACUCCUGAAUAUUUUAUAAAUUUUGCACAUCCCCAAAUGUUGCCUAAAAGUUACCAAUGGAAUCAGAAAUUAAUGAACCGAAACAAAUAAAAAUAAUAAUUACAACAGCCAGAAAUGGAGACCCAAUUUGAGCCUGUUGGGCCACCGUGGUCAUCAGUUUAUUGGUUUAUAACUAUCUAGUCAUCAACAUUUAAAAAGUAAUAUACAUACCGCUAACCUAUUUCAAUUAUAAUACGUAAUUAAUCUCGUUAAUGCUCCAUCCGGAAAUUUUGCUAAUCCGACUGACCACCAUGCACUUCACUCUUUGCUAUGCAAACUGUUGUAUCUUUUAGAUCCAAUCUAUUCAAUUUGUUUGAGUUGGAUGAUUUUCAGUGAAUUGAGUUAAAUAUUUAAAUUAGAUUUUAAGUAUGUUCAUAUGUGUUAAGUUAGAUUGUUUGAAUGGAUCGAAUCUAUGAUGAAAUGCGUGAUAUGGUCGUUUUUUAAAUUAUAAAUUAGUGUGGUGAUUUGUCAAUUAAAAACAAUCGGUUAAUUAUAAUAGGUUUCAAUUGUUUGGUGACUACAAUGCAUAUUAUGAAUUUAUGAUUUUCUUGGGGAAAAAAGGUCCACCGACGAUGUACUGACAACACUGAGUUGCUUAGAAUCUUGGAAAUCUAGGGAUGUAGGUCUGUCAUUAUUUUAAUUUUCAUUCAAAUUUAUUUAUUUAUUUUUGGUAUAUAAGCUUCGAGCUGUUGAUGAAACGAAUCGAGCUGAGCAUUUUCCAAUUCGUUCGUUUGAAAUAGCAGUACGGGUUCGGCUAAUUCGUUUGAAAUAGCAGUUCGGGUUCGGCUAAUUUAUUAUCAAGCCGGUUUGCGAGCUAACUCAUUAAAAUCAAAUUGAAUUUCGAUCAAUUUUUUUUCAAAUCGAACGUCAAAUUGCUCGCGAACGACUUGAUUGGUCAACAACUCUAUUAAUGACCUCAUGGAAGUUCAAUGUUUUUCUUAUUACAAAAGGGUCCUCUUUAUUCUUCAUUUGUCUAUGAGAAGUCCCAUUGAUUAGUCCAUGGCCCAUGUUUUGGUACCUUUGGGCGGUUUGGGGGUCACCCCCCACUAUUUGAUGUCUUGUUUGUUAGUCGUACAACCUAACCAUUAUAGUGGUCUACAUUCGAAACUUGAAAUCGAUAGGAUAUUGCUAAUUGUAUAUAUUGUCAUAUUGAUAUGAGUUAUUAGAUCGAAUCAUACCAUCCACAAUUUUUUUACUUACCACUAACCACAAUUUCUAUAAAAUGAGUGUUGUAAACCGAACCUGACUCAAACCUGAUUUAGUCCUUCAAAUAAGUUUUUUCAGUGCCAUAUCUUAUAGAUUUCUCCUACCUUCAAAAUUUAAACUUCAGACUAGAUAAUUUUGACAAAUUAAACAAAACUAAUCAUUAAUAAAAAAAAUUUAGACCAUUUGGUUUAAUUUCAUCACAUAAUUAUUUUCGAAAAAAAUAAUGUUACAACAUCCGGACCAUGAUUAUCAUAUACCAAACCGAAAUUUGUUUCAUCAACGAUAAUAUUACAAAAUCCUAUCCAUGAUAAUGUUUUUCUNNNNNNNNNNNNNNNNNNNNNNNNNNNNNNNNNNNNNNNNNNNNNNNUAAAAUAAUAUUUAAUUUCCUGCACAUCGGGUUUGUUUAAACAAUAAUAGUAUCUUAUACUGAUUCGAAAUUCAUCACCGGUAAAUCCAAUUUAUCAAUUUAACAUGUUUCAUGUACAUAGGAUUUGCAUUCAAAGCAUCUAGCUAUUCAAUUGCCAACAUUUUCCACAAAAAUGUGCGGGGUCCUAUUUCUAAUCCACGAUCCCUUCAUCCCUUGCCCCUUGCCUUUAAGAUUUGAUUCCAAGGCUAAUUAACAGUUGGGUUUAUAAAGAAACAAAAUGAAAGGUGGAUACUUUCUUUUAUUAUUUAAUUAGUGAUCUAUGAUUUUUAAAAAAGGUUAAUUAGUGANNNNNNNNNNNNNNNNNNNNNNNNNNNNNNNNNNNNNNNNNNNNNNNNNNNNNCCAUAAAAUGGACAAAAGCCAUCAUUAGGGAGGCACUUAACAUUGAUAUUUGCAAGACCAUGGUAAUCAAGAGUUCAAUGAAUUAUGGUGCACCUUUAGGCAUGGACCAUCCACAAUAUGGCACUUGUCUUUAUGGAAUCAUGGGAUUUUGUUUUUGUUACAAAAUAAUUAAUAUUUUUUAUUAAAAUGACAAAAAGAUGAAGUAACGAAUCACAAACACAAUACCACAUAUUUUACGUAAUUAUUAAUGAUUAUAAGUUGAUAUUCGAUUGAACCAAAUACAUAAAUAUUGUCUAGCCGUCUUCCAUUACUAUUUAGUAUUUACUAGUAAUUGUAUUUUUCCUUAAACUAUUUUACUAUAUACAAGAUUUAUGACAUUCUCAAGGAAGAUAAUGAGAGAAUUUAUUUGCACUUAUCUUUGUUUUAUUAUAUUUUACAGAAUAAAAUAUCCAUGGAAAAUAAUAAUAGUCGAGCUGGACUUUAAAUUUGAAAUUUUGUCUACNNNNNNNNNNNNNNNNNNNNNNNNNNNNNNNNNNNNNNNNNNNNUCGAAAUGGUCAGAAAUCCUCGAUAAAAUUACAAAUAUGAGCCGAGUUUAAAAAUACUUUGGCGCAAGAUUUGAGAACUCGUCAUAUAUAUAAAUUUCAAUCUUAUUUGNNNNNNNNNNNNNNNNNNNNNNNNNNNNNNNNNNNNNNNNNNNNNNNNNNNNNNNNNNNNNNUUGAUGGAUUUCGAGUUUCAUCAGAACUUUGCUUGAUUAUAAGUAAGGAUACGCUAUAUUCUACCUUGGAAAUUUUUAUAAUAAAUUUACCAUAGUGGUUUCUUCAUUUUCGUUAUAAUAAAAAUAUAAUCAAGCAUUUUUUUAUAUAUGAAAGUAGUCGACAUCUUAAUUUGAAAAGCACGUGUAUGAACGAUGUAAACACCUUAUCUAGCUAGUCAUUUUUGCGACUUUAAUGAAAAAGAUAUUGCAUUGUCGUACAUCAUCGACUACUAACAUAAUUUUCGAAAACUCACCCUCAUAUUGUACAUCGAAUGAUCUUAAGUAUACAUUUGAGAUUCUGUAAUAAGGGAGACCGAACUUGACAAACACCUCCAUAGUUAAAAAAAUUCAAAGAGAACUUUGACUCCAUUUUGGCUACUCCUUUUCUGGUGCAUCCAACUUUUAAUGAUGGCUAAUAGGGUACGAUGAAUUCCAAAAAAAUGUGCUUAAAUCCCAUUUGUUUGAACCCAUUUUGCCUUCACGGCGAAGUAAUUAAAGUGCAUGAUAACAUGGUGGGCACACUAUACACAAGAUUGAGAGGAAAGGAAAAUAUUAAAGGAUGGUAUCGAAAUUCGUUAGCUAAUCGUUUCUUUGACCUAUUGGUUAGGUUAAUAUCAGCCGUUAGUCAAAACACAAUUAUCGGAUCUACUCGACUCCCUUGUAUUUUUAUAGAUUUUUCCAAUUUUUUUUUUUAAAUUGAAUCGAUCAGUUAAUCAAUUUAUAUUCUCGUCAGUUGGAUGGUCGAAGGUUAACAAAUUAUCCAAAUUUAGUUAUUAUCAACCUACCUACCGACUCCAUGAAUCUUUUGUACUUAUUUUCUUUAUUCGUUCUUCUAAAUUUGUAGGGACACAAGAGAUUUGAAUCGACAUUUUUACCACUCCUUUUUAUUUCUGAGUAACUUUUGAUUGUGCAAUUGUUGCCGAUGUUAUGAAAAAAAAUGUACUUUUUUCACAAAGGAUUUUGCUUUAGUGGUGGGUGUGGGGUUUGGAGGCAAAUGUGUGGUUGGGAUUUCUCAUUAUUUUACAGUUACCAUUGAUGUUAAAGUCAAUAAUUUGGUAAAAACAAAGCCCUCUCGUAUCACCUCAAUUUGAUUACACCAAAGCCACCACUUGUAUCCAUAUCUUGAAUUGAGAGUGAUUAGUCGAUGAUAAAGCUGGUCGAACGAAAUUGUGUUGGUUUAAUCAUGUUGUAUAUGAAUUGAUUGAUGGAGAUAUUAUUAUUUGACGCAACAAAUCUGAGCAACAGAAUACGCGUUGUGUUGUUGGUGGGUUGUUGUGGCUGAGAUCCUUACUUUUUGGUGGCGUGCCUGUGUUUGCAUGUGCAAGUGAUCCGAUGUGUCGCCAACGAAGCCACCCAUAAACUGACGAGAUAAGUUGUGUGGAGGCGAACCUCGCGAUUUGAAUUGAUAGUUGUUUUUGGUCAUAGGUAGCUCAAGGAGAGGAGGAACGAGGUGAAGAUCUUUGUAGUUCGUUAGUCUGCAUUUUCUUUCCUUAACACUUUGAUUUCUGCAUUGAUUGAUUCGAUGUGUAUCGCCCUCUUUUCAGGACUUGAGAGAAAGAAUAGAUGUUGUGUCUGAGCCCGUUGUUGAAUCGGGUAAGCUAAUAAUGUUUGUGCAGUUCUUUUCUUCUUCAUGUCUUAUUGGUUUUAUUCUCAGAAGAACAUCUGAACUGAUUCUUGUGAUAUAAAAAAGUAGGCACAGAGGAGAAUCCUCAGAAUGAUAACGUCUUCCUAGAUGAUGUUGAGUCUCUUGUUCCACCAGAGAGCAGUUUUGUCGCUCCUUCAGAAACCAGACAUGAAAGUGAGGGCACAAUGCCUGCAGCAGAAGAGGCAUAUGUUUAUGAUCUAUCGUCCUUGGGCUUCGACGAUUUUGUUCCUUCAGCUACUGCUGCCUCUGAGCUCCCAAUGAACUCAGAACAGACGGGUUAUGAGCAAACAUGUGUUUUGAACGAGGCAGGCAAAAAUUCAAGGGAGGAUGCUCCUGAAGUGGUGAAAAAGGUAAUGUCGUUUGAAAUGUAAGUAAGAUGCUAUACGACGCAUUUGUUACUAUGGUUGUAACCUGUUUCUCUCUCUCUCUCUCUUAUCAGAAUCGAGACAACAAUGAAAAGACUUCUUCAUUAGGCAGUGACGGGAGUGGCGGCAAGCUCUCAAUGCAGUUGAGGAAGCGAUCAGGUGGUCGUCAAGUUCUUAACGAGUCUGAGCCUGUGAGUGGUCAUGAUGAUAGCAGCUUCCUUGUUGAGUACCUGAAGGCCUCGGUACGAAUGGAGAUGAGGAUUAUGAAUAUCGGAUCGAGGAUUCUGAGGAUGAUGGAAAUGUUGAUGCUGGCGGGGAAAGAACUUCCAAGAAAAAGAAAGCUGCUAAAAGGUCAAAGAAAUCAGCUUCGGGUGAAGAGAAGCCUGGUCGAAAGCGCAAGAAAGCCAGUGACACAUCAGAACAGUUGGAGCAGAAGCAGCCAAAGAAGAAACUUUCCCAUUCAACUCGCCGAAGGAAAAGAUAUCGCAAGUUCGAUACUCUCUAUUAAAUAUGUGUCACUGUUUCGAUUCUUGACAAUGAUUUGAUCUUUUUAUACAGGAAAUGACGAGUUGCUUAAGGUGCCCGAAGAUGAAAUAGAAUUCCGGAGCUUGACCAUGCGGGAUAUAAUUGUUCUUGCUGAACACAAAGAACGGUUAGCUGUGAGUUUAUCGGUUGCACUAAAUCAUUGCUUAAGUUACUGCUACCAGGAUUGAUCUCGUUAAUGCUAAUUGUUUGCAAAACGUCUUUUGCAGGCUAAAGAUGCCAAAGCUUCUUUGCAAAUUCCUUCGACUGAUGAAAAGUAAGAAGUCAUUUGUGAUUAGUGGAAGGCUUUCUCUGAACCGUUUAUCUUGUUAAAUUAAUCGUGCUCACCUCAGAACCAUUUGUCUCAUCUUGUUUAAAUGUAUUACCCUGUGCAGCACCGAGGAAGCCAACGAUGAAGAGGAUAACUCUGAGUCCGAGGAACCUGUAGACGUAUACGAAACCCCUUUAUUCAACAGCCAUUCUUUCAUGAAUAGGACGCCCACCAUGAGAUGGUCAAAACCGGAUACUGAUUUAUUUUAUGAGGUAUAAACAUCUCUCUACAAUAAAUCGGUCGCAGAAAUUAUCUUCUGCUUUCUUAAUGCUUUCGAAGCUUCAAUAUUGCUGAUUGGUGGAAUCAAACCCUUGUAUGCGUGAUACAUUGAACUUAAUUAUGGUACAUUAUGCUUGUUCUGGGCUUUCAGGGAAUUCGACAGUUCGGAUCCGCCGACAAAUCAAGAAUAAAUUCAAAACUGAAGAGCGCCGACAUCCAUUCUUACUUUCUGACGCUCUGCAAAACCCCAACGGUGGUAAUGUUCUUUACCAUCACUGUGAAAGCCUUUUCCACGUCAAAUUGCUAGUUGAAUAAUAUAGCAGCAUCCUUGUCUUUUGCAGAUACUACGUAUUUUGAUAAGGUGUAUAAUAAGCUGGCGCAAGCUGCAGCUGAUGAAGGAAGAGAGCCUCUCGAUCUUACCGGAGAAAAAGAAGCAGAUUUGAAUCUGGAAACUAAUGUAUGCUUGCAGCCCGCUUCGAUUCCAAUCAGAAACUAAUUUGCUUCCUUUAUUCUAAUCCAUGUGUAAACGCCUGUAUGGUUGCAGGAGGAACCAGGAAAAAACUCGGAGCAGGACGAGCAGGCAACGGGUCAGGAUCCUGGAGAUAACCCUGAUGAAGCCCAUAGUAAUGAGAAGAUCGAGGACGAGGACGAGGAUGAUUUAUUCAGCUCGUAUAAAUGUGAAUUCUGAAGCAACAAGCUAAACAUAUUGUAGCUGUAUUAUUAUCGAGUCCAACGAUGAAACUAGAUAGCUUGAAACAGUGGUUAGUGAAUGAAAUAGAUAUUAGGUUCCUUCUCUGAUUACUUGCCUCUAUUUGUGCUUUAACACCCUACUUUUAUUUCAGGGUUAACAAAUGGUCCUUCGGGAAAGAUCAACAAUGAUUAUCGAAGAACGAGAGAACGAGAGAACGAGUUUGAAUGGAGCGAUCAUCGAAUUAGAUUUGAGUAUUCAACCUUGGUGUAAAACAUCCAGCUAACAAUCUCAUGUAUCACCAGAUUAGAAGGGGCUAUUAUUGUUCUAUUUGCAUCUCGAAAUCUGGAAGAAAAACGUACAUUUCAAGAAUCUACAAAAACAUUUUGAAUGGUAGUCCUUCCGUUGCUACCUCGAUAGACCGUAAAGAUGCAAAAAUUUGAGCACGAAAACGAAGACCGAAUGGGGGCAUCUUCAAUAUCAACCAUUAAUUGAUGGGUUUACUUGCCUGUCAAGUAACAAACUAGCAACCUUACACAAUCUUGUACAAUGCAGUCUUUCCAUUGCAAAACAUUCAAAACUCUUGUCCAGUUUUCCGGAACAACUCUGGGUCACGUGAUUUUCUGGAGAACGAUGCACCAAUUCGAUUUGUCGAAGAACUGAUCGACUAUGACUGCAUUCUUGAUUCCAGAUGUCAACCUGAAACAACAUAAGGUGAGAACAAAACCUUAUAGCUGAAACGAAUGCAGAAGGCAAAAGCGGUUGAUGAAACCCGACUUGUUACCUUUCGAGCUCUCCUUCGCUAAAGACGUGAUAGUACCGGUUGUAGAUGACUGCACCCUUCUUGUCAUCUUUCCUCGCCAAGCCGGAGGCCACAGCAGAGGCAGAAGCGCCCCCAACUUCAGCUCGAUGAUACGGCAGAUGCCAAGGCACGAAAUACUCGUGCUGACUUCCAUCCUCUCUCGAAACCACUGCAUCACCAGAUUCCGGGAUGCUUUUCAAUGCAACAGACGAAGGGGGACUCCGCCUCUCAUCGUGCAGUAUUUCCUUCCCUUCUGCGGAUUCUGGGAUGCUUUUCAAAGUCACGGACGAAGGGCUCCGGACACGAGGACUCCCCGGUCCAAUCCAUUCCUCGACAUACUUAUCAUUAAGAGGCGUCCACUUCGUAAGCAGCGACCGAUCCUCUUGCUCGGCAGCCCAGACAGUUAUCAACACAAGUCCACCCUUCUUCACAACCCUAACCAACUCCUCCACCGCCUUCUUCCUCCUGACCUCGGUGCUCAAAUGAUGCAGCACCGCAAUCGAAAUCGCAGCAUCGCCAAACCCGUCUCGGUAAGGAAGAUUCACAGCAUCUGCAACCAGAACCUCGCUCCCUCGAUCCGCACAAAUCUUGAUCAGCGGGCUGCUGAUAUCGCACCCGAUGAAAAAGCAAUCCGGAUUCAGCCCUAGAUACUUCCCGUUCCCACAUCCUGCAUCGAGCACGAGCGAUCCUACUGGCAAAUUGUUUAGGAAAGACGCUACCUUUGGCCAUUUAGCGAACCUCGUGGAGCUGAAAUGAGGCGCUAUCGCGUCGUAAACUCGAUGCACAUACUUCUUUUCAAUCUCCGGGGUCGAGCCGAUACAUGAAGCUGCCUGGUGAUCUUCAGCAUUGGAGCAGAAGCUGGCAGCAGAGCCAGUCACCUUGAUUUCCUUCAUCGGUUUUGAGAUCUGAGCAGCUAGUAAACCGUAUGACGAGCUACUUGCCCUAGUGAAUCCUAAUCGCAUCAGCUACCCCCGCCUGAAAUUGUACUCUCCGAUGAAAUGAAAACGAAUAGACCAGCUUUUUUCAGCUUUCUAAACUUAGAAUCGUACGGUUGGAAUCUGAAUACUGCUGAAAUCGAUAACAUGAAGAAAGGAAACUGAAUAGCUUACCGGCUCUGGCAGUUCGGAUCUGCAGCGAUGACGACUGAAUCCCUUAAUCCCUUUCUCCCCUAAUCAGCGGCGAUCUGGGAGGGAGUGGGGUGGGGCGAAAAGGUAGAAUGGAUUGAAAUUAGGGUUUUUGUAAAAUUAAAAAAUUGAUGAUUGGGGGAUAUCUCGGGAACUGGGUGGUAUUAUUAUUGUACAGCUACUGAGCUUAGCCAAUUUUUAAUUAUUAUUUUAUUCGCGGGUGCUAUACGAUCUCUGUAUCCAUACCGUAUACAUACGAGUAUACUUGUGUGAAAUUUGCCAACGUAAUUUGUUUCUCCUUCACACACUCUAUUUUUAUUAAUAUAGUUUGUUUUACUACAUAGUUCCUGAACUUCUCAAAUUUGUCUUUCAUUAUCCAAAUUAUUACGACGUUUUCACUGCCAACUCAUCAUCUCCACAAUUCCCACAAUAUUGCCAUAAUACAUCUUAGUCGAUUACUAAAGUGGCAAUCGAUGUAGAGACAUCAACAAACAAAAGAUAAAUUAGCGACGAAAUGACAUCAUAAUUUAACAAUCUAAUAAAAAAAAUCUACAAACAAAUUAGGCGAUUGAUUUAUUCCGACCUCCGAACAAUAUGUCUUUAUGCCAUUACUUACCAACUAGAUAAGUAAAUGGACCAAAAGCCAAAAAAGAUGAUUGAUUUACAUUCACACUGAAUAAAUAAAUAAAAACCCUAGCUAGGUAGCAUUUGAUUGAUAAUAAAGCUUAAUGAGUUCACUUUUGUUAUGUGGUCAAAUUAAGGGGGACAAUUUGAAUAUCAAAGAUGGCCAGCGAACUAGUAGUCGGUGGAGUGGAAAUAAUGUUAAUUAGUUAAAUUAGAAGCUUCUUUUAAGCAAGUGGCAAAGAUGGAUUCCUCAAUAGGGCACAAAAUUGUUUUUAAUUUUUAUGAGGAUAUAGUAAUUAUUGAUUUAUAGAUAGAAGAUAUAGAAAAGUUAGAUAUGUAUANNNNNNNNNNNNNNNNNNNNNNNNNNNNNNNNNNNNNNNNNNNNNNNNNNNNNNNNNNNNNNNNNNNNNNNNNNNNNNNNNNNNNNNNNNNNNNNNNNNNNNNNNNGUAUGAUCUCAUUUGUGUUGAACGAAUAUUGGCCUGAUUUGACUUGAGUGAAAACUAUAAAUUUAUUAGUCCUUACAACUUGUAAGAUACACGACAAAUAACUUUCUCAAAACGAGUAAUCUUUCAGAUGUUGAUAUGUACAUCACUCAGCAAACAAAUCUAAUUCAAUAUUCAGUACCCACAUUUAACUCUUGACAUAUUAAUCCACCCGAACUUCCAAGAAGAAGAGACAAAACAAUGAAAGAAUUGUUCACAUUUGAAGCUUUUAAUUAUUGAAUUAGAUUUCUUUAGUUUUCUCUAAUAGCAUUCCUUCUAUUUGUUUUCAUUUGUAAGUUUAAAUUAGAAGAAAACAAGUUGUUUAAUUAUUUAAACAAAACAAAAUCUCUUAUUGUUUGGUUGAAAUAGAACAUAAAAGUUUCCACAUGUACAAUCAAUUAAUUAGCUGUAAUUUUGGUGUUAGUGACAGCAAAUUAAUAAACAAUCACUAAGUACCCAACAAUUACACGAACCAAAAUAGGAAAAUGAAAUUCUUCCCAAGUGGCACCACGUCAGCAUUGUACUGAUUUUUUUUUCUAACUUUCUUCUUUGGUGAAGUUAGAACAAAACACAAUUAUCUGUUUGUGAGAGAUUCAUGAUAUCAAAAUACAUAUAUGAAAAUUACAAUGUUGAAUUUAGCGAAAUUGUUUGAAUUUAUUUUUGGCGAUGGGAGUCAAAAUCGUACAAAAUGUUUUUGAAUGUAAUUCGAAAUCUAGUUUUUUUUUAAGGAUUUUAAUUUCAAAAUCAACAUAUAAAAACUAAAAAGACACUAGAACAUAAUAGACUUUCAAACAAGGUAGUGUACACAAUUUUAUAAGAAAGUAAAAGAUUGAAAAUGGUAAAAAUAUUAACCCUAACUCAUCCUUGUGGAUCAAAUUAUCAACGAUACCUUACAACCCAUUAAACAUGUGAUUUUAUAUAUAUGAUAUAACCCAUUUAACCCAAAUAAAACACUCUCAACCCAUUAAAUAUAUAACUUUACGUUACCAACUUAGAACCCGAUCAACCCGACACUCGAAAAUAAUGAACCAGCCAGCCAUACAAUAGUCAACAUUAGCCAGCAGACAUAUCUGUUAAUUUAUUAUUAUUAUUUUAACUACGACCAAAAUUUACCUCGCCACGUGGCACUCUGGUGAAUAAAAAACGUAUGUCGGUGGACCCUACCCGCCACCAAAUUAGGUCUCCUACUAUUAAACCAAAUCUUCCCAACGCUCUCUGUAUUUCCUUCUUCUGCCGUAAUUUAAUUUAUUCAAUCGGCCAGAAGAGAAAUUUGAUGUUUCAGUUCCUCUAAUUUUUAAUUUAUUCCUCCCGAAGAUCAUAAUCUCCAUUUUGUAUCUGUAAAUUUCUGAUUUCCUAUCCUCUUUACCUAAAUUUACGCUGCAAUUUUCGUCUUACCAGAUGCGAUUGUUCUUGAUCGUUCGAUCUUCCUCGUGAUCGGCGCUCCCACCCACACUGAGUUUCUCCUUAUGCAAUCAAUCAUAACCCCAAAUUUCAGAUUCUGAUAAAGUGGUCAAAUUUGAUUUCUCUCUGUUUGGCUGGCUAAGCAUUUUAUUUUUCGAGCUCUGAAAGUGGGGGAGUUGGCGAAGGACACUGUCUCCCACUCGAAUUGUAAAGUUUUCCACUGCUAGGGUUCGUAAGCUUACUGCAUUUGGUCGUUUGAUCUGCUCUCUCGAUCGGUAAUUUUGGUGGUGCGGAGGAAAAACCCCUUUUUCAGACUGUGUGAGUCGUUGAUUUUCGGCGAAAGGAAGGAGCUUUGAAAUGUCUGGUCCGCUCGAUCGGUUCGCUAGGCCUUGUGAGUGCAUUUUUUAAUUGUGAUUUCUGACUUUAUUUAACUUUUUUUUUUCUUGGUUGAGCUAGGGUUUUGAGCUGUUUGUUACAGUGAGUUCAGUUUUUUAGAUCGGAUUUUAGUGCUUUAUAGCAUAAUUAUGAGAAUGCAGGUUCUCUGAAGUGAUUUCUGUUGGAAGAGAAGUGGUAAUUUGUUACUGAAUGUGAUUACUGAUGAUGAAUUGUUGUUAUGUCGCGUAGGUUUUGAGGGUUCAUCAGGGGGAGAUGAAAGGAGGGAGGAGAGGAGGGAGAGGAGAUCUGAUUUUGAGAACUCCGAGGACGAGAGAAGGACGAGGAUUGGGUCGCUGAAGAAGAAGGCAAUUAAUGCUUCUACCAAGUUCAAGCAUUCUCUGAAGAAGAAGAGCAGCACCAGGCGAAAGAGUGAUGGCCGGGUUAGCUCAGUUUCCAUCGAAGACAUACGGGACCUCGAGGAACUGCAGGCUGUCGAUGCAUUUCGCCAGUCGUUGAUCAUGGACGAGUUACUUCCUGAAAGACACGAUGACUACUACAUGAUGUUGAGGUGAACCCCCCUUGAUUAUGUGUUCAGGAUAGAAUGUGAGCUGUUCCUGAACUUGCUAUGAUUAAUUAGGCAUGUUUAUAGUAUACAUAUCGUCCUGUUUUGGGCAUAAUGAUCAAGUCCACUUUCAUUAAUGUAAUCUUCGGUUGCUUGUUUGUGUUACUCUUGCUAACCCUUUUAUGUGUCUCAGGUUCUUGAAAGCUAGGAAAUUCGACCUUGAGAAAGCAAAGCAUAUGUGGGCUGAUAUGCUUCAAUGGAGGAAGGAAUUUGGUACUGAUACUAUCAUGGAGGUAAUUCCGACUUUCAAUGAAUCUGGAGUUGAUAUUAUCAGCUUCCCCUUGUUUAGAACUUCACUUAGUUUCUUUUCUUGUAUCAGGAGUUUGAGUUUCAAGAAUUAGAGGAAGUUUUGAAGUAUUACCCACAUUUCUAUCAUGGCGUGGACAAAGAAGGGAGACCUAUUUACAUUGAAAGAUUGGGGAAAGUUGAUCCUCACAAACUUAUGCAAGUAACAGAUCUCGACCGCUAUGUGAAAUACCAUGUCCGUGAGUUUGAGAAAAGCUUUUUGGUCAAGUUUCCAGCUUGUAGCAUUGCUGCAAGGAAGCAUAUUGACUCUAGCACAACAAUUCUAGAUGUUCAAGGAGUGGUAUGUUGGUUACUUAUUACAAUUUGUUACGCUUAUUUCCAUGAUGUAUUAAAGAACAAUCUCUUCGUUUUGUAUCCCUAGAAAAAAGAAUUCACCUUUUUCAUUUUACUCGCUUACAUUUAGGGAUUAAAAAACUUCACUAAAUCUGCUCGGGAACUUGUCAUGCGGCUGCAGAAGAUUGAUGGUGACAACUACCCCGAGGUAAGAUAAUUUCGCUUGUAUAGCUCUAAACGGUUAUUACUUAUAUAGUUAUAUUUUUAUCCUUUUGUAGAGAAUGCUGACUUGUUUAUACAAUGUGACAUUUGUGUCAAUACUGCAGACUCUACACGAAAUGUACAUUAUCAAUGCUGGGCCUGGAUUUAGGCUUUUGUGGGGUACCAUCAAGACAUUUUUGGAUCCAAGAACCAGCUCCAAGAUUCAUGUAUGAUUGUAAUUAUAAUUGUGUUAUAUUUACUGUAACUAUCCUGCCGAACCAUCCAAUGAACAAAAUUUGUUGUGUGAAUAUGUAGGUGCUUGGAAACAAGUAUCAGAGUAAAUUGCUCGAGGUAAUCGAUGCUAGGUAAGCAUGUUGCACUGGUUUAUAGAAGUGCCGAAUGCUAUUUUACCGGGAUGUUAUGCUAAUUUCUAACUAGUUGCUAACAAUGUGCAGUGAAUUACCCGAAUUCAUGGGUGGUGUCUGUAAGUGUGCUGAUCAGGGAGGUUGUCUUCGCUCUGACAAAGGACCAUGGAGAAAUCCAGAUCUAUUGAAGGUAUGCGGUUUCCAUAAUUUUUUUCCAUGAAAUUUUGUUCUUUUCGGGAAGUAACAAAUCUUACGUUUCUGCAGAUUGUUCUAAGUGGAGGAGCUCGUCGCUCAAGGCAGGUUGUAAAGAUCUUAAACAACGAGGGUAAGGUCAUUACCUAUGCAAAGCCUCCUUGUUACCCGAUGGUAAGACAUCGAUAAUGCUCCCUCGUUUUUGAAGGAUUAUGUGAAGGAGCAGCUUUGCUAAAUUGCCUUGGAAUUCUUGAGACAGGUCAGAAGUGAUUCCUCUGCUGCUGAAUCUGGAUCAGAAGCUGAAGAGAUUUCUUCCCCCAAGGCACUAAGGUCUUACUCGCAUCUGCGCCUGACUCCUGUUCGUGAAGAAGUAAGUUUUGGCUGUUCAUGCAAAAUGGUUUUAGUUUUUGGACUCAAAUUUUCGGUCUUCUGAUAUCCAGUUUGUUCAUUUGGAAUCUUGAAUGUGAAGUCUAAGAUUGUUGGGAAGGUGAAUCACCCUAGCACCUUUUCUGGGUAUGAUGAAUACGUUCCGAUGGUCGAUAAAGCAGUUGACUCUACCUGGAAUGAGCAAGCAGCCAUUCAGAAGCUUGCAAUGUCUAAAGGUUAGAACUUUAGUCGUUCAUUCAUGUUUCCUGCUCUAUUGAUUAUGUUAAAUGAAUAAAACUGAUAUCAGCUUCUACCACAGCAUCUGCAACUGUUCCGGAGACUCCAAAGACGUCAGCUGCUAUCCACGUUAGGCUUUAUUUGGCAGUUCUGGCUUUCUUCAUGACGAUUCUUACUUUCAUCCGUGUGUUGCCAUCGCGGUUGAGCAAAGAGGGUACUUCAGCCGGAUUAACCUUAAACACUCCAGAGAAAGAGCUGACACACCCACCUUCGCCAACUCCAGCUUACUCGGAGACCGACCUGCUCACUACUGUACUGAAAAGGCUGGGUGAACUUGAGGAGAAAGUUGACACGCUUCAAUCAAAGCCAUCGGAGAUGCCGUACGAGAAAGAGGAGUUGCUAAAUGCUGCUGUUUGCCGUGUUGAUGCCUUGGAAGCCGAACUCAUUGCAACUAAAAAGGUAACAUUGGUUUUGUCAAGCAUAGCUUCAUUCCGUUUUGUACUAGGUUUGUAACACAAUCUUAUGUUGUUGCAGGCCCUACACGAAGCACUUAUGAGACAGGAAGAACUGCUUGCUUACAUCGAUAGUCAAGAGGAAGCGAAAAACAGGGUAUAAUUUGUUGAAAAUAUGAAUCUUUUCGGCUUAACGACAUGCUAUGUGAGUACAAGUUGCUGAAAAUCCAACUGCUGGAAUGUUUUUUUGCAGAAGAAGGGUUUUUUCUGCUAUUAAAGACUUCUGCAGUUUGAGAGAGGGAUGAUGCAACCUGGGCGAGUUCUCGGAUGUGAGUGAUGCAUAUGAAAUAUAUUUCGGCUUCUAUUGUAUGUGGAUAAUGAGAUGUAACUACUCUUAUUUGAAACAACAUUGUGAGCAGACUUGCUCUUGUAAGACCUUGUGAAGACGUGUUCUUAACUACACACCUGCUAGACUUAUAAUCAUGAAUGCUGCUGCAGUUUGGUCUCUGUGAUGAUCUCUGCUAUCUUCUUACUUCAUUGUGGAUAUUAUAUAUUUACUUGUGGUAUUUCUGUGUUCUGAAUUUGUCUUCUGCGUCAAUUGUCUAUAGUUCGUAUCCCACCGCUGCCACUUAGUUAACACACUUAGGUUUGCAUAAUUCUCGAUUGAUUGUGGUUAGUAGGGUUAACUGCUGAUCUCGAAACCAGUCGAUUUCUCAGGGAAAGAAGCAUUAAUUUUUAUAUUGGUUUUUGCAUUAACCCCAACAUUACAUUCAGAUUACAAGAAAGUUUGUAACAGUCCAGAUUUUGCUCUGCUUUAUACACGGCUGAAAGCCUGAAGAGAGUAGUACUAUACAGAUAACUAAAUCAAGAAAUGCCAAGUUACAUCAGAUCCUCAAUUGGCCUUUGUCAAGUUGUCAUAAGAUGAACCAUUUCCUCCUUUAGAAUCUGAAGAACUGCAUUCCGAAACAGAGAAACCAGAAAAGUUAGCAGCUUUGAUAUAAACAGUUCCUGAGUUCAUGAUCCGGGCUGGGAAAGAAACAUUUUACCCUCUUCUUCUUCUUGUUCUUCUUGUCCAUGUAAGCCAGGAGUUCUUGCUGUUUCCCUACAGCUUCCACAAGUAACUGGAGCAAAAAAAACGUCGAAAAAAAAGAGGUUAAAGGUUCUUCCUUUAGACACUGCAUUCUGAGUUUGGUUGAUUAUUAGUACUUACAAUCUUUGCAGCAGAGAGCUCCUUCUCGAGGGCUUCAGCGCGGUCGAGUGCGUUCAUCAGCAUUGCCUCCUUCUCAGCCGGCAUCACUUCGGGUUUCGAGCAAAGGGCGUUCAGCUUCUCCUCGAUAUCUGCCAUCCUCAACAUCAUGUUCUUGUAAUCCGAGGAGGAGAUGGACGAUCCCUCCAUCCUUCCAGCUGAAGAAGGAUGGUCGUUGAGCGAUUCGGAGUAGUAAGUCUUGCUCCCGUAGAUUGCUGCCUCGGUCAGCUUUCGAGGCAUUGUCUUGGUCAUCUUGAUCAAGGUCACUACUCCCAUCACAACCGCCAUGAUCCCACCCAUCACCUGCUUCCCGUUUGCUGGCACAAGAGCAUCCUCUUGCAUACCUGUAACGAAAGCAAGUUUUCGACAGGUUUAGGGUUUUUCUUACCAUGUUCUUGUCAUGAACCGUUGCAUCCCAAUAACGAGUUUUUGAUAGAGGGUUCAUAUCGGUUUUAUAGUUCAUUAACAGUUUUGUACGCUUUGCCUUACCCUUUCCUGAAGAAGCUCUCCAGUCAGUGUUGAUGGUCUUCUCCACGACUUGGAUGGACUUCUCGCAGUUUUCAGUGGUGAGCCUGUUCACGGUUAUGAUCGGAAGAUGGUGAAUUACUUCUUCUUCAGGAACGGGAGAAGGUUUCAGGUCCUGAAGUACUUCGUCGUUCAAAACCUUGAUGGUUUCCUUGUCUUCAGGAAUUGGCUUCUCCUCAAUUCCUGACAGGAUUCUCCUGUGGCAUUUACCCUCACCAUUUUCAACCAUCUGCGACAAAAAGAUUGGAUUGAAAGAAGAUUAUCAUCAGAUCGAACGAGAUUGUUCUCGUAAAACCAGUCCUUGGUGCAUUAGGAUUACUCACCUUCAGGAUGUCAGGAUCAUUCCAUGGACCUUUGCUGGAGCGCAUGCAUCCACCCUUGUCAUCACAGUUGCAAGUCCCUCCGAAGAACGAUGGCAGCUCGCUGCAAAAACCGAUCCAAACCCAGAUUUCAGAGCCAAAAUAUCGGUUUGUAAGGGUUAAUUAGGAACAAAAGUCGGUACCUGGCAUCAAUUACUUCAAGCAACUUGCUUUGAUAUUUGGUGCCAAGAACCUGUAGAAAAGGUUGACUCUGGAUUAUAAAGAGCGACUUGGAAAGUAUCAGAAACAGAAUCAACAUUUAGUUCUAAAGCCAUGAAACUGACAUGGAUCUUGGAAGCAGUCUUAGGGUCCAGGAACUGCUUCACAGUGUUCCACAGUAACCUGAAUCCAGCCCCACCAUUGAUGAUGAACAUCCUGUUCAAUGUCUGCAAAUGCGGACGAAAAGAUCGAAACUUUACUCAAUUACUACAUGAAUUCCGUGAAUUAUUCACAUACCUCAGGAUAGUUAUCGCCAUCGAUCUUCUGGAUCCGGCUGAUAAGUUCCCUGGCAGUUUUGGUGAACUGCUUCAGACCCUGAAAACAGAUUUUAUGAUGAUGAGAAAUCGUCGAAACAACUGAAUUUUAGAACUCUAAACAUAUAGACAUUACCACUCCUUGAACAUCAAUGAUGGUGGUGCUCUGGUCGAUGUGCUUCUUAGCAGCAAUGGAGCAAGAUGGGAACUUGUAAGUGAAAGCUUUCUCAAACUCCUGAACAUGGUACUUCACAUAUCGAUCCAACGAUGUGACCUGAACCAGCUUGUUGGCAUCAACUUCGCCGAGCUUCUCGAUGUAGACUGGCCUCCCAUCUUUGUCUACUCCAUGGUACCCUUGUGGAUAGUACUGCAGGACUUCAUCUACUUCCUUGAACUCAAAGUCCUGUUUCAGAAAAAGGAAAAGAAACCCACAACGUUCUUCAGAACUGAAUGAGGGCAAAGUUGACAACUUUUUCCUGAAACCAUAUCAUGAUUGGACUCAUGUAGAGUACUAACCAUUCAGGAUUUUGCCGUAAAUCGUGAUAACAUGACUAAUUAACCGGUCUAACCUGACUAUACUUAGAGUUGGGGAUUCACCAAUUCGGUUUAACAUGACUCAUUUGAUUUUGUUUGUUUUACACACCACUCACGACCUUAAACCCAAGUCGAUAACAUAAUGGAUUGAUAAACAAUCGGUAGUUCUCCUUGCUCGGCUAACACGAAACGGUGAAACAUGUUAGAAACUGAGUUCCAACUUAGUUUGAGUUACUCGAUAAUCAAGGAAAACCAAUGUACUUAUCUUGACAUCGAAUAUCAGGAUUAAACCAAUGAGGGGAAACCAUUCAGAACCUAACGAGUAUCGGUUUAGCCUCAAUUACGAGUCCUUAGGCCUAGUUAAACCGAUCUAAUAACUUGGUCAAUAGGGUCAGAUUCAGUGGUUCGGUUUAGCUGAAUAGAUAGAAAUAUCGAGCUCCAACCAAAAAUCUGUCAACUAACCAACCAAACAAAACCUAUACGACAACCGGUUUCACAAACACUAACAAAUCAACAAAGAAAGAGAAUUCUAUGUAUGUAAUUUUACUUACCUCCAUGAUUAAAUCAGUACCAAACUCCUUUCUCCACUGGAUCAUAUCCCCCCACAUCUGUUUGGCCUUGUCAAUGUCAAACUUCCUGGCCUUGAGGAACCUGAGCAUCAUGUGAUGAUCAUCAUGGUUUGAAGGAAGAAGCUCAUCAAGGAUGAGUGCCUGCCUGAAUGCAUCCACAGCCCUGAGCUCCUCCCCGUUGAUUUCGUCGACUAUCGAGACCGACAUUACCCUGCUGUUCCUGCGGCCUUUCUUUGUCAGGGAGCUCCUGAACUUGUUGGAGGCAUUGAUUGCCUUCUUCUUGAAUGACUGCUUCUUCUUCUCAUCCUCUGAGAACUCUUGAUUCUCAGGUCCUCCUAAUAAAACAGGGUCAAAUAUCUGAUUCAUCCCCGUAACUUUGGACCAUUGGUUCAGUAUGUUCAAUCCGUAUAGAAAAUGCUGAAACAGCAAAAUAAAAAAAAGUUGUAUACCUAGUUUAGGAUUUUUGUCCGGAAGGACUAUAGACAUUGCAUCAGCCAUGAUGAUUGGUUCCUGGCAAUGAGUUUCUUAUCAGAGAUUGGUUGGGAAUGAAAAGGGUAUUGAAAAGUUUGAAACUUUGUUCAGAAUCCAUCUGGGGAAUUGAGCAAUCAACGUUGAUCCAUAUGAUCAUAUGAAUGGCUAAAAAGCCAGAAUCAUCAAAUUUCUUAUCGGAUUAGGAACAAAUGAUAAGUAAGUCUGAAACUUAAACCGAAAUCCGUACGAGAUUUGAUAGUCAGGACAAAUCAUAUAACAACGUUAACGUAUGCCAUCAUUCAUUUCCUCAACAAACACAAGAUGUAAACCAGAUUAUGCAACAAAACUACAUGUUAUCCAUAACUUCAAAAUCCGGGAAGAUGAAGGGAGAUCAAGAGUUACCUAUUGGAACUAAUGUAGGUGUGGGGAAGAAGAUGGACAAUGUUUUUUUGUGUUUGGUUAUAUGUAAUUACAAGAAGAAAGGGAGGACCUUUCUAAAACUAAAUCAAAAGGAAGAACCCAAUUUAAAACUAUAUACAUAGUCUUGUGUUUGAUUACUUAGAGAGAGAAGUGGGGAGGAGAGAGAUUUGAAUCAAACAAUAAUAAGAAUAUAUCAUACACACAAAUAACAAACUAAUUAAAAUGGCUAAUACAAGUUAAUCCAUUCAAUGGUUGACCUUCCUUAACCAAUCAUUUUUCCAAAAUCUUUUGGCUAAUUUUAUGCUAUUUAGUUAUAUGACUUAUAUAAAGUCAUAUCAAAAAUAAUUUAUUAUCUGCCGUUGAAUAUGUUGAAACCGGUCAUAGAUCAUUUGUAAUCUAUUAUGAGUGUUUUAUUAAUCUAACAUUUUUUUAUAAAUGUUCACACUUGUUUGAAUUAAGUAACAACUAGCUGGUGUCAGUUUUACAUUAUACGAUAAUUUUUUUUGGAAAUUAUCAACACAAUGUGGUUACUUUUGUACAAACUUCUUGUGACAUUAAAAAGCUUAUUGGAGUGUGAAACAAGCUCUACUUGGCUAUUUUCAAUUAAAAUUUCGAGACUAAUAUCAUAAAAUUAGGCUCGACACAAUAAUGUGCAUUAUGUGUGAAAAAAUUAAAAAGUGACACAAUAAAAAUAUACCAAUACAUUAAGUUAUAAAGGUUCAGUGACCAAUCCAUUACUUAACUUUAAAUUCAGUGAGCAUCGAGUAACUAGUCCAUCAUUUCUGUUCCUCUGACCCCUUUCAUAAUAGUCUCCAAUCAAGCACAAGCUUUCAACCUUCAACCCUAGCGCUUAUGCUCUAAAAUGGCGUCUUGUACCCACUUCUCCCAGCCGUUAGCUUCAUCAAGAACCCUAACUCAAUCCCGCGCUCGAAACCUAUAUUCAAAAGCCUUUUCUUUAUCCACUCCAAAUUACUCUUCCAGACAAUCCUUAGCUCUUCGUGCAGUUCUCUCGCAAAACCCUACCAAAACCUCUCCUCCACCGAAACUCGACAACCAAUUCGAGCAUUGUUUCUCCAAAUUAUCCGAUGGAUUUCUCUACUGCGAGAGCGUCAAGGUCCAGGAUGUCAUGGACACUGUUGAGAGGCGGCCGUUCUACCUGUACAGCAAGCCUCAGAUCACUAGGAAUGUUGAGGCCUACAAGGAUGCUUUGGAAGGAUUGAAUUCAGUAAUUGGAUAUGCUAUCAAGGCUAAUAAUAACUUGAAGAUUUUGGAGCAUUUGAGGAAGUUGGGAUGUGGGGCUGUUCUGGUCAGUGGGAAUGAGCUCAGAUUGGCUCUCAAGGCUGGGUUUGAUCCCACAAAGUAGGUUCCUUUAUUAUGUUGCUGGACUGAGUUUUUGUUCCCCCGUUCUGAUUAUGGCUAUUCUUUCUGGUGAUGGGAACAGGUGUAUAUUUAAUGGAAAUGGGAAGCUGUUGGAGGAUUUGGUUCUGGCUGCUGAAGCAGGUGUCUUUGUUAAUGUGGAUAGUGAAUUUGAUUUAGAAAAUAUUGUGGCAGCUUCUAGGGUUGCUGGCAAGAAGGUUAAUGUUUUGCUUCGGAUCAAUCCUGAUGUGGAUCCUCAGGUAUACAAUACGAAAUCAGAUAUAACAUGUUAUUUUGUCGUGCAAGUGUUUGAUAGGAGAGGUUAGAGAAGUUGUGAGGUUCUUUGGAGCCCAAAGCCAGUAGCUUUAGCUGAAAUUUUAUGUUUUCUUUCAGUUUUUAAGUUCUGCCGUAUGCUUUGAACAUAUUCUACUGCACAUAAUCCUUUCCCCGAUUGAAGCCCGGUAGCUAGUUGUAUUGGUUUUCGUGAUGUUUUUCCGAGCUGAAUACCAGUAGUGCCAACUGAAAGUGUUAUACUUUUUAAUCUGUGUUUGAUGAAUUUCUUUGAGUUUUUAAGCUAUUUUGUAUAAUGGGAUUUUAUUCGUAACCUCCUUAGACCGUGUCCAAAACAGUUGGACUAUUUAUGCCUUGAACCUAUUCUACUGCACAUAACCCUUUCUGUGAAUUUCUUCUACAUUUGAGAUCCGUAAGGUGUUCUGUAUUUGAAGUCGCUGAGUUUCUCUGGCUUACUAUUACUAUGUUUAUUUCAUGGAUUGCUUAGGUCCACCCUUAUGUAGCUACCGGGAACAAGAACUCAAAGUUUGGUAUUAGAAAUGAGAAGCUGCAAUGGUUUCUGGAUGCUGUAAGGGCACAUCCGAAUGAGCUGAAGCUUGUUGGUGCCCACUGCCAUCUCGGAUCAACGAUUACCAAGGUGUGUAGCACUGCAAGAUGCUUUUUUUUUCCAGUUUGUGAGAUGUUCUGUAUUUAAUAUGAUGAAUUUAUUAGCUCCCUUUUCACACUACGAACGGUGCCUCUUUGCAUUUAAUAUGAUGAAUCCUGUUCUGUAGAAACUGCCAUUGACUUAUCAUUAGCCCUUCAGUGAUUUAGUUCUUCCCAUUUUUUCCGUUUAGGUGGACAUAUUUAGGGAUGCUGCUGGUCUUAUGGUACACUAUAUCGACGAAAUACGUGCGCAAGGCUUUGAAGUUGAUUACUUAAACAUUGGAGGUGGUUUGGGGAUAGAUUACCAUCACUCCGGUGCUGUUCUGCCCAAGCCAAGGGAUCUCAUUGACACUGUAAGUAUCUUACACUUAAGAAAUCAUGUUCUAUUUGACAUCAAACGAUUCCCAUAAAGACUGGUUAUGCUCAGUGGUCAUGAUUUGUCACUGUAGGUUCGUGAAGUGGUGCUCUCUCGGAAUCUCAAUCUCAUUAUCGAACCAGGGAGAUCCCUCAUCGCCAACACCUGCUGCUUCGUAAAUAGGGUUACUGGCGUAAAGACAAAUGGCACGAAAAAUUUCGUCGUGAUUGAUGGUAGCAUGGCUGAGCUCAUCCGUCCUAGUCUAUAUGAUGCUUAUCAAGUAAGAAACCAAGUAGAGACUAGUUUGUUGAGCUGUUUAUUAUCGAUGUAUCUGUUCCUGCCAUUGAGACUUCUUCCUGCCAUUGAGACCAAGAACUUUGUUGUCCCUGUUCUUGCAGCACAUAGAGCUAGUUUCUCCUACGCCACCAGAUGCUGAGGUGUCAACCUUCGACAUUGUUGGUCCUGUGUGCGAGUCGGCUGACUUUCUGGGAAAGGAGAGGGAACUUCCUACUCCACCCAAGGUAACUUACAUUUUGCUUUCAUGGAUUUUUCAGUAGCUGCAAAUAUUAUUGAUUUGCACUUCUUACAGAAACAUGCAUUUGCAGGGAACCGGUCUGGUGGUUCAUGAUGCUGGAGCUUACUGCAUGAGCAUGGCAUCAACUUACAACCUCAAGAUGCGCCCUCCCGAGUAUUGGGUACGUAGAAUCCCAUACCACCACUCUCUUAUUUCGAGUGCUCGUGUUCUCCUCUUGCAUGAAACUGAUGAGAAUUUGUUAUGUGACUGUUCAGGUUGAGGAUGAUGGGUCAAUAGCCAAGAUUCGACAUGCAGAGACAUUCGAAGACCAUAUCCGGUUCUUCAAUGGGCUGUAAUUUGUGAGCUUUAGGUUCAAUCUACCAAGCAAUAAAGCCUCUGAGCUUGUUUAAUUUUGUACUGAAAUCGGGUUAUUUUGUAAGGCAGAAGUGUUGUUCCUUGUUCUAUAAGUUAUCGAGUUACCAUUUUGUUGAAAAUUAUCUCACUGGAUUUGUAUCUGCCUAAAAGUUAAGUGACCCUGAGCCUUUUUUCUUACAGUAUUGACCCGUGUUGUUGAAUCGGACUGGAUGGUGUACUAGACUCGUAACUCAUAAGAUCAUAAAUCGGUUGUCAAUCGGUUCUAACUGAUAAAAAACCAUACAUCCUUCAAAGAUGAAGAUAACGGUCAUUAGACAUUAUAUACUAAUCUUAAUGAUCUAAUGAAAUCGAGCUAUAAUGAAAUUGAGCUGAUUUUUUCACUAAUUUUUUAACCGAUUUAACUUCUUCCGUCAGAACCCCCCUCCCUUGCAACUUACAACUCACGAGUUGAUGCUCCGAUCCGGAUCUAGGAAUCUGAAUACCAAGUUAAGUAUAACUAUUUCCCAUAAUUUCCAUGAUAGGAUAGUUAAUUAAUAAUUACCAUCUUUUUUAGGUACCAAUUUAAGUAAUUUACUAUCUUCUUAGGUACCGUAUCUGCGAUUUUUUUAUACUGUAUUUCGGUAUUUUUAUUUUUUACAAUCUGGUGCAGCCGCCAUAUAGUCGUUUUGGCGGCACUUCCUUUUUCCACAAAUUUCCGCGGCAUUACCACUUCCUCGUUACUGCUCAAGAAACUCGAAACCCUAACUUGAAGUUGUGGCGCGAAGAUUCCAUUUCUCCCUCUCGCGAUUCUGCAUCGAAUCGGUCAGUAACAUUCCCCUCUCCUUCUCUGUUUCCGGAUUGCAUUUCGUAUUCUUUUUCCGUUCAUCUGAGCGACUUCGAUUCGGUUCAAUUGCAUGCAAAAUUCAAAGUUCUGAGUAGUAAAAUGUGUUUGGCGGUGGUCGAGGAUUCGAGAUUGCAUUGUCAAUUUUUCAGCUGCUGUAGUUUUCUUUCUUGAAAUUGUCCGUUGAUAUCGUCUUUUUUGUGCCGCUGAUUUCAGUUACCACAACAACUGUUCUGCAAGACUCAGCCUGCUAGGUCUCUCAGUUUCUGGAGAACUCUCUCUUCGAUGGCGAGUUCUGUAGCCAGCCUUUCCAAUGGCGGUGUUGGUGGACAGCCAGAUCCACAGAGGACUUACCAGGUUGUCGUGGCUGCAACUAAAGAUUGGGGUAUCGGGAAAGAUGGGAAGUUGUCUUGGAAGCUGCCUUCUGAUCUCAAGUUCUUUAAAGAUGUUUCCUUGACGACUUCCGAUUCCGGGAAGAAGAAUGCAGUGGUCAUGGGUAGGAAAACAUGGGAGAGCAUCCCACUUCAGCACCGUCCUCUCCCUGGACGUCUGAACUUGUUCUCACUCGAUCGGGGAGCUUCAAUAUCGCUACUGCGGAGAAUGUUGUGAUUCGUGGGAGCAUGCAUUCUGCUUUAAUUGGCUGCUUCUCCUUAUUGUCUAUCUAUUGAGAAAGUCUUUGUGAUUGGAGGUGGCCAGAUAUUGAGGAUUUUAAAGUUUUUUGGGUUUCCGUAACUUUUACAUUUUGUUUGUAAUGCUGGUAGUGUUUGUUUGUUUGUUUGUCGAUUGAAACGUGUGUUCUUUGCAGGGAAUCUCUUAAUGCAGCUAAGUGUGAUGCACACUUGACGGAGAUUUGACGAGCUUUGAAUGUGAUACCUUCAUUCCUGCGAUUGAUUACUCAGUAUUUCAGCCUCGGCAUUCGUCUCCUCAUGUUGUGGAGAAUGGCAUACGGUUUUGUUUUACUACGUAUGCUCGAAUAAGGAGUUUGGUUGUUGAGUCCGAGAGCGGACAUGAUGACAAGAUAUCAAGUAACAGCUGCGAAAACAGUAAGUUUGAGAUAAAAAGUUCUCGUUCCUUCCCAAGACGGUUUUUGAGAAACACGAGGAGUUCUUGUACUUGAGAAUGGUACAGGAGAUCUUGUCAAGUGGCAACUCUAAGGAUGACAGGACGCAAACUGGUACUUUGUUUAAAUUUGGUUGCCAGGUAAUGCACUCGGCUGUUUAGUACUUGUGGGAUAUGGUACUCUUUAAUAACUGGUUAUGUCAAGAUAACACUUACAAUUCCUGUUUACUUACAGAUGCGGUUCAAUCUUCGGAAAUCCUUUCCUCUUCUGACGACUAAGGUUUGUUACUUAUAAUGCCUUGUCCAUAUUUGGUUAAACAAUAACGUUACCAUCAUCGUUCCCUCUCUCUCUUUUUUUGCUAAUUAAUUAAUGAUCAUUUGCAGUUUUACGCGGCGAACGGGGAGCUGUCGUGCCAAAUGUAUCAGCGGUCCGCUGAUAUGGGCCUUGGUGUGCCUUUCAACAUUGCUUCUUAUGCACUCCUGACUUGCAUGAUUGCUCAUGUUUGUGGUAUACAUUUCAUCUCUCUUCAUUGCUCCAUUUAUCGGAGUAAUAGUUGUUUUGUAUCAUCAAUGUCAAUGCUGGGAGGUUAACUCUAUUCAUGUUCAUAUUGUUGCAGAUUUUGUCCCUGGAGAUUUCGCUCACGUAUAUCUUACUCAUGUUGGGCCUCUGGAGGAGCAGCGUAAGAAAUCACCGAAUACUUUCCCGGUAAUCGCAUAGUGGAAGCAGAACUAACUAGCUCAUCUUGUUUCUCUGUUACUUUGCUUCUAUUGUUGGUACUGGAGGCUUCACAUUUAAUCUCCUCUCAAAAAUUGGUUCUCAGAUUUUAAAGAUUAAUCCAGAGAAGAAAGACAUAGAUUCCUUUUCAGCAGCAGAUUUCAAGCUCAUAGGCUAUGACCCCGAACAGAAGAUCGAAAUGAAGAUGGCAGUUUAAAAGGCCUUUUACUAUAGUUCCAGUCAACUUUCAAGUUUAUCUAUGUUUCUUAAUACUUUUGAGGUACUUCUUUACUCAUCUUCCGGUUCUUGUUCGUUCACCUGUAACUUACUUCUUAGGGUUUGACAACUGUUCUUCCUUGUUUCCAGGUUUCGGUAUGGGAAGAACGAUCGAAGUUUUGUACAAGUGUCGAAUAUGAACAUGGUAAUCUGAUGGUCUUAAAGAGUUUUCUUUUUUGCUGGUUUAGUAAUGUGGAAUAGUUCGCCCACCCGGUGAUCUGUGGUGAUUUAGAUCAUGGUAGAACUUGGUAUGAACUCUGUAAUGAUAAAUGAAUUCCGGCUCAGUUAGAAUGAGGACGAGAGUACUGAAUUCAAUUUGUCUACAAUAAGAUCACUCGAAACAAACCAUUUACAGAAUGGAAUUGGGUAGAAGGUGUUACACAACUGGCUUACAUUUUCCUGCAGAUUUUAGGUUAAGAAUAUGCUGCAAGAGGGGGGCACAGAAAAAAAGGAGAUGAAAUAAGUACCUCCCAUUUCAUGCUAAUUUUGCACGAGCAAGCUCCAUUGCUUAUCCAAAGUUUGCAUGUGACUGAUGGAUCCAACUUGACUGAUGAGUGAACCACAGCUCAUCUCCAAGUACAUCCAUAGCUUUAUACCAAAGAACCUGCUCCCCCAACAUUUCCCUUUUCCACUUCUUGCCUGGUUUGCAAUGUCUUGCGUUGGUUUGGAUUGUUGAGGAAAAGAAAAGAGCUUUCAUAUAGCUUGACCAAACCGAAAAACAAAAUGUUAUACGAGUGAUGUGCUUUUCUUUUACGGUUUCGCUAUUUUAUCGUGAACGGUUAGGCUACAAAACAGGAGGUUGAGUGUCCCGCUUCGUUAAAUGGAACUAUUGAUCACAUCAUCAUCAUACUAGUCCCGCAUCAUUUCGUCUCGCGAAAUCUAACCUGAGUUAGGAAAGGUUCGAGCUAUCAUGAUGGGUCAAUCUGAGCCAACAUAGUGAGUCAGGAAUGAAUCAGCUCUAUCAUGUUGCUGCAUGGGUUGAUUCCAAAUUAUCACAAAUUUUAGACUUUCUGUCUUUUCUUUUUUAUUCCUUUUUUCCCCUGUUUGUCUGUCAAGUUUACCCAAUGAAGAACAGUUCUCAUAAUCUCACAAUCAUCUGGGUUUUCCUCUUACUGUUCUUUUCUUUCACUUUAUGGAAACAGAACGUGAGUUCAAAUUCUUACCACCACAUCUGUUUUUGAUCCCAUCAAGGAGCAUAUGGUGUCAAGUUCUGUCCUUUUACCCUUUGGAAUCACAGCAUAUAUUUCAAUUCCAUUCUCCAGUAAAGCUGUGGAACUUUUCACAGUUAAUCUAAACAAGCUCUCAGCUGGAGUCUGGGUUUAUCUGGAGAAGUUCGUAGCUGUAAUUAGGGAUUAUCUACAAAUCCAGACAGUAAAAAGUGGAAGCUCACGAUGGUAAAAAAACACAACUUUAUAGCUGGUUUGUUUGUUUUUACAUAGGGGGUAUCUGAUUUUUCUCAUUACAAUGUACAAAACCAUUCAAACAGGCUCAUCUGUAUAGAAACUAGAAAAGAAAAAGAUCCAAACUACCCAAAAAAGGUAACUUCAUCGCAAACUUAUGCUUAAGCUAAACUGUCACACAAUUACAGAGUUCUCCUCGUCUCGUCGGAACCUCUUCUGCCUCUCGAUGAACGCCUCGAUCGUACUCUUGAACUCCUCACUGGUCAAAUUAUCCUCAGGAAACUUAUCACCACCCUUGUUCUUCUGCUUCUUCUUUGUCAAAUUCUCAGUUGCAGAUCGCCUCAAUUCCUUCUCGGGCUUGUGAUAACUCGUCAGAUUCUCGGACCGACUCCUCUCGUAGCUCUUGACGAUCAUCGCCGAACCAGAAACAGAGCUUUCUUCCUUGACAGUGGCUUCCAGUUUAUCACUCGGUUUUACUCUGUUUUCUGAAACUCUAACAACGGCUUCCAAUUUCUCACUCUGUUUUCCUCUGUUUUCCUGAGCAGUACUACUGCUUUUCCCACUCAUUUCGACGAACUGUUCAUAAAGAUCGGAUUUUUUCCCGGUGCUCCCCCGAAGGUGGCCGGACUUGACGAAGAGGACGACGACGAUCACGUUCCCGACGAUGAACACGAACCGGGGGCUGAUGAGGACGAGCAGAAAGUCCUUGAUGUAGUCGCCAGAACCCUUGAGGGAGACCGGGAGCUGGACCGAAACCCGGGAUAGAACCGCCAGGACUACCAGGAUUUCCACCAGUCUCAGCAUGUUUGUGACGUUCUGGAUCUUCCUCUGCUUCUUCAUCGCCUUCACUGCCCUGACCGUGAACGAAUCCAUUUCCGUCUUGAAAGAGUAUCGAACCGGUGAAUAAUCAGGAUUCCUGUAUUAAAGUUUCUCAGGGGCUCUUUCAGUUCAAAUUGGCCUUGGAAGUAGCUGUAUACCCGAGAUGAGAUGCGACGAGAGGACGCCUUGAUUCGAUUACCGGUGUCGGAUUAGGGACGGAGGAUUUAAAAACAGAGGAUGCUCUGUGUUUUUGUGGAGAGCUUGUUGUGUUGCUCCUUGUAAGGUUUAAGUUGUGGGGAGUGGGGAUAUAUAUAGCUGAGUGGGCUUUGUCUGUACAACAUGAUUAAUAUCUUUUCUUUACUUUUUGUAACUAAUAUAAGAUUCUAAGCAUAUAGGCAAGCCUCUAUGCUCAUAACUGAAAUUCGGGACGAAAUUGAGUACCCAAACCCGUACUUCAUGGAUACCCAUCCCAUAAGAUUCUAACUUUGUUUUCCAAAUCCUAAACCUGUUCAGGAUUACGGGUAUCCUUAACCCGGGAGAGUAGCUCAGAUACAAGGUCGGGUACCCAUUCAUCCCAAACGAUAUGCAACAAACAAUUUAUGUUUCCUAACAAGUUCACAGUCAUGUAAGUUAAUAAUGCGUUUCUACAGAAGAUGCAAUUAGUUUUACUAAUUUCCAAUCAACAUUAGGAUUAGGAAGUUGUUAUACUGUAGUGCUACUGUUGUUUGGCACUGGGUAGCCAUACCUCCACUGCAUCUUUCUCUCUUCAUUCCAUCGUACCUUUCUCUUCAAUGCAUCUUUAAUACCCUACUAAACUCCCGAUACAAUAAUGGCUACGAGAAGCAUGGAGCCUCUGCUCAUGGCUAGCUUGAAAUUAUGUUAGUAGGAACAAGAACUGGUAAAUAUCAAAUAAGUUAUUGGGUGGAUCAGCGGGUUUUUGAUUAGGUGGGUUGCGGAGUAGAUUAGGAAUACGGGUAAAACUGGAUUAUGGAUUAACCUGCACGGGUAAAUGCGUACCAACGGGUACUAAAUUACACAAAUAUGCAUCCCAUGUCCCGAAAUCAUUGAUAAAGCAACCUCCAUACAUUUUAAAUUAUUGUGAUGUUUAUAUAAAUUAAUUAUAUGAAGGGUAUAACACUCGCAAUUGAGUUAGAUAAGUCAUGUCCCAACAAGUGUGAGCUAAAUAGGUUACAAUCAAUCAAAUAAUAAGAUAUGUAUGUUUUCAUUCUCCGAAUAAUGAUAUAGACAGAGGCUCAAUGAUUAGCUUCCAUACAUAUCAUGGGCUGCUUGAUUUAGUCAUGUUUGGUAAGAAACUUUAUAAAAAGGUUUGAAUCAAAGGUGACAAAUAGGGUUAAUUGGGUUAGGUUGAGCGGGUUUAUCCAAUCAUAUCGUAGUAUAUAACAUGUAUAUAGAAAAUAGUUAAUUUUAUGCAUUUUCAAUGAGCCUUAAAAUUGAAGAAAUAUAUACAUAGUGGAAUAUUAUUUUAAUUGGUCUGUUGAACGGACGGACAAAAACUAGUACAAAAAAGAGUUAUUCUCAUGUAAAGCAAGUGCAUCUAAAAAACCUACUACUUAUUUGUUUCCCUCUCUCAUAAUACAUAUAUGACGCUUCCUAGCCCUUGUUCGUUAAGUAGCUUCCAUGAUUGUUUAUAAUAUCUAGUAAGACUAGAGUAUUCAAAUUCUUUUAACUCGAAUCACUUAUUUCAGCUUCCGAAUCAAUGGAGCGAAAACACUAAAAUUGAAACAUUUUUACCCCUAGACACCUUAAGGUAAAGGAAUUGCAUUCCCCACCAUGCCAUUAUUUUUCUAGCUUUGUUGAAAUGGUUGUGGGAGGCAUUUCUUCUUCAUUUCUUUUUAUUGGCCCCCUUUUUAGGCAACUUUUUCCCAUUGAAUUAUUGCUCUUUUUUUUGUGAAAUUGAAAUGGGUUUGCCUUGAUAUAUUCCCACCACAUUUGGAGCUGAAUCAGCAAAAGCAUCAGAUUUUAUUUUCUUGAAGCAUAAUGGCAUGCAAGCAGAAUGAAUUCACAAAUCUAUCCAUAUUCUUAUUUGUGAGAAUAUCCCCUUACCUUAGUCCUAAGAACCCUAGAAUUGUGUCAUCUUAUUCUUUCUGGAUAACAUUAUUGUUACUAGUUGACACUCACUCAGUGUUGUUUGCGCGGAAGGAUAUGGACAAAGAAUGUCGAACCGGUUUCGUGAGUGAAUUCCGAGUUGAAUAGUGUGGUCUUUGUUCCAAAAUUAUUUAUAUGUUCUAUGUUGGUUUAUUUAUAUUGGUUAGGAUUUUCGUCUAUGGCAUGAUUAGCUCUUAAAAACUGACCGAGAGAUCUCCUCUUAAAAAUUAGAACAUACUAUUGAAAUCCAUUAUGUCAAUUAUUACUCUAACCACCAUUCNNNNNNNNNNNNNNNNNNNNNNNNNNNNNNNNNNNNNNNNUUAAAAAUAAUACAUAGGCUUCCACAUAUAGCCUAUAUUUUCAGACUAUUCGUCAAUUAGAUAUUAAAGCCGCUCAUCUAAUAACACAUUUAAUUCUUAGAUAUCUUCCAGGAUUAUUAUAAAUAGUUCUCACUCUAUCAAAUCAUAAUUAAAAUUAUUUAUAUUUGAUAUUUUUUUAUCUCCAAAAAAAGCUAUAUAAACCAGAAAAAAUAAUACAUAAAUAAGAAUACAAGAAAUGUGAUGGAAAAAAAAGUAGUUACCAUGGGAAAAGAAAGCAGAUAAGAAAUGGGCAGUUACAAAAUGGGGCCCACAAAAAAGCCCAAAUGGAAGAGUAACCAUAAACAUUAUCAAUUUCCUUCAACACUAAGAAACUAACUGCCCACAUAACAACCACACUAAGUAUUUGUAUGAUGUGAUUUAUGUCUCCGGUAAUUAAUUAGUGGGUUUUCUAUUUAUGAAGUGUGGAAUAAUAAAAUUAUUGAGUUAUAUAGUUUGCUAAUAGUUUACUAUAGAGUUAAUAGUUUAAUUUUUUAAAGUAUUUUGGUUAUAGUUACAUCAAAAUUCAUUAAAAGAUAAACGAAAUAUGAAUGUGGUAUGAAUUUUACUAUUUUUUUUACAUAGUUGAUAGUGUUAGGAUUGGUAGCGAUUAUCUUACCCUAUAUGCAUGCUUUUUGAGUGAAUACUAGUUUGUUUGUGCUGCAAUCCUGUGUGAUUUUGUGUUUUGGCAUUGCAUGCCUAUACCCGUUCACUUGGACCGUUUCGGUCCAUUUGAUGUGUUUCUUUGUAGUAUUUAUUAUCCACGGAUACUUUAGAGACAUGUGGUUUGGCUAUGAGGCUAUGAACGCGGAAUAGAGCAAGGCUGGAGCUCAAACGGAAGGACGGUGCAAGAAUUGAUAAAGAAGCAGGGCUGCAUGCCGUGCAUCUGUGCACCCCGUGCAGGCCCUCAGGCUGCAAUUACCCUCGUAGAAAAAAGGGGUGCACGCCGUGCACCUCCCGGAUCCAGCAAUUUCCAUAUAAAAGGAGCAAUUUGAGAAAAGAGAGAUCAUCUUCUCCAACGAAAUUCCUUCGAUUUCCCCGACUUUCCUCUGCAAAAACACCAUAUUUUCAUCCCUAAAAGUUUGAUUGAAGAUCCGAAGAAGUCCCCAUUGAAGAUUGAAGUUAGGAUUGAAGCUAGAAGAUCAAAAGUGAAGAUUGAUCCAAGUCUGAUUCAUUGUACCUUCAUCAAGAUGGUGGUUAGGUCUUUUAAUAUGUCCUCUUCUUCUAGAGUUAUGAGUAGCUAAAUUCUUAGAGUUUUUGGUUGGGAUGUAGGAUUUAAGUCAUGAUACUCUCCCUAAAAGUAUAGGGUCGACGAUUGUUGGAUAUUUGGAAUUGAAUGAAAGAUUGCUUUGAUUGUUGAGGUUUCAACCUUGUUCUUGUUACGACUUGAAUUAGGUCAAANNNNNNNNNNNNNNNNNNNNNNNNNNNNNNNNNNNNNNNNNNNNNNNNNNNNNNNNNNNNNNNNNNNNNNNNNNNNNNNNNNNNNNNNNNNNNNNNNNNNNNNNNNNNNUUUUCGUGCUUCUUUUGGUUUUAAAGGUUGUUAAUCGAGUAAUUAGCGGGUCUCUGAUUUGCACAUAAUGAACCAAGUUGGAUGUAGUUAUCAGUAGUGUAGAUGUUGAUGGACCAAGUUAACAUUAAUUUCAAUUAAAUGUGAUUUCCUUUUAAUUCCUAAAGAGCACCUUAUCACUUUGUAGAACUUCUCGGUGUUCAUCACUGGUUAGUCUAGUUGAGGUUAUUCCAACCUUGAUUGGAAAACUAGUAGUGGUAAUCCGCGUACAUGAUCAUACUAUAGAUUCAUACGAUUGAUAAUAGUUUUGAUUCCACUUAGCACUUAGAUUAUAUGAAUAAUUAUUGAUUGGAGAAUUAACAAAAGAAAAGCACCAAUUUAGAGAUAAUUUCAAUUAUAGUAGGGAUAAUUUCACAUAUUUCAAUCAAAAUUACCAAAUAUUGCGAGGUACUCGUAACUAAAAAUAGGAGAUAUAGCCGGUAAUCGAUCAUUGUCAAAUGUAAGAGAGAUAAAGAAGUAUGCGAAUGUCUCCUAGUGGAUCACCUUCAUUGGUAUUGGAUUUGAAAUUCUAUGUUGUAUAGUGUACUCUCAAUUUGCCUCAUAUGAAAAAAUGCCAGGUCUUUGUACCAACUUUUUUUAUCGUUCCAUGGGUCGAAUAAGUAAAAUGCACGGGGCGAACACCCGACAUCCGUCAUUGUGUGGCCGGUCGGGAUGACUUUGUGAACUGGCGGAGGAUGAACCUAUCAUAAUUUUCUCCAAGUUUGAUCGGCCAUGUGGCUAUCGGGACCAUAUCUCGCUGAGCCCUCAAAAUCAUAAUGGCUACAAUUUGACCUUUCAACAAACUUUUAAGUAAAAAUCUCAAGCUGGUAUGAACAAACUUUAUCAUUUAUUCCUAAACAUAUAUUCAAACAUGGUAUUUUCGAUCGCAAAAAUCUUAUAUUAUUUAGUAUUUAGUCACAAAAGCAAAAAAGAAAACACAAGAACUACACGCUCAAACGUCAUUAAAUCAAUUUCAUCAAAAGUGUGGAAUUAGAUUCUGUAGCAACGAACUCGAAUUGAAAUUUCGUUUUGAUAAUGGCAUUAGUGGUUCAUUUCAGUUGCUCAUAUAUUUUUAUUUAUUUAUCAUUUCAUAACAAAACCAACGACAAUAAAAUAAUAACAUAAUUAAACAAGGCAGCCAGCAGGGAAUAUUAUUUAUGAUUUUCUUUUAAUUAUCAAAUCCCCGUGCCCUUUUGAAAUAAUUAAAUAAUUGAUUAAGCAUAUUUCUUGUUAUUCAAGUUUGAUAUUCAAGGAAUAUAGUAGAAAACUAUAUAUCAAGUUUGAUCUCUAAAUUAUGUCUCAACCAAACUUUACUAGAUUCCAAUUCACUAAACACUUGUUAAAAUGAGACAAGAUAUUAUAUCGAACAGGUAACGUUAUUAAAAUUAUUGACUUUUGAAUCUCUCCCUACUUUCUAUUGACUUUUUUAUUGAAUAAUAUGCACAUUGGUGUAAGUGUCUUGUACCUUUAUAUGAGUGGGUCUACACCUAGAGCCAUCCUCACCAAAGUACAAAACUACUUAUACCAAGACGUCCAUAUUUUCCAACAAUCAUAUAUGGCAAAUAUAUAUGUCGCCUCUUUUGGGUUGCGAUCAAGACACCCGUGUAAAUUUUGAUCGACUGACAGUUUCAAUGUAUUAAGUCGAGGACGAAUAAACAUCGUUCUUAAUAACGUAACUGACCACAUCGUCAUACAAUUUCGAUCAAAUUCACACAUUGCAAUUUUGGUCCGUUACGUGAUUUCCUUAAUCAUUUGUUUUGUGGUCUAUGCCCUUGUUUUAAUAAUAACACAUUACCAUCUUUUUGUUUUGUGGGUCGUCUAACUUCAACUCUAAUCGACUACAUGACUAGUUGUGGUAAGGCCCACCAAUAUACGGGCCUCUACUGGGGCUAAGGCCCACGGAAAAGGCGCGGAAUCCCUGAACCAUCGUCGUUCAGAUAUAUAUUUGAAGAAAACCCUAGAAAUCCUCAAAAUCCUUUUGAUUUUCCCAGGCGCCGAACGAACAACCUUCUGCUUUUCACUGGCGAUCUCUCCUCAUCAUCACAAUGGUGUGAUUCAGCUUCGUAGAUUUGUGUUGUUGUUUCCAUAGUCAUCUACACUUUAUACUUAGUCUGUGUUCUGAUCGUCGAUUUUGAUUGGUUUCUUGUUGCAGGCUCCCAAGAAGGAUAAGGUUCCGCCGCCGUCGUCGAAGCCAGCCAAAUCCGGGGGAGGGAAGCAGAAGAAGAAGAAAUGGAGCAAAGGAAAGCAAAAGGAGAAGGUCAACAACAUGGUCCUCUUCGACCAAGCUACCUACGACAAGCUUCUCUCUGAAGCUCCCAAGUACAGGCACAUCACUCCGUCAAUCCUCUCCGAUCGUCUGAGGGUAAUUUAGUUUUGCCUUGAUUCUCUCUUUUGACUUUUAGUUCUGUUGAAUGGUUUGCAGGCUGAGCUGGUUUAGUUGUUAUAUUGUUAUGUUAGACUGACUAUGGAUUAGUCGGAUCUAGGCUAUCUUUGUAAAGCUGUGAAUCUGUUCUUGCUCUGGAAUUUCCGGCCAUGGUCAUCGAUUUGUGGACAUAAACUGAUGAGUAUUGUGGCUAUAGUUCGUUAGGUUUUGAAUUGCAUUCAUGGUUUUGCCUGGCCAAGAAUUUGAGCCAGCUGCUUGGUAGUCUAAUGUGUUUCUGCAUUUGUAAUCUAAGUAUGAUUAGAAAGCCAUUGCCUUUAGCUUUUUGUAUCGCAUGGUUCUAUCAACGAUAAACUCUCUAUCAUGCAUGCAAAAGAUGAUGAUUUCACUACGCAGUAAACCCAUGGUAGCUCAACAACUGGUUGUGUGCUUUAUAGCAUUUGGUUAAGUUAAUCCUCUCAUAUCAGUUUCAUGCAUGCUAGAACCUCUGUAGUUUCAUCGAUCUUGCUUCUUAUGAAUUCGUUGCAACUUCUUAACUCGAUUUGUGAAUUGGGGAUGUACCUGUGGUUCUUGAAUCCAGAGCUAUCGGACUAAUGGUUUGUAGUAUGAAUUGGCUGUUUCGGUUAACUUGAUUGUGCAAAUUGGUUUACAUACAGAUCAAUGGAUCGCUUGCAAGGAGGGCAAUCAGGGAACUCAUGGCAAAAGGAUUGAUCAGGAUGGUGUCUGCACAUUCAAGCCAGCAGAUUUACACUAGGGCUACAAACGCCUAGGUUUUCAACGUCUUAGCACCUUGAAUGUUCCCCCAGAGAUGGAAUCAGUCGGUAGUUUCUCAGAGUUGCUGAGUUAUUGCUUUACAUGUAUGGAGUGAUAUGCGGGGAAUUUUGGUCUUAAUGUACACCUUGAAUGUUUGGAAUUUACCAUUUUUGUUCGAUGAGGUUAGUACAUCUUUGGGUUGGGAAUGGCAAAUCCUAUGAAUUAGGAAUGACAAUGGGUUGAGUUUUGAAUAUGGGAGGUCGUUCCCAUGUUCAUUACUGGGUUGUUGGUCAAGCAAGUUUGAUCCAAAUUGGUUAAUGACCUACUAGGUGUUCGAUUGCGAAUCGAGUUAUCUUGUAUGAAUUGUUUUCCUUAUCGAACAUGCCAAGUUGCCAACUUGUCAUCCUUAGAUGAUUCAAAUGCUACGGUUAAAUUCACAUCAAAAUAACCUAAACGAACAAACGAUUCUAAUCUAACAAAGGGGUUGCGGGCAGAUGACUCGAAUUACACUUCUAGAUUUCUGUUCCGCAAAUAACCAAACCGAAUGAUGAAGCAUGUUGACUCAGGGCCGGCCCAGCCCAGCCCAUCUCCGGCCAAAAACUCGCUUCUCCCGUAAACCCCCAAAUUUUAUUAUUUUGAGAAAGUAAACCCCAAUUUCGUAUUACCUAAAGAUAGCCUUUCACCUUCUUCUCCGAGGCGAUUUUGUUCACUUGCAGUUCUUCGAUUCACUACCUCCACCACCAGAUGGCCCGUAUCGCCGUCGCUAGGUCUUGUCGACUGAAGCCAAGGCUGUAUCCAACUCUUCUCACCACACCCGCUGAACUAGCCUCCGUGGAUCCUCCACCUCACGUGCCUAAACCUCCGCCGAAUCAUGAAUCUUCUGAGAAAAUAACGCUGCUGUUGAUGUCCUCAAGGGAAUGAUUGGGCUGAGCAUACCAACAGAGGCAGGGCAUUUUGGUGUUUUGAUAAAGAACUUGUGCAAGGCAGGAGAGUUUGAUAGGGCGGUCAAGUUGUUGGAGAAGCUUAUUGAGAAGGAAAUAAUUUUGAGGCCUCGGAGUUCUUUAGAAAUGGAAGACAGUGCGUAUAAUCCGAUCAUUCAGCAUCUAUGUGGCAAUGGACAUACAAAAAAGGCAGAAACUUUUUCAGACAGUUGAUGAAGAAGGGCGUGCAGGAUCCAGUUGCAUUCAAUAAUUUAGUAUGCAGGCAUGCAAAAGAAGGAUUUCCUGAUUCUGCUUUUGUAAUACUAGAAAUAAUGGGUCGGAGAGGUGUCCCCCGAAAUUCAGAAGCGUACGGUUUGGUGAUAGAGAGUUAUUUGACUAAAGGCGAGCCUUCUGAUGCCAAGACAGCACUGGACAGUGUGAUUGAAGAAGGGCAUGUUCCAGAUUCUGUGUGAGAAAGGCAAGACUACUAUUGCUGCUAAAAAGGUGCUGGAUUUCGCACUGGAGAGGGAUGUUCAACUCGACUUCAAAAGCUACGACAAGGUGUUGGAUGCACUCCUUGAAGCAGGGAACUCGAACUGGUUAGAUCCAAUUUUCCAUUCGGAAAUGAUGAAUGACCUACUAAGUAAGUGUCUUGUCUGCAAAGAAUCGUUUUCUUCAUUCAAUAUCGCAAAUCGUCAUCUUGAUUCUGCCCAAAUGAAUGUGGAAUGUUUUUGAGUAAUGACCAGGUGACGCGGCUAGGAAUCUGAGGGUCGCUCUUGAUUGAAUCUGAAUCGAACCCAUUUCAUAUUUCGAAAACAUCAAAGAUCACAUCUUGGUUAUUUCCCUUAUGGGAACUCGAACUAUUGUUGUUGGCAUUAUGCUUUUUGGCGUUGAAACCCCAAUGGCAACAAACCCAUGUGAAGAAAAAUGGUUACCUUUCCAAUACUUGUACGGAUAGUCAUCAUCUUCUCCUUAAUGUCGUCUUCUUCUUCUCCCCCUAUUUGAUUCUUCUCCGACAAGACCCAUCUGCCUCCAUUCUUCUUUCCGACUCCCUUGUCUUCUUCCUGUCGUCGGGGAAGGAAAUGGUGUUCUUUAAGGAGUUUUAGCCACACCACUAUCAACGCCAAUUUCACGGGACAUUCAAAUUCCGAUAUAUCUCGACCGCAAUGACGCUACAUAUAUAUUGAAUUAUUUUGUUUAUUGGUCGUGAACUCGCCUUCGAUAUCCACGCAAAUCCACCACACCAAAUCGAAGAUAAUCCAUUAAAGUUCAGAGUAACACCGUAAAUUUGUACCGACAUAUUUUAAGUGGUGCCCACUAAUAAUACCAACACAAAUAUCUACAACAUACAUCAUAAAUUACAAUUGUUCAAUCUUUAUCAAACUAUGCUGUUGGGACACGUGUGCGGCGGAGAAAGAUGUCACCAGACAUGAGUGAAUGACCAAUCACCAAAUCAGCAACUUUAGGGCUUGGAGGGAUGUCCCAAAAAAACAGCACCAGCUUCACUCUUCCCGCAUUAUCGGAUUAGUACAUCAAUUCCCUAAUAGCAAGCCAACAAGCUCGUGUGUCCUUGUCACUCACUCAUUGCACCACCCACCAUUCCAACUAUAGCUUCAUACAUACCCUUCUUAGUGUCACGGAGUCGGAUAAAUCCGAUUAAUUUGGGGGAUUCCAGGUAUCAGUCUGAUGGAGUUUAUCGUUGGUUUUGCUAAUACAUUAUUGUGUAAAUAACUGGAAUGGAGGACGUAUAGAUGAUAUUACUAGUGGAAUUUGUACCAUCCAACCUAAAGAAAUUUAGGCGAUCCAUAGGAAUAAGUUGAAGUCUUGUGGGGAAUAGAACUAACCAUUUGAAUCAAAAUUUUGUCUUUCAAGAAACAAAAUAUGCAACAUUAUUCUUAUCAAAGUAGAAUGAUUAGGGUUUGUGAGAUUUGGUAGAGGCAGAGAGGUCAUGUGGGCCUAGUGAGAAGAAGGCACAUGAUGGUGGGCUUUCUCUAUGACAGUUUUGAAUGAGAGCCGUCCGUUUUGAGUUUAGGCAACAUGUGUGUCCAAACUCUUAAAUUUACAAUCGAUAAUAGUUUGUUUUUAUUUGUACGGAAAUAAAAAGAUAACAAGUACACAUAAUAAUUAUUUAUAUUGAUAAUAAUACUUAUAAGAGAUAUCUAAGAGUAGUAAGACGUGUCACUGAAUGGACGGUUUUGUUAAUUACAUGAUUGACGAGUAGUGUGAAGACAGAUGUUCGGCAUGAUUGUCAGGUGGUCCCGGAUCUCUUUGAUGAUAUCAGACGUGUCACUAAAUGGACGGCUCUCUUACGUGACCGACGAACAGUCUGAAAACGAGUCUCGGACGCGGGGGCGAGGAGUUGGAUCUCUCACUAGGUUGUUGAUGAAUCCGUAAAAACAUAAGUGGUGCGUAGCACCUCCGACAAAAGUGCGAGCAAUUUGAAGUUGAAGCAUCAUAUAUGAUAUCGGUACCCGCUUCCUGAAGUCGUAAGAUCUUCAACAUCAAUAUAGUUGGUUCUUCAUCUUAUUACUUCAUAUAUCUUGUACGAUCAUUUAUAGCGAAGGGCUUUGUUCUCUAAUGUUGGAUCAUGGAUGUAUAGUAACCCUAUUUUUGUAUCCAUGAAUAUUAAUCAUGAGUUGAAUUCGUUUAUAUAACUCAUAAGCAAGUUAUGAACAAUGAAAUGCAUAUUAAGAUGGUGAUUUUUUUUUCAAUUACAGAGAACAAUCCAAUAGUUGAAACGAUUCAACUAAUAAGCUCAACUCCAAUCUUUACUCUAAAUAAAAAGUUUAAUUGUAGUAACUAACAGUCCAACUCAUAUUCUGGAAUUGUUUACGGUGGAGAUGAGCUAUGGUGUCGUUUUCAAUUGCCCCUUUCUCUCUGCAAAAUCCAUGCAACAGUCUCACAGCUAUAUAGUCAAUCAAUUUCCUUUACUACUUCUCCAAUGCUUGUCAAUUUAAAGAAAGAAAUACCAAUAACUCCAAAUUGCAGGAUUUCUCGUGAUUUGCAGCAGCUCACAUGGCUUUCCUCCUAUAAAGGAAAGGAAAAGGAAGAGCCAUUGAACCCUUCACAAACCCUCUCAGAGAAUUCACGCAUUUCCAUCUCUUGUUCACAUUCAAUAAAAGAGUUCGAUUCUUCUUCCAUUCCGUUUCAGUAAAAGAAUUGAGGUAAGUUUUUUAAAGUUGUAGUGUCCUUAUGAACUUCUGUAUUCUGGGUAUGGAUCAAAUGAAACGUACCUAGAAAAGGUUGUUUCACCAUUUCUUGUUUCUAUCGAUCCAUUCUGCCUAGUGUUCAGUCAGUUUCUCCAUUUUCAUGCCAUUUAACAAUUUUGAGCUUGUGGACUCUCUGUGUAAGUUAAAGUUGUAACCUUUAUGAACUUCUGCAAUCUGGGUACGGAUGGAGGAGCAAUGCAGAACCAAGAGCAGUUUCACCAUUUUUGUGUUUAAAUUUAUUUCGUUUUGUUUUCUCACUCACUUUAUGUAAUCUGCACUUUAACUCAAGUUUCUUCGUUUUUAGAGCUGAUUUUUUUUUUCUAUCUGGGGAUUCGUUCCCUUUGCCUUAAAUCUUCGGACCCGUGAUCCAAUUUUCCACUUCUGGGUUUUUAGGCUCAGAGCUCUUCUUCCUCUGCAGAUGGGUUCCUGCUGCGUGGCGUUGGAAGCCAGUAACCUUCUGGUGAACAGAGAGCUGAGGAUUUCACACUCGCCGAAUGAUCCUUUCACUCGGUUGAAGUUUGAGAAGAAGCAGAAGAAGAGCAUCAAUAAGUCGAAAUCUCGUUUAGUCUCUUCAGUCUUGACUUCCAGUAAUGGCAGAGGAACUGUGGUAAGUUAUGAUCCAAGCUGUUUCUCUUAGUGGUCCUUUCAGUUUCUUUUUGUAAUGGAUGGUCAUUUAUUGUUGAUUGAUGGAGUCUGACGGAUUGAACAUUCAUGAGCAACUAAACUAAGUUCAAACCUUAUACGGGGUCACGGGGUCAGUAGUUUGGCCGAACUAAUCAGUUUUGUCCGUGUCGGUAGAUGGUUUGGGUUAAUCUGGUAGCUUGUUUCUGAUCACCGUAAUUGGUAUCAUCACACAACAUAGUAGUUGAUAUCUCUUAGCUUGGCAUCGCCUCAGACAUACUCUUCUCGCAAAGGGGAGCUGGGUUAACAAAUCCAUGUGUUCCUGCGUUCGUAUUUUUGUUCGUGAUUGCGUUUUAUUCCAUACAAUGUAGACCUUACAACCAGAGCCAAGGCCAGAUAGGAACAGAGUGGAUCCAAAAGAUGUGGCUUCCAUAAUACUGGGAGGAGGUUCUGGUGCUCAGCUGUUUCCUCUAACCAAAAGGACUGCAACUCCAGCUGUAUGUCUGUGUUUUAAUUUUCUCCAUAACAAUGAGAUUUGGUUAUGGUUUUUUACUUGGGCUUUUGUUUCUGUAUGGUUUUGAUCUUACUAGGUACCAAUAGGAGGAUGCUACAGGCUGAUUGAUGUGCCUAUGAGCAACUGCAUCAACAGUGGGAUCAACAAGAUCUUCGUCCUUACCCAGUUCAACUCGACAUCCCUCAAUAGACACAUAGCUCGCGCCUACUUUGGCAACGGCAUCAACUUCGGAGACGGAUUUGUUGAGGUUCUGGCCGCCACUCAAACCGCCGGACAAGCAGGAAUGAAGUGGUUCCAAGGAACUGCAGAUGCUGUCAGGCAAUUUACAUGGGUGUUUGAGGUGAAAUAAUUUCGUCGAAAAAUAAACCGCAAAGAUCCUCUCUUUCUAUACCGAAGACUGAUUAUUUUUCCUUAUCCUUGGUCGUAGGAUGCCAAGACCAGGAACGUAGAGAACAUCAUAAUCUUGUGCGGCGAUCACCUUUACCGUAUGGAUUACAUGGACUUCGUUCAGGUAAAAAUCGAUCUUAACAUUCUUCAUGCUCUAAUGUUUUACGGCAAGACCGGUUUUUUCACAAUGUGCAUGAAAACAGCACCAUGUUGAUAGCAAUGCGGAUAUCACCAUUUCGUGUGCUGCUGUGGGCGAAAGGUACGGACUUCAUCUUCGUUCUUCUUUGCUUUGAUAUGUUCUUUACGUUCCGGUCUAAAUGUUCUUUUGGUGGAUUGGUUCUGCAGCCGUGCAUCAGAUUACGGAUUGGUCAAGUUAGACAGCAAAGGUAGAAUUAUCCAGUUUGCUGAGAAACCAAAGGGUGCUGACCUAAAAUCAAUGGUGAGUUCUGAUUUCUAAAUCAGGAUACUAACUUCGUUGCGGGAAAGUGAUUUGUGUUAUAUUUGGCAGCAAGUGGAUACGACUCGGAUAGGUUUGACUCCGCAGAAAGCGAAGCAGUCGCCAUUUAUCGCUUCGAUGGGAGUUUACGUGUUUAAAACCGACAUGCUGUUGAAGCUCCUGAAGUGGAGGUUUCCUACAGCAAAUGACUUUGGCUCUGAGAUCAUCCCUGCAGCAGUUAUGGAGCAUGAUGUCAAUGCAUACAUCUUUCGAGACUACUGGGACGAUAUUGGAACGAUCGAUUCGUUCUACCAAGCUAACUUAGCUCUCACCGAAGAGGUAAGGAUUUCCAACAAAUCGAUUGAUUUGUUCGUGGGGUUGAAGAAAUUAUAACCUGUUAACUGUGUGUGCAGCCUCCAAUGUUUGAGUUUUACGACCCUCAAAAACCGAUUUACACAUCUCCAACGUUCUUGCCGCCAACCAAGAUCGAUCAAUCUCGGGUAUGCAACUUGGAUCGGAGCUUGAUAUAGUGUUGUUGCUUUCUCGUUGAUGUAUUCAUCUGUCGGUUCUUUGUUGCAGAUUGUAGAUGCAAUAAUCUCCCACGGUUGUUUCUUGAGAGAUUGUUCUGUCCAGCAUUCGGUUAUUGGUGAGCGAUCUUGUCUGGAUUCUGGUGUUGAGCUAGCGGUGAGUUUGCCUGAAAUAUGUUCUUAAGAGCAUUUUUUCCCGAUUUCACAACGAGAUGCAUGAAUGGCUCUCAACAUCUUUGAUCUCCAUUUUUUUACAGGAUACUGUGAUGUUAGGAGCAGAUUACUAUCAAACCGAAGCUGAAAUAGCAUCUCUUCUGGCAGAUGGAGGAGUCCCAAUUGGCAUAGGGAAGAACACCAAAAUCAGGUAAAGAAAUCAACUUUAACUUUUGCAACUUAGACAAAUGAUCGUCCCGAAUCUGAAAUGAAUCCGACUCUUGCAGGAAGUGCAUUAUCGAUAAGAACGCGAAGAUAGGGAAAGACGUGAUGAUCGUCAACAAAGAUGUAAGUUCUCAGCCAAAAAUUGUCUUUCUCUGUCAUGCCGCCUGUUAUCUGAACGAAAGCUGUUGCCUUGCAGGGUGUAGAAGAAGCUGACAGGCCAGAACUAGGGUUCUACAUUCGAAAAGGGAUCACCAUUGUAGCAGAGAAGGCGACAAUCGAAGAUAGAACUGUCAUAUAAAACAUAAAUCCACACUUCGACAGUUAGAAAAAUGGUUCCAAUUCAGAUAUAUCGCUGCAGAUGGUUGAAACCCAGAAACAGAAGACACAAACUGCAACAUCAUCUACAUGUAACGUAAAAGAAACGAAGCUUCUUCCUUCUCACAUAAAAGUUGGGAUCUUUUCGGUCCUACAAGUCAAGUUAGAAGAGCAGAACUAUAGUAAAGGCAGCUUUUCAUAGUUUAUGUCGAUAAAAAGUUGUUUAAGAUUAGCCUUUCUGGAAAAGUUGGUAUCUUCGUGUAUGGGAUAUGAACAAUAAGUUACAUAACAAGACUGCAGAAUCUUGUACUGUUACCUCUUUUUUCAGAUGGAUAAUGUAAUAUUAUUAAUACUAACCAAACCAGUUAAACUUGAAUCAGCCAACGGGCUGAUAAUCACACUUACAAACAGAUCCUACGAAACAAAGAGAUUCAGUGGGCAUGGAAUGGCAAUUUAUUGCACAAAGAUUGUCCAUUUCCAUUGCUAACUCCAUAAUAGAACUAGCAUUUUGGUUGAACUGCAAGCCGACUUGAAAUCUCCAAAGCAUUGCUCUCGUAGAUGAACAAUUCACAAAGGCAACUGUGAGAUUAUGGUUCAGGUACAUACUUGUUGGAGCUGUACACUUAAUGUGAUCCUUUCUCGAACAGAGCAAUUCCUGAUCUUGAUGAUGACGAAUCACAUUGCGAAGUUUCGAACACGUAAGCUGCAUUGUUGAGUUCUUAAUGCACUUAGCUUGCUUUGUUAAUUCCACAGACUUAAGUUUUUGGGAUAGAUCUCUUCUCAAUAGCCCUUGGUACUCCAAACUAUAAGACAUCCCCUUUUCCUGAACUCACAAGGUUGAAAACCAGUCAUGGCCUUUCCCAUGAGUGCCAUAGCAGCUAUACUCGGAAACUGCUUCUCCGGUACUUCACCUGAUGUUCCCUUUCCGACUCGAGAUUCGCUAGCCAUCACACAAUCAGCUUUCCUUCUCAGGGAAGAAGCAACUGGGUUACGAGACCAUCGUCGAAUCCAAGGAUGCGAGUGGGCUUCGACGACGUCAUGAGCUUUCUCCUCAGAAUCGGUGGAAGUAGAUUCAGCAUUCCUUUCUGACAAUACUGUAGUAGGGCAAUCAAAUCCCGGAAGAUCAUUUCCAAUGGGAUCACUUAUCAUUUUGGUGAAGACUCCAUUCACUUUUCCAUGAGAGGCUUCCCCUAAGUCUGAACCUUUAGAACCGUAGGUGUAGGGCAAGAGUGCUGGAGCACUUGGCUUGAGACGUCUUACCCAUCUACUACAUGGAUCGAGCCUGACAGGGUCGGGACAAGCCCUUGACUUCAGAUUUCUGGAGUUUCCAGGAUGAGUGAGCAAGCAUUCCACAUCCAGACUUUGUGUUAUUGACGUGCUCGUCUCCUUAUCAUCUGCUGUCCCAGAUACAUCAGGAUGUAGACAAACCUCUUUGUUUAUAUCGGGUAACAGCUUUUUCACCAUUCUACCCGUAACUUCUUGGCCGACUGAAGCGAUUAGAUCUUGAGAUAUAGGUGAUGGUAAAUUUACCUUACUUGAUGGACGUGAAGCCAAACCUGAAAACAAAACAUCCACAAAGCUUCCUCAGUAUUUGAACAUAGAACAUCCUUGUAGUCUUCAGUGAUAGAUAUCAUACUUCAUAUCCAUACUAAUGGGAGUCGAUAAUAUAAUAUUCGCAAUAAUGGACGUACCAAGAAGUUGGUUAUGUCUGGCAGCAUCGAUGUCCAUAGUGUUGGUCUCGGAGGAUGAUCCGUUCUUUGAAUCAUGUAGGAAACUCUUGAUAGUUUCAGUGUCUUCUUUGCCCUCGCAUUCUGCGGAACUGUCAAGUUGUUGCAGCUUCACUCCUUGGUUAUUACGAGAGUGAUCAUCAGGUUUUAAACCGAACAAUUCACAUAACGAUUUUCCUUUGAACUUUGUGGAUACUGACGACUGUUGGAACAUCUGACCUUCAUCCAUAUCAGUCUUCUUUGUGAUGAAAAAGUGGUGAGUUGUAUGUGAAACCUUUGCACAACCGGCAGGAAAUUCUGUGAUGGAAUCGACAGUUGUACGUAUUCUCAUAGCCUGCACACCGUGUGCAGAAGAAGAGGGCAUUCCUGUUAUACUGUGAGAGCUACGAAAUGCCUCUUCGGUAGGGCCACUCUGGAAGGGAAAAUGAUCCGGAAGAGGCAUCAUCUCAGCAGCAAAGCCUCUUGAUUCAUUCUUGCUGGUUGAAGAGUCAUGCACCGAAAGAGCUCCACCGAAACUGAUCUUGUUCGAGCGAUCCCAAGAUGAAUUUCCCGCUUGAUUCGAAUUGUCUUCUACACGGGAAGCACAUUGCACUCUAUUCCUCCUGCUGUCAAAUUCAUAUGGAACAACCUGAGGACUGGCACCCGAAAGGUAGCCUCGUGAAGGAAAAACACCGACCCCAUUCCUCUGAGGUAGAAGUGGAGUUCCCAUUUCGCUGUUACCAACCAAUGCAGCAGAACCAGGCAAGUGGCUCUCAACUCUACUCGAAGAAGCAUCCAACCGAGAAAUAUCAACUCUCUUUUUCACUGGAGGCAAAGCAAUCUCCUCGUCCAGCGAAACACCUAGCAUGAGAUAAGGCUGACCUUCAGACGGCUCGUUCCUUAACCUCUCCAACCCGUCCCUCGUACUCGUACUACUCCCACACACAAAAUCUGCCAUCUUCCGCUUCCCCACAUCUCGAUACCGGUCUCCACCCUCGGAUCCUUUCCCAGAAAGAUCAAAUAGACGGUGAUACUUCACUCCAUGAUGAAUCUCUUCACUCACCUCAUUAGUCACUGAAGUUGCUGCUGCUUCAUUUCCCACCCUACAAUUCCUACCCAACCAAUGACCAAUCCAUGAAGACUGAGACCCACCACUUCCAGACAUCUCAUCCUUCCCGUUCGACAUUACAACACUGAAAAUUCAAGUCAACACAGUAACAAAAGGAAAAAUUCAUCAUCUGUCACCUGAAAGAUGCAAAAUUUAACCAACCCAAAAUUCUGAAAGCUCAAACAAUGACAGAAAAACAAAACAAAUCCAUGCAGAGAAAAUGAAAACCCAGAUUCUAAAUUCUCUCUCCAUCUACUGAUAGAGCUAACGAAGUCAAAUCCCAGUCCCACAAACAUUUAAAUGAAGCUACCGCUUACCUGAAUGGAUCGAAGAGAAGAUGGAAUUAUUCUUCCCUACAACUUUCGGGAGGAUAUGAAUUCCUAAUUCAGCUUCUGAAUCGGAUGAGAAAGAAGAGGAAAUGAAUCCAUGGCUGAACCAGGCGUGAGAGCUUGAGCUGCUCCCUGGUACCCUUUUUUGUUCUGGUGUCUUUUUGCUUUCUCUUCAGUUUCUUUUUGGAUUAUGACUAAAAUGGCCCCUAUACUAUUACAAAUUAACAAUUGAGCCCUUAUAUUAUUUUCUUUCUAAUCAAACUCCUACAUUUUUCUCAAACCAUCAAAUAAGCCCCUUCUUGUUUUUUUGGCAAUUGUGAUGAUUUAACACGUCCAGUUGAACGUUUUGCUAAUGUGACAUUUAUUGAUUUUUAUUAAUUAUUAAUUAGUUAGGUUUUAAAUUUAACAAAAAAAAUAUUAUAAAGAAAAAAUAGAGUGGGAGAAAAAAGAGUUGUAGGCCGAUUAGAAUUAAACAAUCCAUCUCCUAAACAAAAUAAAAUUAUAUUUUUUAUACUUCUCCAAAUAAAAUCAAAUAAUUCUCUACAAUAAAAGAUCAAACUUUUUGAAAAAAAUUUUCUUAAACGUGUAAACAAGAAAUAUGAAUUUUUUUUUAUAAUCUGCUUCAAUUGACAAACACAUAUCAUGGUGCCAAUUGAAGCAAAUUAUAAAAAAUAAAUUCAUAUUUUUUAUUGAAACGUUCAAGAGAAAUUCUUUCAGAAAGUUUAAUUUUUUAAUCGUAGAGGAUUAUCUAAUUUUAUUUGGAGGAGUAUAAGAAAAAAUAUGAUUUUAUUCCUUUUCAGGAGAUGAAUUGUUUAAUUCUAAUCGGCUUAUAACUCUUUUUUCUCUCAUCCUAUUUUUUCUCCAUAAUAUCUUUUUUUUGUUAAUUUUAAAACCUACUUAAUUAAUAAUUAAUAAAAAAUCUCAAUCAACAAGUGUCAUGACAGCAAAACGUUCAACUGAACGUGUUAAUUCAUCACAACUGCUCGAAAAAAAAGAAGGGACUUACUUGAUGGUUUGAAAAAAGUGUAAGGAUUUGAUUAGAAGGAGAAAUAACAAAAAAGUUCAAUUGUUAACUUGUAAUAAUAUAGGAGCCAUUUUGAUUAUAAUCCCUUUUUUCUUUGACCUCUCCUUUAUUGUGAAUUUUUAAUUUUAUUGUUAUAAGUAAUAAUUGAUGGGCUCUCAGACAGCCACAGAUGCGGAGGGCCCACCAAUUAGAAGAAUGGGCCCCCAUUUCCCACUUGCAAUUAUGGGGUCAUUUCCGAUUUUUUUUCCCCGUGAAGAGAUAUUUUCUCGUACUAAAAAAUAUGCUUUUAUUGGAUUUCAAAAAGAAAAUUGCUUUUAUUUUUCUUCAUACGUUGUACCUCGACGGUAUGGGCAUGAGGGACACCGGAUCACUUUUCUUUUUGGGAUAUUUGUGGAUAUUUAUCAAUAUGGAUCGGUAGAUUUACGAUCGGAAGUAAUGUUAGAUUGAUAUUACAAUUUGUUUUUAUUUGAAUUCGAAAUAGAUUAUGAUUAAAAAAAAUAUUCAUAGUGAUGUAUGUAAUUCCUAGUUUCAUUGGUAUAAUGGCAAGUACCAAGCUAUAAAAGGAUCAUCUCAGGGAUAUUUUUUCGAAAUAAAUUGUUUGAUAUUAAUUGUGAGGUAUUUUUUCUUUUUAGUGAUUAAAAAUCCACAAACAAAAAAAUAAUUGAUAAUAUUUUUUUUUUGGGAGGAGACAAAACUUUAAUUCAUUAAAAUUCGAGGUAUUGAAUUUGGUUAGAGCGAUCAGAUAUAAAUUGUGAUAGUGUGAUAAAUCUAUAUAAAUCUACUUAAUUAAGAUGGAAAAUGAGUAACGGUAAUUAUUCACUAAACUACACCAAAAAUGGAUAGUUUAUAUAAUCUUUAGAUGGUAAUGUUUGAAUUAAACUUAAAUUUAGAUGGAUAUUUGUUAUUUUGAAACUCGUUAACAAGCUCAUUAUCACUUUAACCAGAAAGUCAUGAGUUUCAAUAUUAUUAUUUUUUUUUUGGGAGGAGACAAAACUUUAAUUCAUUAAAAUUCGAGGUAUUGAAUUUGGUUAGAGCGAUCAGAUAUAAAUUGUGAUAGUGUGAUAAAUCUAUAUAAAUCUACUUAAUUAAGAUGGAAAAUGAGUAACGGUCAUUAUUUGGCCACAAUAAAAAAUUGUCAUCUCAAAAGAAUUUGUACUUGAAGUAGGAAUAAAGUUAAGAUGAAUUAAACCGUUUGAAAAGUGGCAUAAGUAAUCGAGUCUCAAAUGAUAUCAAAAUAGUUUAAAAAUUUAUGAAUGUUAAAUAUACAUACCAUUUUGUCAAUAUGAAAACUGAAGAGUGACCUACAUAGUAAUUCUAGAUCGAUGACUGAACACCUCUCAUGUUUGUAAUUUUUCCUCGUUCGAUAUAAAAGACAUCAACCGAAAUAUAAUCUUCAGAAAAACCCUAAACCCUUUACUCCCAACUGCGCCACGGCAAAUCUCCAGCCAUGGGUAAGGUGAAAGGUAAGCAUCGUUUGGACAAGUACUACCACCUCGCCAAGGAGCACGGCUACCGUUCCCGUGCCUCGUGGAAGCUCGUCCAGCUCGAUUCCAAGUUCAAGUUCCUCCACUCUUCCCGCGCCGUCCUCGAUCUCUGCGCCGCCCCCGGAGGAUGGAUGCAGGUCGCCGUCGAGAAGGUCCCCGUUGGGAGUCUGGUGCUAGGUAUCGAUUUGGUGAGGAUCGCUCCUCUCCGUGGCGCGUUAUCGAUCGAGCAGGAUAUUACCAAGUCCGAGUGCAGGUCGAAGAUUAAAAAGAUUAUGGGGGAUAAUGGGGUGAAGGCGUUUGAUUUGGUUCUUCACGAUGGUUCUCCCAAUGUCGGCGGUGCUUGGACGCAGGAGGCCAUGUCGCAGAAUGCUUUGGUUAUCGAUGCACUGAAGUUGGCUACACAAGUGUUGGCUCCCAAGGGGAAUUUCAUCACUAAAGUGAGCUUGCGUUUUUUGUUACUGUUUGAAAAUUUUGGAAUGCGAGAUCAAGGAUUAGGAUGGUUUUUAUCCGCUUAGUUGCUAAUUUGCUAUUGAUGCUAUUAUAUGAGUCAUUGGUUGGUUGGAACUUACAAGUUAGUGAUGAUUCGUUGGAAGUGUUAACCUUGAUGCCCAUGUGGUUUUCGUUGUUGUAGGUGUUCAGGUCACAAGAUUACAGUGCGGUUAUCUACUGUUUAAAUCAGGUGAAUGACAAAAUUAAAGAUGGGGGUAGAGCGUAGAUCGUUUGCUUAUCAUGUGGUUCUGAUUAUCUUACUUGUGCUUUCAGUUCUUUGAGAAGGUUGAGGUUGAUAAACCAUUAGCCAGUCGUUCAGCGUCUGCAGAAAUAUUUGUGCUGGGGCUUAAGUACAAAGCACCUGCAAAGAUUGACAAUGACCUGCUCGAUAUUAGGAAGCUGUUUGCGCAUGUUGAUACACAAAGAAAGGUAGCUGUGAAUUAGAGAUGUUCAGUAUUUUCAUUUUAAUCGUCCUUGAAACCGUCUUUUUAGUUUGAAGUAUAUUCGCAUUCUUGUCUGAAUAAAAUUCUUAAUUGCAGCCUCUAGAUCCCCUCAGAGGAACAAAGCAAAAACGUCAUCGUGACGGGUAAGGAAAUCUCAAUUUAUCUGGCUGUUUAAUUUGUGCAAGGAACAUUCAGAAUGUAGUUCAAAUGUGUAGUUGCUGGGUGCCCAUAUAAAAUCUCACUGACUUCAAUUUUUGUUUGGAAAAUUUCAGUUAUGAAGACGGACAGUCUAUGAUCCGGAAAGUCUCAUCAGCUGCAGAUUUUAUCUGGUCCAACACCCCUCUUGAUGUCCUUGGCUCAGUUACUUCAAUCACCUUUGAGGACCCUGUAUCCUUGCCGAUAAAGGAUCAUGAGUUGACAACGGAAGAGGUGUCAUAGCUAUGCUUCCUUUGGUAGUCCACUUUGUGGGUGCUUUUCCUGAGUGAUCUUCAUUUGAAUAAUUUCUUCUAUGGCCAGGUCAAAGCCCUUUGUGAGGAUCUUCCUGUGUUGGGGAAGCAAGAUUUCAAGCAUCUUCUCAAGUAAGAUUUCAUGUUUAUUGAAAAAAAAUUAUCACAUCAGAAGGAACAUCUUUGUACAAUGAAGCAAAAUAGAGGAAUUUUUGAAUUAAAUCUAAGUUUCUUCCGAACUACCAUGCUGUGCUUCAAACUUAUCCUUUUCAAUUUAUGUAUCAUGCAGAUGGCGGAUGAAUUUAAGGAAGGCGCUGUCCCCUUCUGAAAAAGCUAGCUCUGCUGCUGCUGCUGACAGUGAGGAAAAGAAAGAAUUAGAUGAAGACGAUAAGAUGCUUAAUGAAAUGGAGGAGUUAACAAAGGCUAUGGAGCGGAAGAAGAAAAGAGAGAAGAAAAUAUCUGCUAAAAGACGGGAAAAGGUUAGUAAACUCUCGAAUCUACGAAAAGACGGGAAAAGGUUAGUAAAUAUCUGCUAAAAGACGGGAAAAGGUUAACAAAGCCUGUUCAUGAAGGCUUGCAAACUCUCGAAUCUACUAGCCAUCAGAUUAUGUGAAUAGGCCUGCUUCUUGCAGUAGUUCUUUAGUUAAUAAGGUCUCCAAUAUGAGGUUUUUUUCGCUGACAUUGAUGUUGUUAAUUUAAUUCCUGUUGUAUUCUCAGGACAAGGCCCGGAAAGCAUCUGGAGGAAUGCCAAUGGAUGUACAUGAAGAUGGUGGCUACACUGAUAUCGAGUUAUUUUCUCUUGCAUCAAUUAAGGUUAGUUAAAUACUUAACACAUUUCUCGUACGCUUUCCCUGCGUGUAAACUUUUUUCGAAUGAGGUCUCAAUGCAUGCCUCUUCUCAGCCAACUGCUGAAGGCACGACUAACCCUGAUUUUGAUUUGUAACCACUCAGGGAAAGAACGAUUUGGUUGCUAUAGAUAAUGAUGAGAAUGGUGACGCGAGGGAUAGUGACGAGGAGGAAAACCCUGACAAUGAUGCUCGGGAGUCAUCUGCCGAUUCAGAUUCGGAUGCAGAGCGUCAAAAGUAACUUUCAAUCCUUAUGUAUCUUCAAUCAAUCGAUAAGCAACUGUUUAUUAUAAUUACUCGUGUGGCUUUUUGUGUGUAGAUAUGAUGCUACAAUGGAGGACUUCCUCGACAAUCUCUAUGAACGGUUUGUAACCAAAAAGGAAGGAAGUACAAAGCAGAGGAAACGUGCAAGGCAAGCCUACUCCGAGCAGCUCUUGGAUGGGGAGAACGACAAUAUGGAGCACUCAGAUUAUGAUUCGGACAGGGAGCCGGCCGAUCGCGAAGCAAAUCCUCUCAUGAUUCCACUCAACGACGGCGAAGAACCGACAAAAGAAGAAAUUGCAAACAAAUGGUUCGCUCAGGAAAUAUUCACCAAAGCUGCCGAGGAAGAGGAUCUGGUCAUGUCUGACAGCGAGCAAGAGGAUGCCCCCGCGACGGAGGCCGCUGUGAUGGAGGUAGAUAAGAAGCAGCAAGAGAAACGGGUUGCUCCCAAGAAGGCUGCGGUAAAAACUAGUGAACCCGAUUUUGAGAUUGUUCCUGCCCCUGAAACUGAUUCUUCUGAUUCGUCCUCGGACGAAUCAGAAGACGACAGCAUCGAGAAGAAGGCCGAGAUACUGGCGUGUGCGAAGAAGAUGCUGAGAAAGAAACAAAGAGAGCAAAUGCUCGACGACGGGUACAACAAGUACAUGUUUGACGACGAGGGCUUGCCUGGGUGGUUCCUCGAGGAAGAGAGGAGGCAUCGCCAGCCUGUCAAACCGGUCACCAAGGAGGAGAUGAACGCAAUGCGGGCCCAGUUCAAAGAGAUCAACGCACGGCCCGCUAAGAAGGUGGCCCAGGCCAAGGCUCGAAAGAAGCGUGCCGCCAUGAGGAAGCUGGAGAAAGUCAAGAAGAAGGCCAACGCGAUCUCAGACCAGACCGAGAUUUCCGAGCCCUCGAAGAGCAAGAUGAUCGAUAAGCUGUACAAGAACGCUGCUCCAAAGAGGCCGAAGAAGGAGUAUGUAGUUGCGAAGAAGGGGGUCGCUGUGAAGGGUGGCAAGGGGAAAGUUGUAGUGGAUCGGAGGAUGAAGAAGGACGUCCGUGGAGUUAGCAAGAAAGGCAAAGGUGGCUCGAAGAAGAACGGUGGUAAGGGCCAGAAAGGCGGUAAUGGCGGUAAAGGAUCUGCAAGCAAAGGCGGUAAACCGAGACCCGCUGAUAAGGAAACAAAGAGAGGAUCUGCUCGACCGAGGUCGUUUUGACAAAUCUUUUUCUUAAACCUUCACUAGAAGGAUGAGUUGUUGCUAAUCCAGUUUUGUGCUUUUUUUUUGUUUUCAUUUCCCUUCUGAAAAACUUUGCAGUAACGUUAUAUCUUUGAACACACUUUCAGUAAUGAAGUUCAAUUGAUCUAUCUUAUACCUUGCUUUCUUAGGAUUUCCAAACCGAAUGGAACCCUGUAGGCAGUUGGUCUGAGCCGUGCAUCGAUCUUCUGUACACCUUGUCCCGGUGCUCCAGACUAAACUAUUCAGCCGAGCGAACCUAUUGUUGAUAUUGAACUAUCUGCCCGGACCUGGAUCCGUUUGCCCUUCUUCCUCCGACCUGGCUACCUAACCAACCAACUACCAGUAGUACAUCUGAAUUCAUUUGUCCUUCCUACCUGACAACUACCAGUACUAGUACUUACAUAAUAAAUUAUGGUUGAUUACAAGUACAUUGGUACAAAAGAUAAAGAAAGUUUGGAAAAGUUCAGUAUGUUUAUGUAGAGGACACGAAACCAUAAGAGUUUAAGAAGGCAGAUGGGAUUUGUCUAUGGAACAUAUCUGGGGAAGCAAACUAGUGUACUAGAAAACACAUGACAUAUUGGGUGCCUGCUGUAUCAUUUCUGCGGUAGCUGUGAAACUAAAACUGAAUCUUCAACUGUAAACUGAAUGUUAAACUCGUUGAUGUACUUCUACGAUGAGAAGCUCCGGUUCAGGGACGUCAUGGAUAUGGACAAGUUGAGGUACCGGUACGAGGAUGUGGAUGAAUGUCAUACCGAAACCUUCGAUCGCGCUUAGGUUAACCAAACGCGAACUCAGGAGGGAGAAGGAACAAGAUAGUAAUAUGUUGGAAAUGCCGUCCCAGGCCCAGCAUCUCCAACACAUUGGUCAUGUCCUCGACUCUCGAGUAACAAUUCGCGUGGUUCGGCCGAGGGCGGUCAGGACCCGAAAGGAGAAAGACCAAUUUGAAGAGAUAUUGGUGGUGGAAGGGAUUGUCGUGAAGGCCGAAGAGUUUGUGAACUUUGACGUGUACAUCAACGUGGUGAACAGGACGAUAAUGAGCGCCAAGUACCGGGAGUUUGCAGGGACGUUCACCGAUAUCCCGAUGGGGGUAUAGUUCGGUAAGAAGAAGACGUUGGAGCUCGGGAUUUCAGAGGUGUUGGAGGAUUUGGAGGCGGAUCGAGACAUAUCUAUAUGGGUGACAUUGAUGCCAAGGACACAGUAGUAACAAGGUUACAUUUGAUCGGCUAAGCAUCAAGCACAACAAGAAAUGAGUCUGAGAAAAAAACCAGAGGAUAAACUGUUUGAUGUCUUUAAUUGCAAGGAAUAAUUGAAUAUCUUUAGAAUGAAAUAUUAAUAUGCUCUAGGAGCUGAUGAAAUUAUCUAUCGUUCUCAAAUUGAUCCUAUGCUUUGUGCUCAUAUGGUUUCGAAACAGUCAAAGAAACCAAAAUGGAGUCGAUUGAUAAUCACGGUUUUGAAACAGUCAAAGAAACCGUUUUCUGUUAAGAGAUCAAAGCUUUGAUUUAGAGACCUUCAAGGAUCAGAAAGGGCGAUUCAGAACUGACAUCAUCAAAUCUGCAGAGCAUGCAAAAGGGCAGGAUUAUUCAAUUUACUGUGUCAUUUUGGUUUGUCAAAGGGAUGGUUUAUAGCUUUUAAGUUAUGGAUGCUUCAUCUUUCUUUGGUGUUCUGGAUUCCUUGAUUGUUUAUUAUAACAUUUCAACAGAAUCUGGAAUAACAACAUGAGAAAAAAAGCAAACACGUAGGAUCAAGGAGAUGACAAAGUUAGAGAUGGAGAAGGAGAAGAAGAAGAAGAUACAACUAAUCAGAAGAAGAGAACGAAGUCCUGAAGCUAGUAGUAUCUACCCAUCUUCAUUUUCUGUCCAUGGUCUCGCAGUUUACUCCUCCACCAUCACAUCAACUGAGGUUGUAGAUGGUGUUGGCUUAGACUUGCUUUUCUUUUUACCUGUCGAUUAGCAAGUAAAUGUCAGUCUUGAGUUUUGUAUUAGCGAUGGCUUCAGCCUGCAUUAUUACACCUCUAUUACAGCCGGACUAAGAAAUAAAUUGGAAUCUGACCUUUUAUACGGUCUAACUGCUUCAACUUGAGUCCCCUUUUUACGUUAAACAACUUGGUGGAAAUUUUACUGCUAUCUUUAGAUGAGCCUUCACCUGCAAAAGACCAUGUACCAAACUGCAUAUUAAAUCAAGCAAGCGAUAUCAAAGCCAGACUCCUAGGACAAUCCAUUUGAGUUUAUUGGGAAACACCUACGAUCAUGAUUCUUGUUGCCAAACCUAACCUAACCAUAGUCAAAAUCUCAACCUAACUAAGCAGCGUUCUUAAUGUCAUCAACAAACAGAUUAUGGAAGAGAAAAGAGGGCUAAGCAUCAAAAACUAACAAAACCAGCAGCACUCUCACUCUCCCAGUCGUGGACAAAUCAAGUCUUUAUCACAAACCAACAACUAUGGCAGUUUGGACAGAAGUUGAUCCAAGUUAGUAUGACUUGUUCUAAACAUGUCACGAGAAUCCAAAAUCCUAUCCAAAGCGGAUGCUUAGUCCAAUUGGCUGGAUUUCUGAAUGGGGGCAGUCACUCAAAGGCUGUAACACCAAGUAAAGCACUUGAAAAGAAGUGAUUCAAGAGAAGACAACAAUAAAUACCAUCUGCAACCGCCAUCUCUACAUCUUCCAUGGUGACAAGUCCUUUUUCUACAGCUUCUUUCUGGUCCUGUAUUGUAUGUAGUAAUUAACCGCAGCCAAAAUGAAUAUUCACCUAUAAAAACCCUUUGCUUCUGCAUUAGGGAAGGACAAAAGGAACAACAUACUUACUCUGCGCCAUUUGUUCAACAGCUUGCGCUUGCGUUUACCAGAGACGGAUUGAUUCUGCUGUUUAGCCUUCAAUUUAGCGGUGAGGGGAUCUCCGUGAGCGAUUCUCUUUUUAUCUGCUAUCGCUGCCCUCUUCCUGAUUGAACUUCGCCAUUGUUCUCUAUCUUUCUUUCUCCGUUUCUCUCAGAUAAUCAUAAAACCCUAAGCGAACACAUUUUUUGGGCUUACGUAUGUAUUAUAUGUAUGUGACCAAUCCCAAUUUGGGCCUGGUUUUCAAAAAUAUUUGGGCCUCUCCAAUCAAGAAUGUUUCGUCCAAAAUAAAUAAAUUUUGAGAAUCCAACCAUAGGUUUAACCCUUACUUUCCCGAAUUGCUAUUCGCCUUUCUAAAUUAUCGACGAUGAAUGUUGGGAUCGACGGAUGAUCGUUGGGAACUCGAAUAACAAUGCUGAUAGACGGAUGAUAGUGAAUGAUAUAUUCAGAUAAUAGAAUUUAGAAUUUGUGUGCUCGAUAAAAAAAUAAUUCUGUCAUUUAUAAUAAUUAGCGUGUUUUAAAAAAAAUGGUAAGACGGUGAAUGACACGCCCCUUACCAAUAAUUUUGAAAAUGUACCAUGCUCUAGGAGCUCAUGAUUUGUGCUCAUGUGGUUUUGAAAACAGUAAAAGAAACCGAAAUGCAGUUGAUCCAUAUAUAAUCAUACUUCAGUUCUGCGUGUGAAAAUUUAUUAACCUUCUGGCCAGUGUUAACAGAUGGCAUUAGUUUCUCUACAAAAUACCAGUAACAGAAACAACUACACAUACUGGUUCAGAUACUCAUCAACACUAGUAUACUUAACAUCAGGGUAAAUUUCCGAUGCCUCCACACCGAACGAAUCCUCUAUCUCGAAGCUUGUCUGGCAUCCCUUCACCAGAAUAGAAUGGUUCAGCGCCAGCAUCACAUCUCCUGCAAACCCACAACACACACAUUUAGGACCUCCAACAACAAAAAUUGAUCUAGCUGUCUUUAUAUAUUAAAGCUACCUCUAGUGUGCUUCAGAAUCUCUUCUUCAGGAACAUACACCCUUUCCAGUUUCUUCCCGAUCUUCCUCUCCCACAGAGACGCCAGAUCGUUGAACGAGUAUAUGUUGUUCGGAGGCCUAAUGUACACAAGCUUGUUUAACGUCCGUGGAUCGUCCACUGCUCGAAUCGUAUACGUCCCGAUAUCAUCCUCCCUGUUGAAAACCGCUGUUUUUUCGUAUCGAAGAAAAAACAUCAUCAGCACAAUUGUUCUUCAGCUUAAUGAUAAACUGAAUGAAAUAGUUUCAAACAUUCCAUCUAACCUUUGGCAUUGCCGUCUCCCAAGAUGAUAACUUUAUCCCUGGGAGGGACAUCACCAGAAGGCUGAGCCAAAUUGCUGAGGAAGUAACCAGCAAAGCAGUUGCAGGAGACAUAUGUGAAUGGGAUCCCUUCAGCUUCGACAGCUCGACGAAUCUGAACCUUGACAUUGUAUGCCGAUUGCGCUGGCUCCACUGCCACCACUCGAUCCACGUCGUUCCCAAACUCCGACGGGAAGAACCUCUGGUCAGUAAGAAACAUGGAAUCAAUCAGACAACGAACUAUUUCUACAUUCAAAUGAACCAAACCCUAGUAGCAAUUCUAGAUUCGGGGAGUUUGUGUUUACCUUGACGUUUCCAGCUUCCUUAAUAGCGGCUAUGAUUUUCACCUGCUCAGUCAGCAUCCCAUGCCCGACUGUUGAAAUCACCACAUCAACUUUCUUCAUUGCGUCCACCAAGCUUCCAUGAUCAUUCAAAUCCCCCUGUACAAGUUCCGUUCAGAUUAGAAAUGGAGCGGAAAUUUUAAAUCUGAAAAAACAAAACACCUACGAUUAGGAAAUUGACGCCCAAGUUCUUCAAGCUGCUGACGAGCUUGGAUCUUCUGGGAGCUGAGAGAGUCGAUUUCCUGACAAGGGCGUAAGUCGGGUGGCCGGCUUUGGCGCUGGCUUCCACGAUGAAUUUGCCGAUGUAACCAGUUCCUCCGAUGAACAGGAUCUUGCUCUUGGUGGCGGAAGCCAUUGGUGAAAGGAAUCGAUGAAUCUUCUUCUUUGUGGAGAAUUGGGGCUGGGAGGUGAUGAUGGAUUUAUUCCUAAGGUUGACUGAUGAGCUUAUAUAGUUGAAAUGUGGGAAAGAAUAUAGUAAAGGUGGUGAUUUUGGACGACGACGACGAACGAGAAAAGAAGAUUCCGGCGGCUGUUGGCAAUGGAGGGAAAUGAGAUUGGUUGCCAUUGUUGACCAUCGUAAGCAAACAACCCCACUGGUUCCGAACCCGCGGUUUGUUGUUAAAGCCGGUUUGGUUUGAUUUGGCUUGACACUUUGGGUCAUGAGCGGUUAGGAGAUUCGAACUCGAAAUUUUCCGUUCGUGAAAACUAGGGAUAAGACUAGUUUUCAAAACUCAUCUCCGUGCACAUAAUGUCUCGAAUACCCAAGCACAAUCGGUUAAUGCAUCCCUAGCCGAAAUGAACGGCUAUAAUCAGGUAAUGCCCCUCGAGAGUCGGGUAAUAUGAAAGAGAAUGUCCAACCAAAACCCUAAAUCAAAAUCGGUUUCUUUCCUUAACCACAAAAGUCCAAUUUCACUAACCACAAACACAUCGAAGCACAACGCAAUUCACCAUUAUGACCAUAUAUGGAACCCAACACAUCCCUGUAAAUCUUUCGAACUUGGAAAUUUUCAUUUCGAAAAGUUACCACUAACCACUGGAAUUCCGCGUCAUGAAAAUCGGUGAAUCAAACCAAGGAGGACAAGUACUCAGCAAUGGUAGUAUACUCAACAUCUGGAUACAGCUUCGAGCCUUCGACUCCAGUAGCAGGAUCAAUCUCAUAGUAGGUAUGAUCUCCUCUCACAAACACCGAGUAUAUGAACACCAGCCCCAUAUUCCCAGGAUACGAAAUCUCUGCACCAGUCCAAAAAACAAACCAAAUUCAACAAAACAAGCAGAUAAACCAGCAAAGGAAUCAAAAUCAACUACCCAGUAAGUAAACCACCAUUGAUUCUCUUCAACAUCUGUUCCUCCGAAACGUAGCAUCUCUCCACAUUCAUCCCAAUCAGCCCUUCCCAUAGCGUCACAAUCUCGUUCAUCGAACACACGUUCCCCGGAGGUCUCAAGUACAGAAUCUUGUUCAGCGUGGAAGGAUCGUCCACUGCUCUCAUCGUGAAGGCAGCUACAUCUCGUUCCUUCACAAACACACCUGGAAACCAAGGCAGACUCGUUGUUCGAUAUCGUUCGUCGAAUUGUUUGAAACUAGGUACAUGUACCUUUGACAUUGCCGUUUCCGAAGAUUAUGACCUUGUCUCGAGGUGGAGAUUUGAGUCCCGGCUGGACAAGGGAAGGAAGGUAGUAGCUCAUUAAGAGAUUGCAGCAGACGUAUGUGUAUGGGAUUGAUUCGGCUUCUAACAACCGUCUGAUCUCAGAUUUCCUGGAGUAGAAACCAUGAUCCAUUCCUGAUAUCUGUGAUCUGUCUGCAUCUGCUCCGAACUCAGACGGGAUGAACCUCUGGAAAAUGAUGAUCAUCAUGAAUGAAACCUAUGUUAACAUUGACAGUAGAUUGAACACAAAUGAUACACAAUCGGCAAUGGAAUGUGGCAUUUUAAAAAAUUCCAUCAAAGCAAUCACUUCAAUUUCACUAAAAUCAGUUAGCAAGGAAGAAAGCAUUUUUGAUAAUCACAAUCAAUAGUUACCUUUAUCCGGCUUCCUGCUUGUUUGAUGACUUUGAUAAGCAGCUUCUGAUCGUGAGCUUGUUUCGACGGAAUCGAACAGAUUACAACGUCAACUCGAUUCACUGCCUCCACAAGGCUACUCUCGUCUUGCAAUGAACCCUAAAAAGAAGAGCAGCAGCAGAAGAAGAAGAAGAAUCAAGAACAACGAAAAAUUCCCCUAGCAGGAAAAGCAUUAUCCCAAUUGAAUAAUACCUUAAUGACGGAGGCGCCGGCAUUGGUGAGGGAUUGGAGCUUGUGAGCUUUGAUUGGGUCGUGGAAAGCCGAUUCUCUGACGAGGAGGAGAGUUGGGUGAGAGGAUUUGAGGCUGGAUUCUGCUAAGUGGUAACCCAAAUUGCCUGUUGAGCCGAUUACCAACACUCUGCUCUUCUCCUUCUCCAUUGCAGUCAGCUGGUUUGAUCAAUUGGGUUACAGUCUAAAUUGCUGCCAGUGCCAUGCACAAUCCAGUUGAAGGUUUUGCCUUUCCAGUGUUCUGUGAUGGUUUUCGUACAGUUAAUUUCAUUCCGUAGCACCAACUUUGGCCAAAAUGCAAAAAGUUACCAUGAAGUUUCAAAAGUAACAAAAUAAUAUUGUGUGUACAAAUUCAAACUUAAUAAUGUGGAAAAUGUUAUAUAUGGUGAGGACAUUAUUUUUGUAUUCGUAAGGAAGGAGAACACUAAUAUCAUCAAAAAAAAUAUACAAAUUCGUACUUAUUUAUUAUUCUAUACGAGAUAAAAAUAGAAUAUUAAGGAAAGUUAAUGGAGAUGAAGAUCUACAGUUUCAAUGCCUAACUAUAGGAAUGCCAAUCUAAACUCAACACUCUUAAGAUAAUAAAUACAUUCGAAUAUGGUUAAUGGCUAUAUAUGAGCCGAUAGGUAUAACCACUCUUUGUGCUUCAUACUUAAGAUAUUGAACUACCCGCUCUUAUCAGGGUCCAUCUGUUAUUCCUACUUAAUUAAAAAUAAAAACUAAAUAAAUAUUAUUUUUUAAUUAAAAUAUAUCAAAAUUUUCGAUCAAUAUAAAAUAGGUUUAUUAAAACCUUAAAACUCCGAUAUUUGAUUGGGAAUUCAUUUUACAAUGAAAAACAUGAUUCGUAUGGUUAUAGUAUUAUAGGAUAUUGGGUUCCCAUUGAAAGGAGGCGGAUUCUCGAGUUUUACUUGGAAUGACACUCGCCACCCUCAUCUUUGCAUAUUAUUACAAAAUUGCUACAAUAAAAUCCAAACCUACCCAACAAAGUAAGUAUCACCAACGCGGCCAUUGAUCCAAAAGGUGCCUUUGAGAGAUGUAACCAAUAGAUUUUAGUCAUUACAUCUGGUUAUUUUUUUGACCAAGUUUCAUCUACCGAUUAAAAUAAAUCAAACGAAUUAAUUUGAAUAAAUAUAAUUUUUUAAUAAAAAAUUACAUAAGCGGAAAUCAAUUUUUCGGGAAAUAAUUUUCUCUCUUUCUUUUAGUCAUUUUUUAACUUUGAUANNNNUUAACUUUGAUAUCACCGUUAUGUUUAUCGUACAAGCAUGUUUAGUAAGUAAUACGAUCAUUUUAUAGGCUUGUUACGCCGUUGCUACGUUAACCUUACGAGUAGUUGAAUUCAUUAUCGUUAUGUCCAGUUUACCACUCUUUUAUGUCGGUGAUAUAUACACUUUAUGAGUCUGUUAUGUGUUUUUAUUAUGGCUUUUAAAUAAGUUCAUUAUAUAGAAUUUAUAAGUAAAUUAUUAUAUUCACGUUAUCGUUAUUAAAUCAUUAUUAUAUCAUUGUCACACCCAUUUUACGAGUAAUUAUGUUAUCCAUGUCGACUUUAAUAAGUUUUUCCUAUCUAUUUUCUCUUUUAAAGAAAAGUUGAAAAAAAAACUUNNNNNNNNNNNNNNNNNNNNNNNNNNNNNNNNNNNNNNNNNNNNNNNNNNNNNNNNNNNNNNNNNNNNNNNNNNNNNNNNNNNNNNNNNNNNNNNNNNNNNNNNNNNNNNNNNNNNNNNNNNNNNNNNNNNNNNNNNNNNNNNNNNNNNNNNNNNNNNNNNNNNNNNNNNNNNNNNNNNNNNNNNNNNNNNNNNNNNNNNNNNNNNNNNNNNNNNNNNNNNNNNNNNNNNNNNNNNNNNNNNNNNNNNNNCUCAGCCAGUCAUCCUACCAACCGCACGGCACAAUCUUUUGUCUAACAACCACAUGCCAACCGUCCAUCCCUUCUCUAUUGUGAAUGUUUAAAUCAAAUUUUUUUUUUAAAGUGACGUGUGGACUCAGAAACUUUCAUUCAAGUUUCUACUGAAUUUAAUUGUUUAUAUUUAAUGGACUAUUUAUUUUUAGAAACAUGUUUUUAUCGUACUAAUAUAUUAAUUAUAAAUAUUGAAAUAAAUAUUCUUUAAAGAACUUUGAAAAUAUAAGCAAAUUUGUUACAAUCUCCUCGCACAAAACGAAUCCUAAUGUUUCGAAACUAAAAUCUUCCGACAUCGUCCAAUAAUAUCUCCAAACUUCAACCUAUCCUACACCACACUCGCAUUAAACGGCACCACCUGCAAAUCUAACUCCAAAAUGACGUUGUCUAAGUUGAGUUUAACACACCACCAAAAACCAUUCAUCCAACAACGUUAGGGCCUCAGUCUCCUUACUACUAUAACCUCGUUCCCGUUUCAUUUGGUAAUGUAUCGCCGUACCCAUCUCAUCACGCAAGCACGUUCCUGGAUUCCUGCGCCCAUUUCUCCCUGCUCUGGAAACAGUUGUGAAUGAAACCUUUACCUAUAUAGUUGGGGGGUUUCUUGGUUGUAUUAAAUUAUAAUUUAUUCCAUCUUAAAAUGGGUUGGUUCAUGUAAAUACUAAUGAUAAAUUUAUAUUGGUAUAACCUCAAAUAAAUUUAUCAAUUAAUACCAAGUUCUUUUCGAAAAAAAAGCUAAUACAAACCUCAACGAUCAUUUCAUAUUCCAAAUUUGAAGAUUGUAAUUAAAUUCUCACUUCCUUUAUUAUUCCACCAUCCAAAUAGUCGAUUCAUAUGUCUAGUACCGAUGCUCAAAGGUGACAAGUCUACAUUUACGACCACCGGUACCUCCAUUUUCAGUAUUGUCAACAUAUGUGUAUAACAUUCUCGACCAUAACCACAAAAUAAUUACGCAACUCUAUAGAUUGUCGAUACCGUACUAAACUUCGAAUCGGCCAACACCGGUCAAACCAUUUUGGCAUGUUACGGUCCACAACUAUUUCGCACCAUCUCUGGCCACCUUAUCUCUGUCUUCUUACUCACCACACACACGACUCUUCCAGCUCCUUCCUCCUCCGAAGAAAAAACCCAAUAUAGUAAUAUAUAUACACCAAAGCUCUUUGAAGAACAGAGCUUCACCCAGAUCUAAAAAUCCCCUGCUCCAAUGGAUCCUGGAAAAUGGAUCCUCCCACUCACCAUCUCCACCAUUCUCGCCGUCACCCUCUUCAUCUUCUCCUCCCCUCAACUCGCCACUGAACUCGUCGGGUAACUCAAAAUACUCUUCAUAUCCCACACUCUGUUUUCUUAUUCAGAUCUGUGUUUAGUUUCUGCUCUAAUUUGUACUAACUUCUCUCUUUCUCUGUCCACAGGAAGCUAAACGGCGUCGUACCAGACGUUUUCUUAGGGUGGUCAACGCCGGUGAACAAUCUGCAGAAGGGCAAACUCCUCCCAGUCCAAGUCAACUUAUCAGCCUGCCUCCCGACAUUCGGCCGACCGGGGAAGCCAGUCUACUGCUGCCCGCCGCGAAACAUCCUCGACGACCCAAUCAUUGACUUCCAGUUCCCCGACCCGGCGACCAACCCGGUCCGGGUCCGCCGCUCGGCGAACCGGCUGGAUGAGGAGUCCAUUGCCAAAUACGAGAAGGCGGUCGCGAUGAUGAGAUCUCUACCUUACUCCGACCCGAGGAGCUACACGCGCCAGGCGAACUUACACUGUCAGUACUGCACCGGAUCUUUCCUCCAGCAGCACUCCACGCUUCCGGUUCGGGUACACAAGACGUGGAUCUUCUUCCCCUGGCAUCGAAUGCUCUUGUAUUUCCACGAGCGGAUCUUGGGGAGCUUGAUCGGAGACGAUACAUUCGCGAUUCCGUUCUGGCCAUGGGAUCUGCCGGAAGGGAUGAUGCUGCCGGAGUUUUACCUCAACGGGUCGUUCAAGAACGAGCAGCGUGACCCGACCCAUUACCCCCCGGCGGUGGCGGAUCUGGAUUUCCAGCUGGCGGAAGGCGGGUCGACGCCGGAGGAACAGGUGGAGUUGAAUCUGGCUCUGAUGUAUAACCAGAUGGUCUCUGGCGCUAAGACAGCGGAGCUAUUCAUGGGGUGUGCUUACAAGACUGGCGAAGGUGGUGACUGUUUCGGACCCGGGACAAUGGAGCGGGCCCCGCAUAACACGAUUCAUAAGUGGGUCGGGUCGGCUUUCCAUACUGGGAGGGAGGACAUGGGGGUCUUUUACUCGGCAGCUCGCGACCCGAGUUUCUACGCUCACCACUCGAAUAUCGACCGGUUGUGGGAGGUUUGGAGGGCGACUCACCCUGAGAUGAACGACCCGGAGUUCCUCGACUCGUCGAUGUACUUCUACGACGAGAAGCUCCAGUUGAACCGGAUCCGGUUCAGGGAUGUCAUGGACAUGGACAAAUUGAGGUACCGGUAUGAUGACGUGGUCAAUACGUGGAUGAAUGCGAGGCCGAAGCCCUCGGUCGAGCCUAGGUUAGCCAAGCGCGAGCUAAGGAGGAGGGAGAUGGAACAAGAGAACGUGUUGGAGAUGCCGUCAGAGCAUUUCCAACCAACCGGUCGGUCACUCGACUCCCAAGUCACGAUCCGGGUGGUUCGGCCUAGAGCAGUCAGGACUCGAAAGGAUAAAGUUGAAUUUGAGGAGAUAUUGGUGGUGGAAGGGAUUGACGUGAAGGCGGAGGAGUUUGUUAAGUUCGACGUCUACAUCAACGUUGUCAACGCGACGAUAAUGAGCCCCAAGUAUCGGGAGUUUGCGGGGACGUUUACCGAUAUUCCGAUGGGUGUAUCGUUCGGAAAGAAGACGACGUUGGAGCUUGGGAUUUCGGAAGUAUUAGAGGAUUUGGAGGCGGAUCGAGACCGAUUUAUAUGGGCGACAUUGAUGCCGAGGACGGAAAGUUGUGACAAAGUUACGGUUGAUGGGUUAAGCAUCAAGCACAAGAAGAAAUGAAGGAGAGUACUAGUAUAGGUAAAAAUAAUUUUGAAGAAAUUUUAUUGUAUGAUGAUGUUGCAUUAAUUCUGUGUGUAUGGCAUUGAACAUUGUUAGAAUUAAAAAUAUGAAUGUACCAUGCUCUAAUAAAAAUAUUAGUGUUGCUGGCAACUAUAAUGGAGCCUUGCAAGUGGUACGGUCCAUCACCAUGUUUAUACACCAUUAUUUCGACUUGUCGGUGGCUGGCAACUCUUUGAAAACUACAUUUUGAUACCCUUUUAUACCCUUUUCAGUGAAAACUAAAAAUCAUCGUCCAAUUGCUCCUCGCCUCUACUCGUCGAAACAAAGAGUCUACAAUCUUCAUUUUAGUUGCACCUCAUAAAUACUACAUUACGUGAAAUAUUUUAUAUACUUGUACCCUUCCUAUGAAAUAUGAGCAUUAGAUUAAUAUUAUAAAUAGAAUAUUUGAGCUAAUCAGGAUGAGUCAUGGCUGUCUUGAUGGGACAUGAAAACACAUGGUGACAUGAUUUACAAUAAAUAUAUUAUGCAUAAAAUCAAGACAUAUUGGAAAGUGUAAAUCAUGUCACAUGUGGCAAGUGGUUUUUUUCUUAGAGAGGACCAAAAUAUGACGGGGAGGCCGAAACAACUCAAAACGUUCGACUUGGGAAGAAAUCGUCACUGUUUAGUAUUUUGAGUAUAACUCAUCGCUCGGAAGUCCGAUUGAUGCAUGGUCAGCGGUUCAAUACAUUGCUAGCUUUAGAGGAUUCAAAUUUGAACAACCUUCAUUCCAUAUUUGAAACUAAAUCUCUUUCAAUUAUUUUCUUUUGAUUUACAUUCUUAAUUUAUAAUCGGAUACUUCAACAAUCAAUAAAAUAAUCACUUAAUGUUACUUAGUUUAGUUAACUUAACCAAUUUGAAUAAUAAUGUUAAAAAACAUCUUAUGAAAAUACGAUUCCAUUAAAAUUUAUUCUAAUAAAUAUUUGAUUAGCGGGAUAAAAUCCGCACAACCACAAUUUCUCCGAACCAAAUAAAACCCAACUUGAUUGUUAAUGCAAGUUGGUGAUGCAUGCGUCGAUUUGAAUAAUAAAUUCUCUUAAAAGAAGAAAAACGAAUAUUCACGUGGUACUGCCCGGUUUGAUCAAGUGGUUGGAUUUAUUUAUGUGUGAUUCUUCGUCCCCAAUACUAUAUAUAAUAAAAUCCGAUACAUUGAUAUAUAUUCUAGCUCUAGCUGUCGUGAAAAUGACUACUUUGAUUGGGUGUACAUUUUUGUUUGUUUACGGUGAUAAUAAAUCUCUAAUACUUUAUAAUAAAGAGGACAUCCAGCUUGAGGAGCAUGCCCGAACGAGCCAACCUAACAAGUAACAACCCAGUCGGCUCAAGCGACACGAUCCGUCCAAGGAUGCCGAAACAGGACCAAGGUCGAUCCUUCGUCGGCCUCUUAAGUGCCGAGGCGAUGGGCAAGACAGACCGGAAGGGUUUUGAUUGAACCUUCAAUGGAGGACAAAACAAACCUAGAGGAUAGCGUAUGUGAGCUUCGGCAACAAUGGUGGAGGAUAGCGUGUACAUUCAUCAUUAUACUCUCUUUCAAUCACUCGAAUUAUUUCGAAACUUUUUUUACUUAACAGUCGUCCAGAGGCCCGGGAUGCUUUUCCUUGAGCCCUUCCUCAAAGCCAAGGCCCAAGGCAACCUCGCUGCCUAGUAAGCCCUUUAUUCUUUGUUUUCACAUUAACAUUAUUGGGCCAGGGCCCAGGCUUCUAAUUAACAUGUUUGGGUGAAGAGGAGUAAUGGGUCAGGUGAUCAGCUUGUUGUAAAUUCAUGUCAUUCACAAACAAAUAACAAGUAAUAUCACUUUGGUUUAAUUUUUAUUUUCUUUCAGGUCAUUGAGGGAGUUCCAUGAGUCCCAGCUUUGAAAACUUUGGACCCAAUUCUGAAGAACUUAGGCUUGGCCCUAAUCCAACUCUUCCCGCCAAUCAUUUCUUUACUCAGAAAAGGCGAAACCUCAUCGAUUGCGAGCUUCUUCGACCAAGCUACCCUCUUCGAUCUAUUAGCUCCAGGUCCGUAAUUCUUGUGCUCUCCGUAGAACACAGUCCUACAUAUUAAUGCACACACCGACAACAUAAUCAAAAGAAAAUAUUGAUUGAAAUAGAUAGAAUAAUUAAAUACGCGGGAUUUUAUACCUUUGUUUCGAUUUGUCUCCCCAAUCACUCCAACCGAUUGGCAAGACAGCAGAGGUUAAGUAAGAGUAGGCAUAAACCACCCUGGAAUAAGAACCCCAUGCCCUUCCUAGAAGUGUUGCUCCAACCCCGGUUACCUUGCAUCGCAAGAAAACAUACCCGGUUCGAUCCGACUCCGAGCCCCUAUCUUGGGCGGUUAUCGAGCCGUUGCCUUUCGAAAGUGAAUGGAUAUGACACUUCUGCAAAUCAUACAAUUAUGGACCAUGCACAUAAUUAGUAAUAGGUGUUCAAACUUAUUGAUCGGAAUUUCUCAUUCUCUACUGUGAAACAGAGAUGUAACAAGCAAAGAGAUAUCGCUCGCCUCGAAGAGGGAGGAAGCGUCUCCGCAGAUGAAAUCGGUGGCUCCUUCGAUGUAACAGUUUCGAUAGUAAUGCGAUCCAGUGUCGUCGAGAAGCGUAUCCUGGUACGACAACAUCUUGCAAUCGAAGAAUGCAGCUCUGUCUCCCGAUACCCUCAACGCCACAGCUUUGCCUCCUCUCCCGAACGUGUUCUACACCAUGCAUAUGCACUAACAAACAUUGAACAAAUUCGAACUUUGGGAUCAACAUACGUUCGUAAUUACGUUACCUGGAUAGUAAGGUAUCGAGCUACAAAGUACGGAGCCAGAACAGACAGAGUGGCAGACUCGAAUAUAUCCCCCUUCUCGUGCCACGUAACGACAGUGUCGUUCGCAGCUGGCUUGGUACCACCUAGGGUGAUGAAAGGCUUGUCCUUCGGCACUAUGACUUUCUCGACGUAGACUCCUGGCUUGACCCAGAUGAAGACCAGCUCGGAGUUGUUAGAAGGAACCGAGUCGAUUGCUUCCUGGAUCGUCUCGAAAUCUCCUCUCCCAGCGGCGGAAUUGUCCACCCUUAUCAGAUUGGCCACUGACCAGUCCUUUGGAGGAGUAGGUGAAGCAUCAGAAGCUAGGGUAGUUUGGAAUUGGAGUAAUAGUAGUGCUAGGAUAAUGGUUGUUGCUAGACGGUGGAUCAUCAUCAUGUGGAGCUUUGGAUAAUGGUGGACUGGAGUACAAUUGCAGCUAUAGAAUCAGACAUUCUUAUUGUUCAGUAUUUCCGAAAAGGCUUGGGACUCACGCCAACGCGUCCAAGAAAUCUGCAGAAAUGAAGGGAUCAAUUGUUUUCCUCUUUGUCUGCACAAAUUCAACGUAUGAUCAUACGCCUCAUUUCUGGGAUUAGACUUUAGGCCAAAAAUUAAUCUUAUACUACAUUGGAAGUAUUGGCUUUUAUCAAGUGGAUUAACUAACUUGAUCAGUUUAAAAUUUUGCCCGUUUUUUGGGCGUAUUGAAAUGGAGCCGACCGCCAUCCACUUGACGGCCCCCUAUCGACGAACAUUAUCAUCCUAUCGACAACCUCGAUCAUUGUCAUCAUGCCACUGUUAUCUUGUUCCAAUCUCGUCAACCACCGCCAUACCGUCCAUCAAAAUACACCGCUUUUGAGACUCUAGCAUGAUGAUUUCCGUGUUUGAAGAGAAAAUGCAGUCAACACCAUGAUCACAAUCACCAAUGAUUACAGAAUGUGCGUGGUAACUCCCAUGACAGUUGCCUCCUCUAGUAGCAAUCAUCCAUGACAGUCGCCUCCGGCCUCCUAUAAAUACAAAAGAACCGACCAAUGGAACAAUAUGAUGAACAUAAAAAAUUAUACAAAGCAUACACUCUUGCUCAACUUACCUUUCUCUUCAAUUUCAUUUUUCAGUAGCCAUAGACAUAGUUUAUUUUUUAAUUUGGAGCCUUUUCAGAAUUUCUACAGGAGUAAUGGUAGAUAGAAUAAAUACUUAUCAUAUACAUCAAACCAACGGUGUAAACAAUGUAAUUAAUCUAUUUUCACAAAAUCAAAACUAAUUUAUUGUGUUCAAAGACAAAGAGUUUUUUUAUUUUUGCGACCAAAAGCAAUUUCAAAUUUUAAUAAUUUUCAAUUUAUAUACAUAAUUUAUCGAAAUUGUACAUAUAAAAACUAUCAUUUGAAGGUGCAAAUGAUAUCUGACCUUAUAGCUGUUUGAAAACAAAGAUCAAAUUUGGGUCUGCCACGUUGUCUUCCAUGUUCUUUUCAACGACAAGAAAAAGUUAAUAUAGUAAUAAUGAAAUUAAAGAAAGAGGAGUUGAGGACUUAAAAUCAAGGAGAAAAAAGUUUCAGGAAUUCCAAAAAAAAUUUAUUGAUAAUUUUGGUAUUUUAUAAAUAUAUAUAUGUUAUUUUUCCAAAUUUCUAAAACUCAAAACUGAAAAUCUAAUAUUUUAGACUCUAAAUUUAAAAAUCCAAAUUCAAAAUUUAAAAUUUAAAAAAUUAUAAUACUUUCUACAGAUUAUUAGAUCGGUAAAGUGGUCAAAUCCUUAAAAUUUAAUUAUUCAAAACCAUCCUAAACAUCAAAAGCACUGUCCUGAGGCCCCACCAGAGCAAUCAAAGAGCGCAAUUAGCGGAGCAUGAAGCUCCUAAUCGAACUUUGUCGUUUAGCGACGGAAACACUUAUAGCAAAAGGCCACGAACUCUCUGCCUUCUCCGGCGCCCUUUCAAAUUAAAAUCCACUCCCCCCAGUCAGUCACCACCACCGCCACUCAUUUUCUUCACCGUGACGCCGCAGAUGGAGUGGGAUUCCACCGCCGUUGGUUCUAAUCACAAACGCCACCACGAAAGCUGCAACAACAAUAAUAAUGGAGACCCGAAUACCGCCAACAGCAGUAGUAGCCCGAAUGAUCUGCUGUACGUGAAGGUAAUGACAGAUGAGCAGCUUGAGACUCUCCGGAAGCAGAUCGCCGUCUACUCCACCAUCUGCGAACAGCUCGUCGAGAUGCACAAAACCCUGUCCUCCUCCCACCAAGAUUUUGCCGCCGCAGGUGUGUACUGUUCCCCUGUUUUUCCACUGCUCUGAAUUCGAAUUAGAGAUCUAGUCGACAUUAAUUUCGUCGGGGGCAGUUACUGAUCUAGGUAGAAUUGUCCAAUGAGUGGGUUAAACCGGUUAUGGGAUGGGUAACUCGAGUUACGGGUUCAAUUGAUUGGAUUAUAGAUUAAUUUGGUACAGUACACUUAGUUUGAAGAUUUUAUAGACUUUUGGGUCAUGUAACUUUUGAAUUGUUAGCAUUUGAUCAUUUGAUCGAUAUAAGUUAUUGAUCGUAUUCGACCAGGUUGGAACUGGAUCGAGUCGGGUUAAUUUUUGCCAGCUCUAAAUCUAGAGGAGGUUCUCCUUGUCACAAUACGGUCCAUCGUCGAGUCUAAUGCGUACAUUUAACUAAAAUAAUCAAAUUUUUCAUAUAGUAAUGAGGUUAUAAGUUUAUUGUGCCGUGAAUUGAUUGGAUUAUGUGAUUAAUUUAGUGAUAGUAUACUUAAUUUGAUGGUUUUGUGCCAGUUUUGAAUUGUUUACGAAUUUAUAUUAUUGAUUGGAAUUGGAUCGAAUCGGGAUAAUUUUUGCUAGCUCCAGAUCUACAAAAGCCUCUUUUAAAUCAGAUCGGGCGGGCUGGUUGGGAAGGGGUUAUUGACCAAUUGAACUACAAUCCCAGGAAAAUGAAAUAAAGUGGACACCAACAUACACAGAUUCAUAUGAUUUCAUUCAAAUCUCCCUUAUUUAGUAUUUAGCUAUUUCGAUUUUAGCUUCGAAUCGACGCGCUGUAACAGAGAGGGGGUAUCUAUAUGAUACCCAUAUCCGAUCAAUUUAUGAAUUUAAUACCGCAAUAAUACAUUUUACAGUCCAUUUUUCAUGUAUGUAGUUUACUAACACAAUGAAUAUAAAUAUUUUUAGUAAGUGUAUAUAAAAAUAUAGACUGUGCGCUAGUAAUAUAUAAUAUAGCAUAGCACCGUGUACUGUAUUUCAACAUGAUCGUCACCGAUGCAUUAAAUCAUUCUGCAUCCAGGGAGGUUGGGAAAUAUGUACUUGGACACGCUGAUGGGCGGAGGAGGAGGCCAGAAGCUGAGCGGCGGGCGACAGCGGUGGACGCCGACGCCCGUGCAGCUUCAAAUCCUUGAGCAGAUCUUCGAGCAAGGGAACGGGACACCGACGAAGCAGAAGAUCAAGGAGAUCACGACCCAGCUCAGCCAGCACGGCCAGAUCUCGGAGACCAACGUCUACAAUUGGUUCCAGAACCGGCGCGCCCGGUCCAAGCGUAAACAGCACCUUACGAAUCUCCCGACUUCCGCUGCCGCGGGCACGAACAAUAAUGAUAAUGCUGGUGCUACUAGUGGGGAUUUGUCGUCAGAAGUGGAGACUACUACUGCUACUGAAGUUGAUUCGCUUAACGAUCAAGACAUCAUCAUCCAGUUGUUGGCUCAGUCUCAGUAUCAGGAAAAACAAUGCUGGAAUUAGCUGCGUACAUGUAUAUGUUGUAUAGAGGGAUGUAUUUGUCAUGGUUGAUUCACUACACUCUUUUUCUCCAUUUUAAUCUUGGUUUGGUUGUGGUAUGGGAUAUCUCGAGAUAGCUUGGUAUUUUUCGAGGAUGUUGAUAUUGAGUGGGGGAGGUGGUGAGGUGGAGUUUCUUGUUUGGUAUGAGACAUUGAGUUGAUGAAAUUUGUUUGCCUAUUGAUUGUCACAUAGGGUUCUCUAAGCAAUCGUCGUGCUUUUGGUGGUGCUGUAAUCGUAAAAGUAGUGGUUUAUUUGACGGCUUGCCCUAGGUUCCGAUUGCAAGUGGUCAGGCAUCUAUAAGUAGCGUUGAGGCCGAUUUCAUGACUCGAAUAGAUAUUUAGAUUGUUUGUUCUUUUGCAACGUGUUGUUUACUAUCACAAUGUAUCCCUUCGAAGCUCCUAUCUUGCUAGAACCAAAUAGACAGGAGCUAGAAUUCUAGUGGAUUCAGUAUCUUCAUCCAAAUUUGCAGCAACCAGUUGCUGAAGAUCUUAACUGCAGAAUCAGUUUUGGGCCAAGGUUAAUGGGUUUUUAUAGGCCCAUUUCAGAAUCUAUUUUCGGCAACGGCUGAUUGGGUAUGGGAGAGGCCCAUUUCAAAUCAUGUCGCUUAGGUAAUAGCCGAAAAAGCCCAUCUCUGCUGCUAUAAAAUCCUAGGCGUCGAUCACUUUCAGAAAACUAACCCUAAUUGCAAAAUCUCCAUUGUUGUCGCAGCUUCUCUUUUCCAAUAGCAAAUCUCAGCUGUAAUAGCUGUUGUGUAUAGUUCAAUUUCCGUCUCAAUUCGUUUUCUGUUUGUUUUGUCACUGUUGUGGAGGAAGGAGGGUUGCGAUGAUGAUGAUUAUGUUAUAAUCUCGUUAAUCCGAACCAAAUCUGUGAGGAUAACAAACUAUCCAUUACCUUACUGAGCACUCUCCUUGUCCUACAGCUCCACCUCAUUUACUCUGGUUUCGUUCUUAUGUUUUAAUGGUGUUCAUUUUUUAAUCAAUCUGAUCUUGUCCCCUGGAUGGUACAAAAAAGAUUUCAACUGUCUCCAGUAAAUGCUGAAUCUUUCUGUUUCUUUGACUGGUUUCAUAGAUUGUUGAUACAUUCUAAGUUUGGCAGAUCAACUUUGAUGAUUAGUUCAUGGAUUGAUGGACUGAGAAUCAUAGAAUUGUGGUUUCACUGUGGAAAACUGGAAAAAACCACACCAUAGUUUAAGCAGGGACAUUAAAGAAGAAGCAAAACUGUAAUUAACUUCCACUGAAAUCUGAUGAACAACAUGAACAUUAUAUCUGAGGCAAAAGUAUCUACAAAAGGAAAAGGCCCCUCUGGUUUGUACGGGUAACGUAUAAUAAUUGUAUCAGAUGACAUUUGGUCCGUAUAGAGUGCUGGAUCAAGAAAAACAAGAGAUUGCAACAGUGUGAAAGAUUCCAUGUGUCUGGUCAUAAAAGGGUGGUUUAGAACAGCAGCCCACGGGGAGCACAGCUCUCAGCCAAAAACUAAAGUUAGUAGUCUUUUUUCUCUGAUCUCUACUGUUUGUAAACAGUGUUACCCACCAUUGACGAAGAGGAAGGAAGAACAAACAAAUCUGAAGCGAACGAAAGUUACAGAAUGAAGCAAUGGGUUACGCAUUGAUUCAGAUUCAGAAUGCAGAGGGACCUUUAGCAAUUUGUUUCUAUUUAUUUGCAAGGUUUCUUGGCUCCUUGAACAAUUGAAGCUCUGGGAUCUAUUUGUUGAGUUUGAAUGUUAAUAUUUUUCGAAAAUCUCGAUCAAUAAAAGAGUUUAAGAAAUAGUACAUUGAUGUUUGUUGGGGUGGUUUGAUUUGAAUUUUGUACUUUCGAGUCACCAACCCACAAUCUUUUAUACUUAUGGGUUUAAUUGUUUCAUGUGACUUUUUUGUCAUGAAUAAAAAAUAACUAUGACCAAGUGAUUAUUUUGUGAUAAAUAAUAUAUUGAUUAUGAAAAUAAUUUGCGACCAACUCAUUAAUGUAUUAAAUCUCUAAAAAUAUAUAUGGNNNNNNNNNNNNNNNNNNNNNNNNNNNNNNNNNNNNNNNNNNNNNNNNNNNNNNNNNNNNNNNNNNNNNNNNNNNNNNNNNNNNNNNNNNNNNNNNNNNNNNNNNNNNNNNNNNNNNNNNNNNNNNNNNNNNNNNNNNNNNNNNNNNNNNNNNNNNNNNNNNNNNNNNNNNNNNNNNNNNNNNNNNNNCAAAUUAAGAUUUUGUUUUCGUAAGUUAAUCGAAUUACGCAUCAUUAACUCUUGAGCAAAUCAGCACUGAGCCGAUUUGAAUUGGGAAAAUCCUUAAAACCUAAGCAUAGUUCAUUUGAUAUGAUAAUUCGUUCAAGAUUAUUUUAACGGGCCGAUUGAAUUUUCAUUUUUUGUAAGCUAAUAAGGUUACGAUCAUUAUGUCUUGACCAAUUCAAAACACUGAUUGGGUUGAUUCGGUUUGAAUUGGACAUACUCAUCAAACAUAAGUGCAUAUAACAUAAUCUUACAUUCAAAGUUCUUUUAAUGGGGUCAAUUGAGGCCAAUGGCCAAUGAUUAAUCUUGAAUUAUAUUUUCUCUCCAAAUGGGCUCGGAUCAACAUAUAUACAUGAAUAUUCAUAUCCAUCAUAUAUGAGUGACUGAGUGAGAGUUUGAGUGAACAUAUAUAGAUGUGCAACCCUCUUUUAUAACUAUAUUUUUAUAUAUGAUUCAUCAUUCCAAUGUCGAUUUAACAAUCAAAAUUAUCACAAUUAUAUCAUCAUAUGUACAUGCUUAUAUAUAAUAAUAGAAUUACUGUAACAAAAUUUUAACUUACACAUAUUAGUUAACAUACUUUUACUUUUAAUCACGGGUCUAAGCUCCGCUAACAGGCUAUGGCUAAUGGUACAAAGACACGUAUUGGUAAAAGUAUACUAUUGGGCGAAAGUAUAUGAAAAUUUUUUUUGGAUCNNNNNNNNNNNNNNNNNNNNNNNNNNNNNNNNNNNNNNNNNNNNNNNNNNNNNNNNNNNNNNNNNNNNNNNNNNNNNNNNNNNNNNNNNNNNNNNNNNNNNNNNNNNNNNNNNNNNNNNNNNNNNNNNNNNNNNNNAAAACAUAUUAAAUAGGAUAGUAUACUGCUUAUUACCUAACUAUGUCUUUCUUUUAAAAUUUUUCAAAUAAACAGUGUUUUAGUUCAUUAGACUUUCGGCCAACCGGCCGGACACGAUCUAAUAUACUUUAUAUGCUUAUGACCAAUGAAGCUUAAAUCAAACAAAACAGAUCAUUAAAACGCAAGCCGUUAUAUAAAUCAGCCAACCAACACUAAAAAUUUCCGAAUAUGUUUUUGAGAUAGUUGAUCCCUUGGAACCUAGGACUUAGACCAUCCAACCAAGGUACCAAAAAAGGUGCUAUAAGCCCAACACCACUUAAACAAUUUGGGGGGGGGGGAGGAUACUACCAAUCUAGAUGAUCCAUCCAAGACCAAACAUGUCAAGUAUGAUGUUUGCUUCUUACUUGCAUCUCCAUACUCUGUAUAGUCACUUUUCAAGGAUUCCAUUUGCAAGUGAGUAAAGACACAACACAACUAGCUAAGCUUAACCCACAACUCCAAAAUUGACAAAAGAACACUGAAAGGGAGAAUCUUUCAAUACUUUGGGGCUGUUCUGUUGUGCUUUUAUUAUAUUCCCACCCUUGGAAUUGCACUGAAAGGAAAAUUGAACCAAGGAAGAAGAAGGGUGACUGAGAAAUGGGGGCCAAGUGGGGCUAGAACAGAAAUGGCUAUAACACAAGAGAGAAUCAAAGAUGAGAUCUUUUGGGGAGGUUUUGGGUGAGGUUUUUAGGUCCACAAAGAGUCCACUCUCUAUCCCUCAACUGUUCUGCUAUGUUGUUAGUAAAUGAACAAAAACUAUAACCAAAAUACUCCUGGCCUAGUUGGUAAAACUACCGGCUAGUAUUAGCUAGAACCUGUAUCAUAGAUCUUUCGUUUCGUUUAAAUAUUAGCUUCGAAUUAUUCCUUUUUAGCGCAUUUUUUACUAUCGUUUCCCCUCAAUAGACUCGUUACGGUUUGUUGAGAAUGUUAAUACAAAGUUAAAAAGUAAUUAACGCAAGCUGGGGUUUUUUCGUCUUUGGUGUUGGUUUUGACCCGAGAUUGGAUUGACAGGUACAUCUUAUUAUUCUCUUGCUGAUAUUUUGUUCUGGAGCUUCUUUCUUCCAGUGAUGAAUGGGUAUUUUCUUUUCAAUAGUGAUUGCGCUUAUGCACGACUCAUUGUGCUGGUGGUGACGCUGUUGCAGCAAUUAUUCUACAAUUGUGUUGCUGGCGGGCCUAUUAUGGCAAGGAUCCCAUCAUUGUAAGGUGUACAACUCAGUUACGAGUUUGUACCGUCUGAAGUACACUGAAUAAAGUCGCCCAUUCCGUAGAAAAACAAUAACAAUUGCUCAAACCCAAGAUAUUCAAUUGAGGGGAAAAAAACUGGGGUAUUUGAAAAGUCAUGGCAAUGAAGAUCCAAAAGCAACAACACUUUCAUUCCUUGGAACAAUAAUAUAAGAUAUGAAGAUCAGGUUUGAUAAGGAGAGCCUUGUGGGGGGUAAAGAGUCUUAAUAAAAAAAAUGGUCCACUUUGGGUCUGGUCUAUGUCUUCCAUGGAUAUGAGUUGGCCCCCUCUUUUUACAAGAAAAAUACAAACAAAUAAAAAGCAGCAACACAAAAGAAUGCACAAGUUGUGUCUCGCUUUCGGCGACCCCGGCUUGACGAGCCUCGCUAUUAAUUACUAAUCGACCUAUCAUGGUCCUUUUACGAUAUGCUUUUGAGGGAAGUCUGUCUACGUUACUCAAAUUCUUGACCUAAUAAUUACUAAUUGACUAUCAUCAUCGUUAAGAUUACACGAAUCUUCGACCUCGAUGUUAAUGCAAAACUUUUAAAGGAUGUACUUAAAUCAUGUUCGAGUAAUCGCUCAACAAUAUGCCCAAGUGGGUAAUGGUGGGUGAUUAUGGUGUUUUCCUUCCACUUUAAUUCUCUAAAAUUCUUCAUUGUUUUUCUUUCUGUUCUGUCCUUUGGAAUUGCUGAGGAGAGAUGAAGCUUUCUGUGACUGUCAACACCAAACCCCCCAAUUAAUUCACUCCAUCAGGUCCCCCAUGGCCUCUCCUCCAUCUCCAUCAAUCACCACCAUAUAUAUCGUAACUCAAACCGUCACUCGAAAUACACUCAUAUCACAUAAUUAACCAGAUUCGGACUCCAAACAACUCGGUUUUUGGAAGGUCAAGAUAACAGAAUGUAAAAGCCUCACCAACCAUUAGUUGAUUUUCCCGAUUCAUUCUUCCUUGAGACAUAACUAGUUGUAUCUAAUAAGUUCGAGAAGUUAUUCAGUUAUUAAGAGGCUACAUGUCAGAUACUAAAGGAAAUACGACUCCAAAUUGAGGUUAAUUCUUUUCUUCUUAUUGAUAGUAACAUAUAUGAUACAUAGCUACAAAAAUAUACAUAUGGCAUGUGCUUGAACAAGCCAAAGAAUCAUCGGAAUAGAGAUCUUCAAUUGGCAGAAAAUUUCUCAGUUAAAAACAUGUAAAAAUCUCUUCUUUUUUUUUCCAAGUAGAGAAAAUUCCACACUCUUCACAUCUCCAUCUUCAGAUUAGAUCCUCCAACUGAACCUGCAAAAAAGUGUCUGAUUAGGUUUAAAGCUAAAGGGUCACCAAAAAAAACCAGUGACUGUUGUUAUCUGAAACCAGAAGACUGAUAGACACAUCUUAACUAACUUCAUUCACUUCUGUCUCAAAAGUGGGACAAAGCAACCUCAUAAUUCGCAAAGUCUUAAAAGAUAUCCCAAGCUUGAACAAGCCAAAGAAUCAUCGGAAUAGAGAUCUUCAAUUGGCAGAAAAUUUCUCAGUUAAAAACAUGUAAAAAUCUCUUCUUUUUUUUUCCAAGUAGAGAAAAUUCCACACUCUUCACAUCUCCAUCUUCAGAUUAGAUCCUCCAACUGAACCUGCAAAAAAGUGUCUGAUUAGGUUUAAAGCUAAAGGGUCACCAAAAAAAACCAGUGACUGUUGUUAUCUGAAACCAGAAGACUGAUAGACACAUCUUAACUAACUUCAUUCACUUCUGUCUCAAAAGUGGGACAAAGCAACCUCAUAAUUCGCAAAGUCUUAAAAGAUAUCCCAAAGACUCAUCCUUUUUACUUUACCUGGUGGAAAUGGUUGAGAUGAAAAUGCUACGUUGUAUAGGCUUGGAAGGUCAGCAUCCCAAAUUGAUGCUUGCUGCUACGAGACACAUAACAUAAAGUGAAUGUUAAUACAUAACAGCUCGAGUAAUUGGGAUGCAACAGUGCCCUUAUGUAAACACUUACAGGGAAAUCGAUGAAGGGUUCGGGUUCAGGGCUGGUAAGACUGAUUGUUCUUCUGAUCCCCAAAUCGGUAGCAGAAGCAGUAGUAGUAGUAGCAGUAGUAGCAGAGUUGAUCAUCCCGAUAUCGAAACCAUUGCAGCAUCCCAUUAUCUGUUGCUGGAGUGAGUUCAGCUGCAGGUAUGCUGCUGCCAUUUGAUCUGAUGAUCCCAUUCCUGCAAAGUUGCUUCCACCACCUCCCUGAAACGCCUGUUUCGCCAAUCUCAGUCAGUAAUGCCACAAACAAAGACUAAUGUCGGUUUCGAAAACUCAGGAUGUGGUGGAUGGUUUUUCCGUUCGGUACCUCUUUCGUGAACAAGCUUUCAAAGUUGAACUCUGCCCCUGGGUUCACAGCCGCUAGCUUCAUUGACAAGAACUGUUUACAAAUAGUAUAUAAGUGUCGUUGUAUAAACUAAUUAUGAACAUUUCUCUGUGUGGCAGAUCGAGUUAAGUAAUAAGUAGUGUACCUCGACUUGGCGUUGAAGGGAUUGGACAUAGUUAAUGAUCUCAUCAAGCAUCCCAGCUUUGCCAGUGAUCUUGUUACAACCUGGAACCAAAUCUUGCAGAUACUUCAUCCUUUCACUGAUCUUUUCCCUCCUUACCUAAACAAAAAUUCACAAAAAUCCAAUCUUAAUUACACUCUACUGAUUGAAAGUAACCAAUUCCACAUAUAUAUAGCUAAAAACUCACUCUUUCUGCUAAGCUGUGACUAUCAGUAGCCUGGCCACGCCGAGCUCGGACAUGAAUGUAAUCCUUCUUCUGAUCAUCAGUCACCUUCGAGUUCUCCUUGGAACUCGAUCCUGAAUUGCUAUGGCUUUGAUUCUCUUUGAUUCUCUUCCCUUCCUCCACCUAAUUCAAAACAACCAAAUUUCAAUUCAAUUUCACUCCACAAGUAAAAUUUCAAUUAAUUUGAACGAAUUUUGUUUCCUUACCUGCGAUUUCACCGAUUUCCGUUUCUUGGACGGCGGCGACGGCGGUGGAGGAGUGCCGGAAGCGCUGAAAUCGGGCCAGCCGUUGUCGUCGAUGACAAGACCCGGGUCGGGUUUCAGCUCCGACCGCAUCAAGCCGUUGUUGUAGACGCAGCUUAUCAAAUCGUCGCCGCCAAAGAAGCCCUGAUCCAUCUCGGCGUUAUGUGCUCUAUUCAUCGGAGAAUAACAGGGUUUGAUCAAAGAAGGAAUCUUUUUUACUGGUUUUUAUUUUUUGUGGGUUUUGGUGAGGGGAGAAUAUGGAUGGACAUGAAGUUGGGUGGGUUAUAUGUAAAGGUGGAAAUGGUGGUGAGGGUGAAGAGAUUGGGCGUCCAUAACCGGAGCCGGGUCGGGGGUGUGGGGCCCAGAUGACAUGACGGCCACGUGGGAUUGUCCCCGGAGGUUUGCGAGGGGGAAAGAAAUAACGGCGUUUGGGUAAUAGAGGGAUAGUGAUGGCGGNNNNNNNNNNNNNNNNNNNNNNNNNNNNNNNNNNNNNNNNNNNNNNNCAUCUCACCGAACCACAGCCGUUCUUAACGGGUUUUUUAAAGAAGAUGAUGUGGGAUUAGCGACGUUGAUAAGCGCGGGAAUGAGGUUUGAGUAGAAUUUGAAUAUUAUUUAUUGGUUAUAAUAGGGUGGUUUACUUGUCUUGGGAUUUUCUUCGUUCUUUGAUGGAGGUAAUAAGAAAGUUGAGUGGAUUUUUUAGAGAAGAAAUGUGUCCAUUUAGUAAAUUUUAAUAGAAAUUUUAUCAUCAUAUUAAUAAUUUUAAUAAUUUAUUUAUUUAACAAUUCUUAAACACCUUAAUUCAAUAAUUCAUCAAGUCGCUUUUUUAUUUUAUUUGCUAAAUAUUAAACAUUUCUUCAAUAAACAUCUAUUUAGACUCUAGUAAAAAAUUAUUAUUAUGUAUUUCUUAGUUCGUGUGGCGAUCAAUGUCAUAUUUAUUUAAAUUUCUAAUAUUAUACAGUUUUAUUUGCUAUCUUGAUUCUUUAAGCCCAAAGCUAUUUAAGAAAAAAAAUAAAAAAGUUAAUUUAUACGAUGUUCAUGGGCAUGGACGUGAAGGAAAGAAUGAUAUUUUUUUUGUUCAUCGAUUAGUAGUGCUUAUUGCAUCACAUUCAUUGUCAUUCUCAAUAACCGGAAGCUUUCAUGGCCAUAGAACUGCUAUAUUGGUCUAGAAUUGAUAUUCAAUCUCAACGAAGACGUAUCAAGAUGAAGUUUGUUUUUACUUUUUACCUCGAAAAAUUGAAACAAGAUUACUAAUUAGUUGGCAAUGGCAACGAGAGCACACAUAAUUCAUCUUAACUGGUUGUUGGUUCUAGCCUAUAAUAAUAAAUGAAGUUUAAUGUUUAACAAAAAAAAAGUAAAAUAUUUAUCAUUAUUCAUGAAAUCUAUGCAUUGGGCUCUCCCGUAAAAUUCCGUUUAGUAAAAUUAUGGGUUUGCUGGUUUGUUUAUUAUUAAACUCUUGGCGUGGUGACGGGAACUCAGUGGGGGCGGGCCCAUGUCACGUCUGGCAUCCACAUCCACGCCUCCACGUGUUGGUCACGUCAGUUCGAUCUCAGUGAUAUAGCACGUAUGCUUUACGUGCAUAAUUGAAUAUCAUAUUAUUAAGUAUGAGAUUUAUAAUUUUUUGGGCACGUUGCAACAUAUACUCACGGGAGUUUUGACUCUUAAUUAAAUAAUUUUGCUGGAAGCAAAGUGUAAUGAAUAAUUAAUAAUCGAGCGACAUAGAAAUUAAUUGUACUAAUUAUAAUUAAGAAAGUGAUUGACGCGUUAAUUAAUCAUGGGAUAUAAUCAAAUCUGUCAACCAUCAUAAUCCUAGGUUGACAAAAACAACGUAGGAUAUUAGGAAUCUUUUCUGGAAUUUUCUAAUUAAAGAAUUAAUUAAAAAAGGGCUAAUCAUGGGUUGCACCACAAAAUCUAACGAAACAAAUCAUUUUAGCUCGUUGUUCAAAGUCCUAUUAUUUUCAGUUAAUCAAUCAUUAUCAUCCACACAACAGAAAAUGUGAGUGAUUACUGAUUAGCUAAGCUGAAAACAACAAUAUUAAUCAUUGAUUUUCCUACAAAUAGGAACGAAACAAAAUGGACCAUAAUUAAUUCCCAUGUUGACAAAAUUAAAUUGGGCUUUUCUCAUUAAAUCAAAAAAUAAUUUGGCCAAGGAAAUAUCUUUCGUUAUAUGAAAAAAAAUCAACUAUAUAACAAAAAAUAAAUUAUUAGCGGAACAUAAANNNNNNNNNNNNNNNNNNNNNNNNNNNNNNNNNNNNNNNNNNNNNNNNNNNNNNNNNNNNNNNNNNNNNNNNNNNNNNNNNNNNNNNNNNNNNNNNNNNNNNNNNNNNNNNNNNNNNNNNNNNNNNNNNNNNNNNNNNNNNNNNNNNNNNNNNNNNNNNNNNNNNNAAUAAUCGGUGAAAGAAAAUAACAAAUUAAUAAUUUUUAUAGAAAAUAAAAUCAUAAAAUAUAUAAAAAAUUAUUGAUUUCACAACAUUUUAAGAUUUAAAUCAAGAUUUUGACAUCCACUAAAUACCAAUUUUAAGUAGAAUUAAAAUCAUUAAACAUCACUAAAAUCAUAAAACCGUAAAAUUUUAAGAUUUAAACACUAUUCUAGUCAAAUAUAAGCAAAUAAAUUGUUUCCCAAUAAUCACAAAAACACACACACACAAUAUAAUGGGCUUCCUUCCUUCCUUCUAAUUUCUUUCUCUUCUCUUCUUCUUCUUCUUCUUCUUCAUCAAUCAUCUUCCCACUGCACCACUUCUGUCAGAGUUUGUCAGACUCAAUUCUCACCAUCUUUAUUUUAUACAAUUUUUUUGUCAUUUUAUUGGGGGGGUUUUGUCAUUUUAAUUUCUUGGAUAUGGAGCCAUGAAAUUAUUGAGAUCAUGAGAGGAUGUCAAUGUCAUGCUCCAAAUGCAUGGGCAUGCACUACACAUUCAUACGUAAGUUGCCAUCCGUGUAACAACAACAUUACUUACUUACUUAGUUCCCAACUUCCAACACACACAUACCUCAUAUCUACUUUAAAGACAUCCAUGCUUCUUUCUCAAAAAUUGAAGUUUUACAUAGCGGAUGGUCUCAUGAUUAACGGUACUUUAAAGUCGUCCUACUUAAAAAGUAUAGUCAACUCUAACUGUAUUCACAUAAGAACCCCACAUCCAAUCCCAAACAUUAAAUUCAAAAACAAAUUUAGGGUUCUUCCGAGUCCGACUAAGUACAUAUUUUUCAAAUUUGACUCAAUGCUAUAUUAGUACUUACUCAGCUUAAUCAUCGGUAUAAUAUAUAGUAAUAUUUAGUCAUAAAUAAUUUGAAUCAUACAAAAAUUAUCGUGACACAUUUCAAUUUCCAUUUGGUUUGAGUAUUGCUAACUCUUCUAGGAACAAAUAUCAUGUCCAUCACAAAUGUAUUACAUAUUUAAAGCAAGUAAUAUAUAUAUGAAAACUUUUAAAUGGAGUUCUUUGUCAUAUUUUAUAAUAGGAAUCUCGAGUUUAAAAUUAUAAUAAAUUAAAAAAAAACACACGUAUAUACGAUUAACAGGGUCAAUUUGGUCCCUAGCUAGCUAGAAGGUUUUGGAACCCACUUGACCCAUCGUAGCUCUCUCAGUGCUUGUGUACAAAAUAACACGACGCACUAAACCAAACUAAACGAUACUUAAAAAAUACAAUUAACAGAACUAAUUACUUAUUCUAAAGUAUAUAGUUUUUAGACCCGUCCAUGAAACCCACCUUACGCAAUGACCUGAGAUUGCCCACCCCAAUUCCGCCAUCGAAUUAAGCAUUGCGUCAUCAACUAGACAACGUAACCAACUAAGCAACAUAACAAAACGUGACAUAAUAAUAUGAAUUUGAUGAUGAUGAUCCAUGGAAACAGCCUUCUCGAGUCUUUUUUUUUUCUGUGGGUAUGAACCGGUGUGCGUUAAUCUUUGAAGAACGAGAUGACGCAAUUAAUUUAAAUUCCUUUUUUUUUAAAAAAAGUAAUUAAUUAUUUAACCAUAUAUUCAUAAAAAUAAUGAUUCGAAUAUCGUGUCACACUUGUAAUACAUUAUGCAUAUGGAGAAUAUGCAUAAAUCCUAACUCCAGACUUUGUACGUACAUACAUGUAUAAAUUUCCCCUUCAAAGAUUGCAGCUUUCUACGUACGUAUACGCAUAAAUACAUGUCGUAUAUAUGUACGUAUACAAAACGUAGAGGUGUGACCGUAUUAUCCUGCUGAAUAUACUGUCCUCGAUCGGGAUCAAUCCAGAUGUACAAACCGAUGCAUGCAAAAAUAUAUUUAAUUUGUAUAAUUUGUUGGGUGUUAUUGUGUAUUCUCUUUCAAGAUAUUAUCUCGAAUGGUAUUCUCGAUCGUCACUACUAAUUUUUCUCCGAGGCGUCCUACGGAAUCUAUCUAAAGCAAAAACAUUCAACAUGGUUUCAAAAGAAGGCAGAAUAUCCAUAUAUAAUUAAUUUCAUAUACCUUAAUUAUUUGACCAUAUAUUAUAAACAUUUAAUAUAAUUGGAAUUAUUUUUCAAAUAAUUCCUACCUCAAAAUCUUGCUGAAGUUGAUGGAAUUGUACUUAUCAUCAAUUUGUUAAUAAUAAAUGAAUAAAAAUAAAAAUAUCAAGUUGAUUUGAUCUUAUCGGUUUUGCCAGCCCAAGGUUGAACAGUGUUAGUGGGCCUCCACCACCGAGGAAAAGCAUUGGGCCGAAAACUGACCAACUGGACUGCACUUCAUAUUCAGACAACCAGUUUUAAUUAAUAGUGCUGUCAUAUUGUUCCUCUCUUGACAGACAUUUCUUUAUUUAAUAUUUUAUAAGUAAGCAAAUUCCUAUGCCUAUUGAAUUUUUAAUUGUAUCUGAAAAAUAAAAUUUAAUAAAUAAUAAUAACUUGUAACUUUUUUAAUUUUUAUUAUAUUUACUGUUUACUGUUUAGUCGGCAAUAUAAUAUAUAUGUUGAGAUAUGUUUGCUUUGGUAAAUUCACGGCCGGAAUUUGUAGGAGUAUGUGUUCAAUCUGUCCAUUACCAAAUUUCAGAUUCCAUUGUUUGGAAUCUUUGGAUAGUGCAGUUUUCAAACGAUUGGGUUAUGCGGGUAGAAUAUAGGCCGCGUCAAACGGGUUACAAACAUUAAUGUUAAAUGUGAUUAUAAGUUUUUUGGGUUCCGUAUAUUAUACCGGAUUGCGAUAAAAGUAGCUCAAGAAUCACUCAAGAUCGGUCCUUAAUUAGCACUCAAUAAUUUAAGUUGUUGGAAGAUGAGGAUAUAAAAUUAAGUUCAAACAGUCCAGUCUGACCAAUAUAACUGGAAACUCUAUGCAGUCUAGACUUGACAUUAUAUAAUAUUGUUUGUUCAAUAGAUGACAAGAUGGAAUCAAUGGGAAAAGAAGAUCAUUGGUGGGUGUGGGACUGGUGAACUUAUAAGCUACAGAGAGGGUGCAUGCAUGGGAAAACUGUACAAGUAUUAGUAAUAUAAUGGUCAAAAGGACAAGAAGACCAAAUACACGGGAGUUGCCGGCCUGCACCAUCAAACACAUCGAUCUCCAUUAUAUUAUAUAUAACAAACAAUGUUAUAACAAAGGACAAAACACUUCUGCCCCAACUAAAUACGCUACACACUUAUCCAGCUACACCCAUCGAGCUAACUAACAAGUUUUAAUCGAGUCAACUCUCAAGUCCUAGUCGAGUUGGUAACAAACCUCAAAACUCAAACAAACUGGCUCGCGAGCCAAACUCAUCGAAUUCAGGAGCCAGCCGAGCUGAAUCAGAAUUGGGUUGAGCUCGUUUAAAAUCAGAAUCAAGCUUCAAUAAAUUUUUUUCCUCGAAACGAACAUCGAAGUGUUCGUGAGCAGUCUCAUUCAUCAACAACCCUAUGCAUAUUGUGACGAUAUGGAAGUAAAGGACAAGAUAGCAUGUUUGUAGAACAGCCAACCAAAAACUGUGGGCUUGUUCAUCAGGUGUUGUUAAUGGAUCUUCAGUUCCUUAAAUGAAAAAGGACAACUCUAGUCUCUAGCUUUGCUGUUGAGUUAAAUGCUCAUGUUCCCUAGCUAGCUGCUGCUUGUAGGCCAUCAAGUUUUUGCAUAUUAUGUGGUGGUGGUGGGUCGUUGGAACAAUAAUCUUAAACAAAGAUGUGCUGGAUCUAUGAUAGAAACAGAAGGCUAUCUAUUCUUCUAAAUGACUGGAAUUUCAGGGUUGUUUGAAUAGGUGAUUUCGUUGUGCUAUUUGAAGGGAUUUGGAAUCAAAAUGACAUUCCGAUGACAUCUAAAUCGGAAAUCUAUUCAUGGGUGAUUUUGUUUGACGAGUUUGAGAUUUUGGACACUAUGUAUGGAAUUAUUCCGGCGAGGUAUAUACCAGAUAGAAGCCAUAGGCAUGGUGGAGAGAGCAUAACGACAUUCCGUGAAUACUUGCGCGACGCAGAAUGUUAGACUGGAGUAGACGGGCAGCUUCCGCAAAAUCAGUGCAUAUGGUGAUUAGAUGUAGGCGUGGUAUCCGCCUAAAAUCGCUUGCUGGAUUGCCAACUGCCAAGGUUAGUGGAUCUAUGGUGUGGCUAAUGACUUAACCUGUGGCAGAUACAACCGAGCUAAGAUUGUCGAUUAUUACCAAUCCGAUUCUGCCAAAACACCAAGAGCCAACGAUUGGCCAGCACACUGCCGCAUCGACGAAGAAAAUACAAGACACGUAUGCUUCGGUGUACCUGAUAUAUUUGUUCGAAACCGUCUCAGAACUCGUGUCUCCUUGAGCCAGAAUCGCACCCACCAAAAUGAGUUCCCAAAUGUAUUUAUUUUUCUUUUAACAACUUAAUACACACAACUUACACAGAAAAACCAUUAAUAAGAGGCAUCUCGUAGUCCAAUCGCCAAAGAAAAAGAACUCGCAAAAAUACCACAAAAUCUUUCCCUAUCUACAUUAAUGCCAUUUACUAUGAACACACACAAAACUGAUAAAAACAUAACAUUACUACAUGGACGGUUUAUAUGUUGAUGGUUGCUUCCCACAACCUCAGCACCCCGUUCCGGCCACCGCUGCAGAUCCUCUUCC